CCAGUUUGAAAAAUAAUUCUAAUGUUCUUAAAUAUUUAGGCAAAGAAAUUGGGUUAACGAAUAAUGAUAACACUCUAUCUUUGGUUUCUUUAACUUCAAUAGCAUGACCAUCGCCAUUUUGGUACAUCAAUAAAGAUAUUCUUGCAAGGUUCAUAGCAACGUCAAUAAACGUACGAGAGAAAGGAGAUUUAGCCAUUUGGUCUUCAUUCAUCUUCUUCCAUGUUGCAUCAAUUAAUUUCCUUAUGUGGUCACGAGCUUCUUCUUCAGAUGCUUCACUUUCGUUCAUAUAACAUUGAAUUGAUUUAGGAACAUCACCUCUUUGAAGCUCAUACUAAUCGAAUUUUUUUAAAAAAAAAGUCAAACAAGCAAAUCACUAUUAGACUAAUUAAUGAAUGGAAAUUUUAAGUUGAUAACUAUAUAUAUUUAUUAAUAUAUAUAUUGCUUACCAAUGAUGUCCCUAAAUCAUCUACUAAUCGUACAAUUAUGGACGACCAAUAAAUUAUAUCGGGGUAAUAUUGCUGGAUGUGGUGCAAUCCCUCUUCUGUUAUAAGAUCAGUUGCCAAAUAGGAAUGACCAAGCAUUACAAAACCCGAUAUUGAAAUCCAAGCAUUAUCAAUGUACUCUCACAGAGUUGGCGUAUAUCCAAUGUAAUACCAUUUUACCUCCAACAAAUAUGAUUUACAAAGAUUCAUCCACUGAACAUUUCUGUUAAACCAUGAACAACACAAAUCAGACAGAGCUCAUAAGGAAAAGCAAAAAAGAAUCUUAGGAAUUGAUUUUCUUGAGAAAGGGAAGGACAUCUAUCCCUUGUUCCUUAAGAGUGUCGAAAGCCAUUUCAUUUACGGAAUUGUAAAGCGCAUGGUAACAUAUUUUCAUAUAGUUUGGAAGCUUUUGUAUUUGAUUUAUAUCUCAUCUAAAAUUACACCAACACAUUAAAGAUUAUUAAACAUUUGUAAGAAAUAUCAAAAGCAGAUAAAAUCAUAUAGUAGUACAACUACAAACCUCUCAACAACAUCUGUAAAGAGUUCCAACUCAUCUAAGGUUCCAUAAACUUCAUAAACAUCAUCUAUAACUGUUAUUAGCGCAUUGACCUUUGUCUGAAUUCUUCUACCUUUUUCAUCUUGAGGAGUAUUUAUCAUUCCCACACUCCAUAAGAAGUUUUCCAUUAGGCUAUCUCUAGCAAAGCUCAAGGUCUUGCCAAGGCCAAGUUCUUUCCACCACCUAAAUAAUACAAGUGGAAAAAAAACAAAAUCAUACUUGCGUUGAAGCAUAUGCGAGUCAACUUGGAACUAGUAUGCAGUAGGAAUACUUACGUUGAAGCAUAUCUAAGAUAAUCCUGGUGCAUAGAUUGCACUAUGUUGUAAUCCAAUAUAGCAAGCUCUAAAAUAAUGGGAUUUUUGUCCUUUUUUUUCUCAUACAUAUCUAUGAACCAUCUGGCUUCCAACCUUGGCAUCCUCCAAUGUAAAUGAAGCACCAAGGCAUGUUCCUCAAGCAUCCAAAGAUAUUGAUGAUCAUUGUUCUCCUUUAGAUAUUGUUUGAGAAGUUUGGCUGCUAACUUUCUUACAUUCUCCAGCAUUGUUUCACCUUUUAAUAAGUGGUAUGAAGCCUCAUACAAGUUGAGUAGUCCCUUGCAAUCUUGUUUUUGGCUUGCUUUAAUGUCUUCAACUUCAUCCAUGAAACAAGCGAAAACAUCUAGUGCAUGAAAAUAAUUCAAUGUUAUGUGUUUUCAAAUUUGAUGUAAAUUAAAAUGUCCAAUUUUGAAUUUUUUCUUGUGUUGUACCUUGAUUGACUUUAUACCCGUGUUGUCUUAGCAAUCUAAAUUCAAGAGCUAUAGCAUGUAAAUAGUCUUUGUUCAAUGCAACAGUACUGCUAUUUUUAGUCUACUCCGCUGCAACUUCAGGGAGAUAAGACUUGAUAUGAUGACUUCAAUCCAUCCCACUGCAAGUUCAGGGGUAUGGGUAACUUCAUUGAUCUAUUCUCUGGGGAACAUGACCUGUAAAAUUCAUUUCAUGGACCUAUUUAUGCCUAGUGUUUAGGAUGUCAUGAUUAGAAUGAAUCAAAUGCUCCUAACUAGAUGUGUAUGUAUGAUAUUUGUAAAAUGUCAUGAGAAUGAUCCCUUUUUAAUGCUUAGGUUGUCAUUGCUCGCUGUUCGUCAAAGUUCUAUCACUGAUGCCUUCUUGUUUAGCCGGUAUCUUCAACAGAAAAACCAAAGAAAUGGUCGCACUUUAGACUAUUCUUUCUCAAAUGCUUCCAACCAUUAAGUUGGUUAGUUCUAAACAAUAGCCCUGUUUCAGGUCCUCACAUUAUUUAGAAACUUUCAGAGUAAUAUGCAGAACUCCUUCUGCUUGAAUAUUAUCAGUCCAUUAAUCGUUAUUUGAAUGAGAAAUGCUUGAAAAAUAUUAUCAAAAUGGACAAGAUAAAAUUUUGUUGAGAUCAAAGGUUGAAAUGAAUAGAUUAAUCGAGAUAGCAAAUUUUGCUAGAAUGAGAAUAAAUUAAUCAAGAUGGCACAUUUUGCCAAAAUACAAAAAUGAAUAUAAUAGAAAUAGGUGUCUCAAAUAUCAUAGCAUGAGCUUCUCUGCCCCAAGCUCCUUGAGGACCCUUUUGAACUUUAUAUGUGUUUAGAAGUCCUAUAAGACUUUGAUGAUGUCCCAAGAUGUAACACCUCUCAUUCUUGCUAAUUUGGAGAGGACAAGACUACCACAUGCCCCACCUUCAAUCAAAACUUGAAUAGCCCAUUUUUGGGUUUUCAAUUCAAAACCUUUUUGGUCUCAAGGCGCCCUUUGCGGGUUUUCACCUUGGUCUCUCAUUUUUCUUUUUCUUUUUUCUCUUUUUCUUUUUGAAACAUUCUUUGAUUAAAUUUGAACUCAUAGGAUUGGGUUAGUCCUUGUUAUCCCUUCCAGUCAAAAUCAACACUUUUCCAAAUAAGACCUUUCACAUAAGUUCCUUCCCAGUUUGGUAUCCACUUCCUUCUGAAGUUUUUUGUAAGGGGAGGAUAUUCUUCGAUACCAGGUCCUCCUAAGGGAAUUCUCUAGGGUGAACCUUCUUUGGUGAGCUCGCAUCAUUUGUUUUUUGGUGCAUUUGACUAUGACGGAUAACUUUGAAAGUUUCUCUUCAAUCAGGAUUGGAUCCAAAGACUCAAAGAGAAGGAAUCUCAGCUUCAAUGGGCAAAACCGCUAUAAGCCAAAGCGAAAGGCGUUGCCCCAGUAGAGUUUUUUUUUUGUUUUUUUAGUUUUUUCUCACCGCGUCGUUCAUCUUGAGGUGAUAUGGUGUUAAUCUUUAACAUACUGCAAACUUUUGAUAUCCUGCUGUUGUUCAAAUUCAAUGCAUUGUCUGAUAUGAUCCUUUUGGCAUUCCAUACUGACAUAUGAUUUUUCAAGAAUUUGCUGACUAUCGACUUCGUGCCAUUUGCAUAUGAGGCAGCUUCCACCUACUUAGUCAAGUAAUUGACGACCACGAAGAUGAAUCGAUGACCGCCAAAAACUUUCGGCGAGAUUGUCCUGAUGACAUCCAUGCCCCACAUAGAGAAAGGCUAUGAUUUCCAUUGAUUCUUUGUAAGGUAGGAUCUUGUUUUCAUCUUGUUCUCUCAUCCUUAACAAACCAAGAGAUAAGUUACAGUCUCGGUCACCUUCAAAGUCCUCAGGUUCCUCUGGACACAUAUCUUGCUCAAAAGGAGAUUCUGAGUCAAUAGCAGUAUCGCUCAUAUCAUUGAUAUCUGGAGACCUGUUAUAGGUUCGAAUGUACAUCUAAAGAAUAAAAGAACCCAAGAAUAUUCAUCUGUAUAGUAUGAUUAUGAAUGAAAUGGAAACAAUAAAAGAAUAUUUGCUCGAAGUGAGAAACGAAGAUGCAUUUUAUUAAAAUAAAGAUUUUGGACAUGAGCCUAUCUCACAAAAGGAUUCUUAUUGCUCCUAGGCUUAGAGCAAUAAGCGUGUUUUAGAUAUUACUCUGAAAUAGGUCUAAAAAGUUCAGGGAUCUUGUAAUACCCCAAAAAUUUUUACAGUAAGAUAUUAUAUUUGAUAUAGUAAGGAAAUAAAGUGACAAAAAGGAGAAUUUUGAGUUAUGACAACAUUGGGAAGUAUAUAAUGACAUAUUAAUUAAAGAAAAUAUUAAAUUGCAAAAGUGAGAAAAGUUUUGUUAUCCAAGAGUAAAUACUCAAAAUUUGAGGGGUUAAAGUGUAAAUAUGAAAAAUUUAAAGGACCAAUAGUGUAAAUAUUUUAAGGGUGAAAUAAUCUAGAAACUAAGGGAAAUAGAUGAAUUGGGACCAAAUUGAAUAGAUGAAGAAUUAUGAUGGACUAAAUCGUAAUUUUACCAAAUUAAGUAUUGACUCAAUGGUGGAAUUUUAAAAGAUCUAAAGGGAAAAAUGGUCAAUUAGAAGAAAGAGAAAUCUAGAACAUAAUAAUGAUGUUGGAGAUAUUUUAGAUCAAAUAAAUAAAUAAAUAUUAGUUUAUUAAUAUUUUAAUUUGAUUUUUAAAUUACAUUUAUCAUUUUAUUAUUAUUUUAUUUAGUAUAUAUAUAUGUGGAAGAAAAGAUGAAGAAUCAUCUUCCUUUCCCAUGCAUUUCACGUUAGAAGAGAAGAGAAGAAAGAAAGUUUUGCGUUCUUUACCAUUUGGUCCUUCCACCAAAAAUUUACCAUUUUCACCUAUAAAUCAAAAGAAUUUUCAUAGCUACCAAGAGAGAAAAUUGUUAAGGAGACUAUGGGGAGCUAGAAUAACAAGUUAGAUUCAAGAAAUAGAAGCUGGAAGAGAGAGAAAAUCAAGUUAAAGAUUGAAAUCAAUAGAGCAAAGUAAGAACAUCAAGAUUUCAAUAUAUUUUUAAGUUUGAUAUUAUUGAAAAAGUAUGAAAUUGAUGUUAAUGUAGGGUUUCAUUAUAUAAAGUUGUAUGUUCUUGAUAUGUUAGUGAAGGGAAACAAGAGGAAUUGAUAGAAAAUAUUGUAGAGAAAGGAAAGGAGGGUGUUAUAAAUUUGAUUAUCAACAUCUUGCACUAAAACAGUUUUGGACAGCAACAGUAGGUUAACUUUGUAAAAUCACCAUAAAUCGUGGACAUUGAAUUAGAGGAUGAAAAAAUAUUUAAUUAAAUCUUAUUGAGUCUAGUUUCUCAUAGAAGAAACGGUGUAAGUAAUGGAAUUGUAAAUCAUGAGAUAUAAUAAAUUUUGCUAGAUAAGGUCAAAAUGAAUUCGAGUUCCCCUGUUCUAACUUGGAAAAAUCAUUAAAAAUUGUAUAAAAAUAAUUAUGGGUUAUAAUUAUUUAAAAUCCUUAAUGAUUCUAUUUUAAAUAGAAAUAAACAGGGACAUCAUCCGAAUUCUAUACAAAGAGAUAAUUAAUUUUUAGUGAAGAGGGGUCGAAACUGUCGAAUAGUGAAACAGAGGAAACUUUAAAGAAUAAACUGUACUUAUUGGCUAAAUCAAAAAUUCUGAAAAUUUUAUGGUAAGAAGAUAUGUGAGUCUAGUUUCAGAAAAAAUUAAUGGAUCUUAAUUUGGAGCUCUGUAGCUUGAGAUAUAAAUAAAUUAGUGACUCUGACUCUGACCGACAAUUUGAAUUUACAUACAGGAAAAUAGUGAUAGUAUGGAUAAUGUUGUUUAAAUGUGUUAUACACAUUAAGGAUGUGGAAUGGAGAGGAGGAGGAGGAAAAUUGUGAACUAUAUGAAUGAUUUGUGUAUAAUUGGUCAUAUGCUUGAUUAUAAUUGAUAAACGAUGAAAUAGAAAUGAUGCUUAUAUUUGUGCAUUAUUGGUCAUGGCUUAAGCUCAUGUGUGAAAAUAAAGUUUCAUAGUAUGUGUGUAUGGUAUAUUCGAUAUAUGAUUUGGAAUGAAAUAAUGUCAUGAAUGGUUUAUGAAUUAACACGUGUUGGUAAGCAUGAUACAUGAAUAAAUGUUGUGCUCAUCCAUGCUUAUAAUGCUUAUGCUAUAUGUGUAUUUGGCUAACAUAUUUGGCGUACAUGCUUAGGCUUUGGCCAAGUAGUGGUUGGAUUAUGCCACGUUAAAUUUAUAAGUUAUGCAUUGAAAUGGUAAGUGCCUAAUUGGAAAUAUGCUUGUGAUCAUGAAAAGGGUGGUAUGUUUAAAUUAUGUAAUCUCUAGUGAAAUGGUUUAUCAUGUGGUUAGUUCCAAAAAGAGUUAUGUUUAAAUACACUAGCUUUCGACUAUGGUUGAAUGAUAUGUUUAUAUCUUGUGUGAUGUGCAUAGGAAACAAGUGUAGAAAGAUAAUGAAAUAGUAAGUUCAUAUGGCUGAAAUUUAAUGAUUAAAUGUUAAUUUUAUGAAUUAUAUAAUGUAUGAUGAGAUAUAUUUGUUGAUGUUUUGAGAAUAAAAUAACAAUGUGAAAACCGAAUAAAUGAUCAAAUUGAGCGGAACGUCGGAUUUGAGUACUUCUGAUCAAUGACAAGUGAUAAGUGGUAGCUUUAGCUACACUUAUCUGAUCAGUGACAAGUGACAAGUGAUGAGUGGUAGCUUUAUCUACACUUAUCUGAUCAGUGACAAGUGAUAGCUUUAACUACACUUAUCUGAUCAGUGACAAGUGAUGAGUGGUAGCUUUAGCUACACUUAUCUGAUUAAGGACAAGUGACAAGUAAUAAAUGUGAUCUGUGUAAGACCAUGUCAGGGCUAUGGCUUUGGAAAGUGCUAAUUGAUCAUACGCAAGACCAUAGUUAUACUAUAGCAAAGUGGAAGUGAAUUACUCAAUUUUCCAUAACCGUUCCCUAAUUUGAUUAAGGAUGGUAAGUGACAAAUGAGCCCAAAAGAAUUAUAGUAAAUGGAUAAGUGGUAGUGAAUUUAUACCAGGAUGAUGAGUUGAGUUGAUGUUGUUAUUUAAGCUAAAGUGAUAUUUUCAUUGCAAAUUUGAGAAUUUCAUAAAUGUGUUAAUGAAUGGUAUAAUCAAUAAACGUUGAGAUAAAUGAUAAAUACGUAUUAGUAUUGAACUUAAUGAUUUGAAUUGUGAACAUGAGAAAUUUGUGAACUGAAUGAAAUGGAAAUAAAGCAUUGAAUUAUUAAGACUUGUGAAUUGCAUGAAUAUGUAUCGGGUCUCGUAGAUCCUAUUUAUUAUGAAUAUAAUAUUUUGAGGAUAUAUUAUGAAGAAUUAUAAAAUCAUGUUAAUAAUUUGAAAGUUUUAAUUUAGAUGAAGUUUUAUAACUCGGUUAAAUACGUUUACAAGAGUAUGUGUUCUGGUAAUGCCUCGUACCCUAUUCUGGUGUUGAAUACGGGUAAGGGGUGUUAUAGUUCUCUUCUACAGUCCCAUUGUUCAAACCACUCCCAAGUGUGUAAGGGCAAACGUCUGAUAAUUCUCUUCCCCAGCUCUCUCGGAUACGGUGUUCAAAUUUCCCAACAUUCCUCCAUGUCCUUUGACUUCUUCAAAGAAUUCCAACUCUUUAUUAUCCAUUAGGCUUUGUACUAAAGCUUUGAAUUCAGCACACUUUUGGAUUUCAUGUCCUUCUUCAGUGUGGAACUCACAGUAGCUCCUCAUCCCUUUUGUUCUCUUCUCUUAAUUCUGAAUGAUUAAUCUCAUGUCUAUCAUUUGUUUCAAAACCCAUUUCAGUGGGGUUUUUACUUUUGCAACAUUGGUUUUGGUUCUCUUUCCUCCAUUCUCAAUUAUCGCGUUGACCCCUGGGUCUGGACGACUGGGUAACGAAUUUUCUACCACAUUAGGUCCUGAUGGAUCGUCAAACUUCACGAUGCCCAUCUUAAUGAAUCUUUCGACUAACUUUUUAAAUGUAGUGCAAUUUUCAAUGGAGUGUCCUGUUAUUCCCGCGUGAUAUUCGCAUUGGGCGUUUGCAUCAUACCAUUUUGGGAACGGAGGUUGUACGGGUUCCAAGUAAAAUAGAGCUACCACUUGCGGAUCAAACAGAUUCUGAUACAACUCUCUAUAUGUCAUUGGGAUAGGUGUAAACUAGAGUCUUUCUAUGCUUGGCCUCGAGUUAGAUUCUUGCCUUGAGGGGCCUUGGUAGCUAGCAGCUACCAUCCUUGGCUGGCCUACAGUGACCGAUUUAGAAUACCCUUUAUUAUACAAGCUCAGUUGCUCACUUCAUUUUCUUUGUUCUUUGGGGUUGAUAUUUUGAUGAUUUUUCCCGUAUCUAUCUUCCCACUUCUUAUGGCAUUUUCAAUCAUCUUGCUAGACAUUACCAUAUCUGAGAAGCUCAUGGUAGCCCUUCCCAACAUAUGGUUAAUGAAUGGGGCUUUCAGAGUGUUGAUGAAAAGCACCGUGGUUUCUUUCUCCAGAAGAGGUGGCUGGACUUGUGUUACUAGCUCUCUCCAUCUUUGGGCAUAUUGCCUGAAGCUCUCACUUUGCCUCUUUUCCAUAUUCUGCAGUGUGAUUCUGUCAGGUGCCAUAUCUGUCACGUGGCUGUAUUGCUUCAUGAAAGCUUCUGCCAAGUCCUUCCAUGAGCUAACUUUAGCAUGACUCAACUAGUUGUACCACUUGGCUGCAGACCCGAUCAAACUGUCUUGGAAGAAGUGGAUUAACAGUUGAUCAUUGUUGACAUAUCCUGUCAUCCUUUGAUAGAACAUAGUGAUAUGAGCUUCAGGACAGCUAGUCCCGUUGUACAUUUCGAAUUCUGGCAUCUUGAACUUAGGCGGGAGAACUAAGUCAAGGACCAAACUCAGGUCUUUAGCAUCGACCCUACAAUGGUAAUCAGCAUUCUCCAUUGCUUUAAACUUUUCCUCUAGCUGCCUACACCGAUCCUCAAGUUGCUUCGGUAGAUCCACUCUUACUUUCUCCACUUCUGCCACGUCGUCAAGCACAGGAACAACGGGGUUGAUUGGAUUAUCUCCCAGAUUAGAACCAGAGCCUGUUUGAAAGUUCAUUUGUACCGAGGCACCAGCCUGAUAUUGAGUCUAAUAGUGACAAGUACUCUUUAUGGGCACAUAUCUGGUUGUGCCUGAGUGCUCAUCGGGGUGAAACCUGGAGGAUAAACAGGGUCCUCAUGAUCAACCCCAGAAUCAACUUCAGGACUUUUUCCUUUAUCAUUCCCUCCAGCCAAUAACUACGCCAAUUGGCUUAUCAUAGUUCUUUGGGAUUCUAGCAUGUCUUGUUGGAUUUUAUCCAGUCGUUCCUGCAUCUGAUCUUACAUCUCCUUUUGCAAUUGUUCCAAUCUUUCUAACCUUUGAUCCAUUGCUUUUUUUUUGCGACGAGUACUGUAGUGAUAUUUAGUUGGUGGAUUCUUGUUGGCUUCCAAAUUAACUAAAAUAAUCUCGUUUAAUUAGGGUCUUUUCGUGAAAUUUAAUGCAAAUGAUGCAAUGAAAUGUAAUGCAGAUGAAUGGAAUGAAUGCAAAAAGAGACGUUGAUUCUGAUUCAAUUCUAUUAGAACAACUUUACUAGAAAACAAAUCUCUUUAUUUAAAACGGAUAUUUACAUAUUUGGCCUUGCCCUAAUACUCAAAAUGAAGAUAUCGACCCCUUUUCUCAUAUCCAAAUGCUAAGAUCGACCCUCGUAAAUUCUCCAAAAAGGUGCCUCUUCGAUCUCCUUUUUGCAUGAUCCGAGUCGCGACCCAUUGUUCGCUCAUGCUCGUGAUGCUUGUUGGCUCCUUUAAAAGAAAUAGAACGUUAGCGGCUCUCGAAUAAUCUUUGUCACCUUGAAUUCUCAGGCCACGAAGCAAAACCGUGUACUCAUUCAUCAAACUAUCACAUUUACCUCGUUAUGUUUUCUGGUGCCAUAUUUAGAUGAACGCAUUGUCUUCCAUUUUAUCAAGAAACUCAUUUUCUUAUGACAAGCUCUCUAUUUAGAUACUGAACGUGAAUCAACACUUCUUUUAUGAUGAAAAUGCUAUGCAAUCACAAUUAAAGCAAAACAAAGCAAGUCAGUAUAACACAAAACUAAAAUUUAAAGCAUACAAGAAAUCAUAAUUAAAGCUACCAUUUAAGAAACCACUAGGGUUCGGUGUGGUACCUAGGGUAGCCUCCUUGGGCUUACUAUAUGUGGUUCAGUUCCAAAGUAAGGGUACCUAAACCGACAGAUUCCUCGAUCUUCACCUAUUACAGGCUCAUACGGACUGAGUUCAGUUCAGGGGAAUAAGUUUCCCUAUGGCCAUGCGGAGAUGAAAAUCUCACGAAAAUAUAGCUACGGAUGUAUCCCAAAAGCGAUUCACUAUCCCAUGUAGAGGUGAAAACCUCAUGAAGGCGUAGUUUCUCACUCCCACUUAAAAGGGUAAAUCGAAUGAUUUAUGCAAAAUACAAUAUGCCAAAAGAUAUAUCGAGACUUGUACAGAUAAAGCAGACAUAACAAAAUGGUGCAAAAAAUAAAAUGCAACGAAAGGAUCGUAAAUUUAAACCAAAUUAUCAACUUUCGACAAAAAGAAAAGAAGUAAUCAACUCGUGGCUUGACUCUCUUAUUUUGGGUCCUCAAAGGAGUCGCCAAGCUGUUGACACCAUUUUUUCGUAAAAACGGGGUCGACUUGGAUUUUGAAAAUGAAAACGAAAAUGGGAGUCGCCACCAAUCCUUUUUUAUGAGGUGUGAUCGGGUCACCUCGAAAAGUGGUUGUUUUUAAUAAGCAAUUUAAUUUGAUCAAAACAAAAAAUUUGGUCCACGAAAUUUAGAAAAACGGGUUCGGGAGUCGGUCACGUUCGAGGAAGGAUUAGCACUCUCGUAACGCCCAAAAUUGGUACUUAGUUGAUUAAUUAAUGUCUUAAUGUCGAGAACUGAAAACUUUGAAGAUAUUCAAAAUACGAUCCUUUGUUAAAACGCUUAAAAUUUUCAUGGAAAGAGGGCAUAUUUCACGUUAAUCGAGAAAAAAAUUAUAUCCAGUAAGUUAGGACACAAUAUCUUUAAAUCCCCAAACGAGAAUAAACACCAAGAGUUUUAUUAUUGUUAAAAAAACAUUUGAUUAUCUCGAUUUUAGAAAAAUAAUCAUAUUCCGUAAGUUAGAACACGAUCUUUUCUUAAUUCCCGAGAUUAUUAAAAGUUUCGUUUUAAAACGUUCGUUUAUUCAAAUUUAUCGAGAAAAUCGAGACCCCGUAAGUUAAGGUACGAUUUCUCGAAUCUCAAAAUACGAGCAACGUUCAUUUUGACGAAACAAUUUUUAUACAUUAAGGGAAAUAUAAAACGGUUUCGUGAUGAAAUGUCAAAAAUUUGAGUGAUCGCGUUUGCGUUCAUAGCAGAAUAACAAGCAUGCUAACAUAAGUAUCGAGUUAAGACCUAACAUUGCAUAAAUAAAUAUCGAAUAAAUGACAAUGAUGAUAUUGAUGAUAAUGAUAUUGGUAAUAAUAUACAAAUCCCAACUUAUACAAAAGGAUAUAAAUGCAUGAUAAGAUUAAAUAAAUGUAUACAUAUAUGUAUGUAUUAGGUACGUAAGCACGAAAAAUAUAAUACUAAUAGUAAUAAUAACGAUAAUAAUAAUAGUAAUAAUGAAUGUUAAUAUUAAUAAAUAAUAAACAUAAUAAUAAAGUUAAUAAUAAUAAUGAAUAAUCGAAAUUUGAAAGUGUGUAUAACAAAAUAUAAAUAUGUAAAUAAAUAAAUAAUGAAAUGACAAUAAUAAGUGUAAAUGAUAAAAUAAAGAAAAAUAAAAAUAGGAAUAAUGAGAAUAAAAAAUUAAGAUAAAUAAAUAAACAAACUAAUUUAAAAUAUGAGUAUGUAAAUAAAUGAAAAAAUUUAAAAAUUUAAUAGAGAACCAAUAAAUAAAUAAACGAGUGAAUAUUAGGUAAAACAAAUUAAUAACAAUAAUAAUAAUAAUAAUAGUAAAAAUAAAAAUAUUAGUAUUUGUAAUAAUGGAAGUAAUAGUAACAGUAAUAAUAACAAUAAUAGUACUACUACUACUACUACUACUACUAAUAAUAAUAAUAAUAAUAACAAUAAAAGGACAAAAAUAAAAAAAAUAGGAUUUAGGGGAUAGAUUUUAAAAUGAAAUAGUAAAGGAUAAUAGAGGACUAAAGUAAAACGCGCACCAAGAAGGAAAGACCGAUUAGGAAAAUAUCUCCAACCUUAUGCGCAACGUUUCAACGCGAAUUAAAAUGAAAUAAAGAGAAAAAUAUCAGGCAAAAUUAAAAGAAAAGAAAAAAAUGAAAAGGACUAAAUUGCAAUGCGCCGCAAAGGUGGAAGGACCGCGCGCGUAAAUAUACCAUUGGUUGAAAACAUGCGGAUCCUCCAGGCGGGUUGGGCUGAAAAUUCGGGAAAGGGCAAAACGGCCUCAUUUUGGGGCUUCAAAAGCCUGCCCCAAACAACGUCGUUUUGGGGAUUUAUAAAUACAAAAAAGAAAAAGCAUUCAGACCCUACUUUAAAAAUAAAUAAAAGUCUUUCUUUUUUUCUCUGUUCUCUUGCUGGAAUAGACCUAGAAUCCGGUAGAGUGGGCCAUCGUGGCUCUGCCGCGGCGCCGCCAUAGACGAUGGCCGGACUCUGUCUCAGGUAAGUUUUCGCCUCAUUUUUCUUCCAUUUCUUAUAUAUUCUCUAUAUAUAUGUAGUUUUUAAGUAAAAAGGAAAUAAAUAAUAAUAAAAACCUUUGAAUAUAAAUAGUCCCAAAAUCGAAAAUAAAGAAAAUAAAAAGGACCUUUCGUAUUUUCUUUUUUUUGUUUUUAAUCUGCUUUGCCUUUGUAGUUUUUGCUUGAAUCUUUGUUUUUUUCUUUUGUAUUCAAAAAACAAAAAUCUCAGAGAGCUACAAUCGGUUCAAAAUAAUGGCUUUAUAGCCGAAAUUACAAUAUGUUUAUUUGUUUUUUUGCUUCUUGUUUUUUUCUGAUAACACUCUAGAAUAACGUAUUUUUAUGUAUUAAUUAUGUAUUUAUUCUGAGUAUGAUCCUGCUAAUUUGAGCUAUUUAUGAUCUUUUAUCUCAUAGGGACUAAAUUUGAGGCAAAAGUGAAAUUAAGGGCCAAAAGCGUGAAUUUAGAGAUAAAAUGGGCCAAUGUGCGACACAAGGAAAAGUUGGUGCCAAAAGUGCAAGCAUGGAGGACACAAGGGUUGAAAUGCAAAAAGAAGAGAUUUUAUUCUAUUAAACUCUAUUUUAAUUAUAUUAGGAUAAUUAAUAUUGAGAUAAUUAUUAAGGAUUAUUUUUAGGAUUUUAUUUUAUCUUUAUUUAUCUUCAAUUAAAUGUAUUUAUCUUUUAGGAAUUUAAGUAGAAUUAGAAUAUCUCCCCUAGCACUAUAAAUAGGGGGUGAAGUGACUCAAAAGGGGAUCUCAUCUUUUUCUUUUUCUGUAAACACUCUCUCCCUAAAAGUCUAGGCUUUUGUUCUUUUCAUAUUUCCUUUCAAUAAAAUCUUUAUUUUUAUUUUAUUUAUUUUCUUUUCUACCACAACCAUGAGCCACUAAACCCAUCUAGCCGAAGGUUGUCAAAAAUCCCCAAAAAGGUUCUUGAGGCUUAGAAUCCGUACUUAGCCUUCUCGCUGAGUAUUCAUCGUUUCUCCGCACUACGGGGCUGACGCUUCCAUCCAAGUCCCUUAAGAAGUAAGUUUUUCAACAUAUGCAAAGGCGGCCGCUUUGUAUGUUUUGGGAAGGUUGCACAGUCGGUUCGUUAGCUUACUGCGUCAGAGGUUGGCGAGCCCAAGAGACAAAAUGGCAUGGGAUUCGCCAUUAAGAAGCGUUGAUCUAGCAUAAGACGAUCCCACAGAAGCGAUUGUUAGCUAGAGUCAGGUUCCACCAAGUCGUAGUCUAAAUCAUUGGAGCUGGUGGUCGCAAGCAUCCUCUUCCACUAUAACUGGCUUAUUCGGUUUGGGAAGGAUCAUCUAAAAGCCGAGGAUUUAACCCAAGGCUGAACGAGACAACUGGAGGCUGGAAUCUCCCGUAAGAAUUUUCUUUCUCUUAACUCUAUUUUUAAUUUCUCGAAUUUUCAAUUCAAUAUUCUUAAUUCUGUUUUUAUUUUAUUUUUCAUUUCCAGAUCCAACCCUUUAAUUCUGUUAUUGUUUUUAUUUUUUUCCAGGAACGCAGGUUGUCUUGGGCAAGACUCUGCCUGGGAUUUCACGGAACAAGAUAUUUUGCAAGUCCAGUCCUUGAGGAUUUGACCCUACUUCCCUUUUACUAUUCUUUUUCAUUAUUUAUUAGGGAUAGGAUAUUUUUGGUGCUUUCAACGACCGCAUCGAAUUUUGGCGCCGUUGCCGGGGACUGGCAACGUACUAAUCUUGUUUUUUGUUUCUUAUGACCAGAUCUGCUCCAGGUACUUUUGCGUUCGAUUCAGANNNNNNNNNNNNNNNNNNNNNNNNNNNNNNNNNNNNNNNNNNNNNNNNNNNNNNNNNNNNNNNNNNNNNNNNNNNNNNNNNNNNNNNNNNNNNNNNNNNNACUGCUAGAGCCAAUCGCAAGGAGACAAAGUUACGAAAAAAGCAGUCAGCGGUGGUUGGAACUCAAAGUAAUCCACUGCCAGAAAUUGAAGUCGACGACGAAGCUGAGUCUAGGGUUAACGAAAAUCCUACUCGAACACUUGAAAGCGAAAAAGUAGAAGUCGACUCACCAGAAGAAGUACUUAACGCUAGGGUUAACGAAAACCCAAAUUUAGCACACGAACCAAUGGCUCAAACAAUUCGGCAACUGGCCGAAGCUCCAACAGAACAACCGCCAUUAUGCAUCGUGUAUCUUACUAUGGAUACUGAUUUUGAAUUGAAGUCAGGUUUAAUCCAGUUAUUGCCAACUUUUGGUGGGUUACAAAAUGAAAAUCCCCACAAGCAUCUGAAAGAAUUUCAUAUGGUUUGUCUUAGCAUGAAACCUCAGGGGGUAACUGAGGAUCAGAUUAAAUUGCGUGCUUUCCCUUUCUCCCUAGCAGAUUCCGCUAAGGAAUGGUUAUUUUAUUUACCCCCUGGAUCUAUUACAACUUGGGCUGAUCUAUCUCGUUUGUUUCUGAACAGGUUUUUUCCAGCGUCUCGAGCAGCUGAGCUAAGAAGAGAGAUCGUUGGAAUAAGGCAAAAAGAACCUGAGUCCCUUUACGAUUAUUGGGAGCGAUUUAAGAAGUUGUGUGCAAGCUGCCCACAACAUGGUAUAACAGAGCAAUCUCUCUUCCAAUACUUUUACGAAGGUUUGAAGCCCAUGGAGAUGAAUAUGGUAGACGCUGCUAGUGGAGGAGCAUUGGUCAACAUGACUCCCCAACAAGCGAGAGACUUGAUCUCCACGAUGGCUGCAAAUUCUCAACAGUUCCGAGCCAAUACUGAACCCCCUAGAAGGGUUCAUCAGCUAAGUAAUUCAACCUUAGAGGAUAAAGUUGAUAGACUUACUAAUAUGAUGAAUUCUCUUAUUGCAGAAAAAGCGAAGACAGCUCGAUUAUGCGAAAUAUGUGCUACACCUGAUCACACAACUGAUGCAUGUCCCAGUUUGUAUGAUGAUACCACGGCCUAUCUAGAUGCUGUUGGAAAUUUCCCUGGGCCACCACAAAGGCAGUACAACCCCUACGCUAAUACCUACAACCCAGGGUGGAUGGACCAUCCUAACUUAAGUUAUGGGGCCAAUCUACGAAAUAACCAGCCAUACCAAAAUCGGUUUCCGCAAUAGCCGCGAGGUUCAGGUAAUUUUCUAGAAACCAUGGUCAAUAAGUUAGCAGCUAAUGUUCUCGAUUUUCAACAGCAAACUCUUAAUUUCCAAAAAGAGACAAAGGAUUUCCAACAGAAAAUCGAGAAGUCUAUCAGAGAGUUGACCACAUCGAUCGAGAAAUUAACCUUUCAAGGGAAGUUACCAUCACGAACAGAACCAAACCCUAGGCAAAAUGCAAAUGCAGUGACGUUACGAAGCGGAAAAAUACUGGAAUCGAUUACUGACAGGAAUCUUACCCAAGAAAAAACUGAAAAAGACGAACAGGUCCGACCGAAGCCUCCAUUGCCUAAAAUUCAACAUCCAUUUCCACAACGAUUCAACCAGUGUCGAAGAGGUAAAGAGGACAAGGAAAUUCUCGAAACAUUUAGGAAUGUCGAGAUCAAUAUUCCGUUGUUGGAUGCCAUUAAGCAAAUACCGCGGUAUGCUAAAUUUCUUAAAGAGCUUUGCACCAACAAGCAAAAAUUAACAGGUAAUGAAAGGGUGAAUGUUGGUGAGAAUGUAUCCGCAAUGUUACAGCAGAAAAUGCCGGCAAAAUGCAAGGAUAGGGGCAUGUUUGCAAUACCAUGCAAAAUAGGCCAUCUGGGAAUUAAAAAGACUAUGUGUGAUCUAGGGGCUUCUAUAAAUGUAAUGCCAUAUUCUGUUUAUGAAUCACUUAACGCAGGUUUUUUGACAAAAACAGGUGUUAUAAUUCAAUUGGCGGACAGGUCUGUUGUGCAUCCAGAAGGAGUCCUUGAGGAUGUUCUGGUAAAAGUUAACGAGCUUAUUUUCCCUGCAGAUUUUUAUGUGAUCAAAAUGGAGGAGGAUAGCACUCCUGGAUCUUCAGAUCUCCUGCUGGGUCGACCGUUCCUUAGUACAACUAGUAUUAAAAUUGAUGUUCGAAGUGGAACUCUCACAAUGGAGUUUGAUAGGGAGAUCGUAAAGUUUAAUGUCUACGAUGCCAUUAGUCAUCCAAGCGAAAUCUUUAGCGUAAAUCGUAUCGACAUAAUUGACUCUUUGGUGGAAGAGAAUUUUGAGUCAAUUUAUGGAGAUAAUUCUGAACUUAAUGAAAUUGAAUUUGUUAAAGAGUUAUUAUCUCUAAAUACUAAAAUGUUACCUUCUGUUAUACAGGCACCAGAGUUGGAGUUGAAACCACUUCCUGAGCAUCUGAAAUAUGCAUUUUUGGGGAAGGGUAAUACCCUACCAGUCAUAAUCUCCAAUAGACUCUCCACAAAUGAAGAGGAAAGUUUGGUUCAUAUACUAAAAAGUCAUAAGGAGGCGAUUAGCGGGACCAUUGCAGACUUAAAAGGGAUAAGCCCUUUGACGUGCACACACAGGAUCUACUUGGAGGAAGACACGAAGCCGAGGCGAGAGGCACAAAGACAGCUAAAUCUGAAUAUGAUGGAGGUAGUAAAAAAGGAAAUAAUCAAGCUUUUAGAUGCUGACGUAAUUUACCCUAUUUCUGACAGUAGGUGGGUAAGUCCGGUUCAGGUCGUGCCCAAGAAAACGGGCGUGACAGUAAAAAAAGAUGCUGAAGGUGACUUGGUACCUACCCGAGUACAAAAUGGGUGGCGCGUUUGCAUUGAUUACAGGAAGUUGAAUUCAUACACUAGAAAAGAUCAUUUCCCUCUUUCUUUUAUAGAUCAAAUGCUUGAAAGAUUAGCCGGAAAAACUCAUUUUUGUUGUCUUGAUGGAUACUCAGGUUUCUUUCAAAUUCCAGUCGCACUGGAGGACCAAGAAAAGACCACUUUUACAUGCCCAUUCAGUACAUUUGCAUAUAGAAGGAUGCCAUUCGGUCUUUGCAAUGUGCCAGCCACCUUCCAAAGAUGUAUGAUGAGUAUAUUUUCUGAAUAUGUGGAAAAAAUUAUCGAAGUUUUUAUGGAUGAUUUUACUGUAUAUGGGAAUUGUUUUGAUGAAUGCCUUAAAAACCUAACGAUAAUUUUAAGUAGGUGCAUAGGAUUUAAUCUUGUCUUGAAUUAUGAAAAGUGUCAUUUUAUGGUAGACAAGGGUUUAAUUCUAGGUCAUGUUGUUUCAUCUAAAGGAAUUGAGGUCGAUAAGGCCAAAAUUGAUAUUAUAAAUUCUUUGCCUUAUCUCUCCACCGUGAGGGAAAUUCGUUCUUUUCUUGGUCAUGCAAGGUUUUACAGGCGCUUCAUAAAAAACUUCUCGAGGGUAGCUGAACCACUGUGUGAGUUGUUGCAGAAGAAUAAGAAAUUUGAGUUUGGCCUAAAAUGUAAGGAGGCAUUUGAUACACUCAAGCAAAAGUUAGUCUCCGCUCCUAUAGUACAACCACCAGAUUGGAAAUACCCAUUUGAAAUUAUGUGCGACGCCAGCGAGCGCAGUGUAGGAGCCGUGUUGGGGCAAAGGAUAGACAAAGAACCACAUGUCAUAUGUUAUGCCUCGAAAACCCUAGAUGCUGCGCAGAGCAACUACAACACUACGGAAAAAGAACUCUUAGCCGUUGUAUUUGCUUUAGAUAAAUUUCGACCUUAUUUAUUGGGAACUAAAGUGAUUAUUUUUUCUGAUCAUGCAGCUCUCAGGUAUUUGAUCGCAAAGAAAGAAGCAAAACCGAGGCUCAUUAUGUGGAUUUUGCUACUCCAAGAAUUUGACAUUAAGAUUCGAGACAAAAGACCACUUAAGCAAAAUAAAAGUACCUUUUGACGACAUCCCAAUUAAGGAAGAAUUCCCUGAUGAGAGCCUAUUCUCGACCGAGGUACGUCUCCCAUGGUAUGCAGAUAUAGUAAACUUUCUAGCCACAGGAUUAUUACCCACUGAGUUAGCACGUUCCGCGAGGGACAAGCUUAGACGCAAUGCUCGAUAUUACAUUUGGGAUGACCCAUACUUGUGGAAACACUGUUCAGACCAGAUAAUACGAAGAUGUGUUCCAGAAACUGAGGUAACUUCUAUCCUUAAUUUUUUCCAUGCUGAAGCUUGCGGAGGUCACUUUGGACCUAAGCAGACCGCUCAUAAGGUGUUAGAAUGUGGGCUAUACUGGCCCACAAUUUUUCAAGACGCAUAUAACUUCUGUAAGUCUUGCGAUAGGUGCCAACAUACAGGUAACAUCACUAAACGAAAUCAAAUGCCCCUUUCCCCGAUUCAUGUAUGCGAAAUCUUUGAUGUAUGGGGUAUCGAUUUCAUGGGCCCAUUUAUUUCUUCAUUUAGCAAUGUAUACAUAAUUCUUGCAGUAGACUAUGUUUCUAAGUGGAUAGAAGCAAAGCCUACUCAUAAUGAUAAUGCCAAAACUGCUAUGGAGUUUUUAAAACAAACUAUCUUUUCCAGGUUUGGCACACCUCGAGCCCUAAUCAGUGAUCGUGGCACCCACUUUUUUAAUAAGGUCAUGGAGGCACUGUUGGCAAAAUAUGGAGUCCACCACCGUAUAGCUACGGCUUACCAUCCCCAAACGAACGGUUAAGCCGAGGUCUCAAACAGGGAAAUCAAGACUAUUUUGGAGAAAAUAGUUCGUCCUAACCGAAAAGAUUGGAGCAUUCGGCUAAAUGAUGCACUUUGGGCCUAUAGGACUGCGUAUAAGGGACCGAUUGGUAUGACCCCGUAUCGACUUGUUUUUGGUAAAGCCUGCCACCUUCCAGUCGAAUUGGAACAUAAAGCCUAUUGGGCCAUUCAACAGUGUAACAUGGAGUUAGAACUUGCAGGAAAGGCAAGGAAAUUAGACAUCCAAGAGUUAGAAGAAAUUCGUAAUGAUGCCUACGAGAAUGCUCACAUUGAUAAAGAUAAGACAAAGUUGUUUCACGAUAAGAGAAUUGCUCAAAAGAAUUUUUCAGUAGGACAAAAAGUUUUACUUUAUAACUCCGUGUUAAAGUUAUUCCCAGGUAAGCUUCGAUCACGAUGGCAAUGACCUUUCAUUGUUACUAAAGUGUUCACACAUGGAGCGGUUGAAAUAGAGAGUGAAAAAUCUGGAAAGCAGUUCGUAGUCAAUGGCCAGCGGUUGAAGCCAUUUUAUGAGAAUUUUCAAGCCCACACGGUUGAGGAAAUCCAUUUGGAACCACCAUAGAACCAAUAACGGUGUCGAGCUAACGACGUUAAACAAGCGCUUGUUGGGAUGCAACCCAAUUUUUAUUAUUAUUUUUCUUUACUUUAUUUAUUACUUUAUUUUAUUAUUUAUUACUUAUUUGGAUAUUAAUCAAUUUUUCUUCUUUUGCUUAGAAAAAAAAAUGAAGCAAACCGUUAAGCAACACUUAAAGCGCAUUAAGGCCUGACUUGAAACCGUGUGUCAGGUGACACGGCCGUGUCUCCCCUGAUACUUCUUAGAAAUCAAGCCAGUAUCUUCACACGGCCUAGAACAUGAGUGUGUGGCUUCGCCAUGUGGCUCAAGUCAGUAUACCUCUAAUUUUCACACGACCUAGCACAUGGCCUGGCACACGGGCGUGUGAGGCCAUUACAAAAGGUACACAACCUAGCAUGUGGGCAUGUGGUUGGCCGUGUGACCCAAGUCAAUGAGUUACAUGGGGUUGGACACGGGCUGAGACACAGUCGUGUGUCCCCAUUCCGAAUGCCCACACGGCCUGAGACACGGGCGUAUGUCCCUUACACUUUGAAAUAAUUUAAUGUUUUUCUAAAACUUUCUUGAGCACUCGUUUUAGUUUUGAACCACUUUUAAUGUCUAUUUGGGGCCUCGAGGGCUCGUGUUAGGGACCAUAUGAUUGUUUAUGAAUGGUUUUUGAAUUGAAUGAGAAAUAUACAUGAAAUGGUUGAUUGAUUGAACUGUAAGUCUGGUAAUACUCCGUAACCCUAUUCCGGCGUCGGAUAUGGGUUAGGGGUGUUACAUAAUUUCUGUAGAAAUAAAAUUUAUUUGGUUUACUCACAUUCUGAUUUUGAUAAGGUUUGAUCUCACUAAGGUUUAAGGAGGACCAAUUGCAUGUGAAUGAUGGAAUUUCAAUCAAGGUAGCCAAUAUGAUCGACAUAAGGAACUUAAGAUUGAGCUUUCCGUUUUGGUUGAGGUCCUGCAUGUGUUGCGAACUCACCACAGCUCGUAUGAGCUUACCGAUUUGUAGUUCGUAGGAGCUUAUCUAUAUUCAGCUCGGAGGAGCUUACCGUUUAUUGCUCGUAUAAGCCUACAUGUACAGGAAGUGACAGAUUAGAGUUUAUUACACCUGGUGUGUACUACCUGCGUAUCUAACGAGAUUCUAAGUGGUUCAACGGGCAUAGUGUUAUUACGAGAUUAUAUAAGUUCGAUACAAACUAGUACAGGUGUUUACAUGGAGAUGGUUUAUAUAUAUAUGAUAUAUGGAUAUGCGGUAGAGAUGUUACAUGUACAUGGAAUUUUAGUAAUUUUUGAAUUCAUACAUGAUGCUCGAUUUUUAUGUGUAUACAUGGCUAACUUGGUGAAUGGUUAUUUCAUAGGCUUUCGCCAAAUUGAAUUGAGUUAUGCUUUGAGUUAUUCACCUAAAUUUCUGGUUAUACAGUAAGUUUUAUUCUAUGUUUUACGAACUUACUAGGCUUAAUUUCUUACUCUGUUUAUUUUUCCGUGUUUUAUAGUGCUUAGGAAGUUCACUCGGUUUGGAAGUCGUCGGAGAUUGCUUCACACUAUCAAACACUCUUUUUGGUAUUUUGGACUUUAUGUAUUUUGGUUAAAAAGUAUGUAUUGGUAUUUUGGCUAAUGUGUGCUAUAUUUCUUGUUGUAUUUUGGCCAUUUGAAUUGGCUUGUAAGGUGGUAAUAUAUUUUGAUAUGUAUAUAUGUAUAAAUGGCCUUAUGAUAUGUGGUGUAUAGUUGCUAUAUGAAUGCAUUGCUUGUGAAAUUGAGUGUUGGCACUAAAUGUGUGGGCAUGCUAAGUUUUAGGCACAAUGUCUCAUAUAUGUAAUUGACCAUUUAGGUAGACUUUAGAAAUGUAUUUGGUAUGUUUAAAAGUGGUCAAAUGAAUGUGAUCAUGGGUAUCAUGUUGUUUGUGCGGAUAGUACAUGUUAUAAACUUGAUAUUGGUUGGUUUUGAGUGUCUAUUUAUGUCAUGGUUAUGUACAAAUUGAUGUGUAUAGGUUGGUACCAAGGUGGGUGACGAAUAUGGCUUGGAAAAUGGACUAUUUUAUCUACACGGGUAGAGACACGAGCAUUAGCUCAGCCGUGUGUCAGGUGACACGGCCGUGUCUCCCCUGAUACUUCUUAGAAAUCAAGCCAGUAGCUUCACACGGCCUAGCACACGAGCGUGUGGCUUCGCCAUGUGGCUCAAGUCAGUAUAACUCUAAUUUUCACACAACCUAGCACACGGCCUGGCACACGGGCGUGUGAGGCCAUUUCGAAAGGUACAUGGUCUAGCAUGUGGGCAUGUGGUUGGCCGUGUGACCCAAGCCAAUGAGUUACAUGGGGUUGGACACGGGCUGAGACACAGUCGUGUGUCCCCAUUCUGAAUGCCCACUAGGCCUGAGACCCAUUUCGAAUGCCCACACGGGCUGAGACACGGGCGUAUGUCCCUUACACUUUGAAAUAAUUUAAUGUUUUUCUAAAAAUUUCUUGAGCACUUGUUUUACUUCCGAACCACUUUUAAUGUCUAUUUGGGGCCUCGAGGGCUCGUGUUAGGGACCAUAUGAUUGUCUAUGAAUGGUUUUUGAAUUGAAUGAGAAAUAUACAUGAAAUAGUUGAUUGAUGUAACUCUAAGUUUGGUAAUACUCCGUAACCCUAUUCCGGCAUCGGAUACGGGUUAGGGGUGUUACAUAAUUUCUAUAGAAAUAAAAUUUAUUUGGUUUACUCACAUUCUGAUUUUGAUAAGGUUUGAUCUCACUAAGGUUUAAGGAGGACCAAUUGCAUGUGAAAGAUGGAAUUUCAAUCAAGGUAGCCAAUAUGAUUGACUUGUCGUUUUUAUUUUAGUAUUAGUAUAUAUUUAUAGUUUAACUUUUAAUUUUUAAGAAAUUAUAUAUAUUUUUAUAUACUUAUAAAUAUACCUUAAUUAAAUAACUAUAAAUAUAUUUAUUUAUAAACAUAAAUUUUAAAAUCUUUCAUCAAUUUCAAUAAUUAUUGAAUUUAAAUGUAAUUAUAAAAAUUUAAAUACAUUAAGAGUUAAAUAAAAAUUUAAUUUAAAAAUUAAUUUAAAAUAUCAAAAUUUUGUAACGAUAUGAACAAAUAUAAGUUGUUAUUAACUAAAACAAUUCAAAUACAUCGAAAUAGUUGAAACAUGCCAAAAUUUUAAUCAAACUAAAACAUAUACUACUUUGUACUCAUUUAAGAUUGAAAUGAUAUAUAUUAACCUAUACAAUUCAAAUACAUCGAAAUAGUUGAAACAUGCCAAAAUUUUAAUCAAACUAAAACAUAUACUACUUUGUACCCGUUUAAGAUUGAAAUGAUAUAUAUUAACCGAUACAACCCAUACCUAAGUACCACAAUUCCAACCUCCACUCCAACCCAUAUUUAUUUUAAUCUAAUAUUAAACAAUAAUCUCAAAUGUUCCAAAUUUCAUUUCUCUAUUGGUACAAGGAUGCACUUAAUUUUUUAGUUUACUCUCAUUAAUUGAGUAAUGAAGCGACUUGUUUAUACUUUUUUGCUAAUUUAGCGUUGAUUUUUUUAUAAAUAUAUAAAAUUAAAAGAUAAAAAAGACUUAAAAAUUAUAAAAUUAAAAAAAUAAUAUGAACGUAAAAAAAUAUACGAAAUCACAUAAAUAAGUAAAAAAAAAACACUUAAAUCAAGGAUAAAUCCAAAAUUAAACCUAACAAAAACGAAUCUAGAGACUAAAUUGAACAUAUUAAUAUAUCACAUUAGGAUUGAAUCAUGAACAUACUAAAUAUGUAAAUAAGGACUAAAAUGAAUCAAAUUGAAAAUUUCAUGCAAAGAAACAGAAAUUUCAAAAGACUUAAGUUCGCAAUGACCCCUAAAACCAUUAAUGCACACUUAAAACCCGAAAACUGAGUCUUUCUUGCUUUUUUUUUUCUCUCUCAUUUUUCAUGCGCCAAUCAGCCUCAUUUUCUUUUUCCUCUUCUAUCACCAUGAUUUAGAAUCCCUCAUAACCGACUUUAUUAAAUAAAAAUAUGUAAUAGAUUAUAUUAAAAAUAUUUUAUAUUAUAUGAUAUUUGAAAUGUAAAAGAAUAAAUAUAUUAUAUAUUUUAUGUAUCCUGAAUUGAAAUAUUUAUAUAUCUUAUACAGGAUAAAUUAAUAUAUAUUAGUUGCUAAUAUCUAAGAUAUUAAUCUUUUAAAUCAAGGAAAUCUAAUGUCAUGUCAUUUAAAUAGUUUACCCACUUGUUAUUUGUUAUAAUAGAUUCACCAACUGCUCUCUUUAUCAUCAACUUUUUAAAUGUGAUUUAAUUUAGCUACAUAAUUACAUUUCUUUUUAUUUUUAAAUAUUAUAUAUCUUUAAUAAAAUAUAGAUAAAUCUAUCACAAUAUGUUUUAAUUUAAUAUACAUUUAAUUUUAAAAAAUAAUAAAUUCCAAAUCAAGUUCAAAUAAUUGAUGUGUGAAAUGAAAAAGAAAUCAAUUUAAAAUGCUCAAAUCUAAAGCAAUAUCUAUAUGAUCCACCUAAUAAGUAAAAUUGUAGAUAUCACACCAAAAACGUGUUUUAAAUUGUAAGAAGUAAUGAGUUUCGUGUGACGAUUUGAUAGUUAAGAGUGUUUGUAAUCACUGAAUUUUGCCCGGGUUGAAGUUUGGGCCAGGUCGGUCUCGUAUGGGCCCAAUGAUCGGGCCCAUUAGGAUUUAAUUUUAGAAUUGUUUUAGCCCAUUUUUAAUGUUUGCUUUAAAUAUUAAUAAAAUAGUCAUAAUAAAAUAAAAAAUACAAAAAAUAAAAAUUUAUAUUUUGACCCCAAACUUUGCUAAAAUUACAUUUUGGCCCCAAACUUUCUCAAAAUUACACUUUGACCCCUAAACUUUUUGAAAAUUACAUUUUGGCCCCAUAUUUUCCUAAAAUUACAUUUUUACCCCAAAUAUUUUGCGUCUUCUACAUUUUGGUCCUUCUGGGCAUGUCAGACCCCCCCAAUCAGCAGCCGAGCGUGCUUCCCCUCACCUCCAGCUACUUCAGCAGAUGACCUAGGCCAUGAUGCCCUCCUCUGCCACCUGAAGACAAGAAGAAAAAGGACAAAAAAUGAAGAGAUUAAAAAGAAGAAAAUGGAAGAGAAGAAAGGGGAAUCGAAAAAAGAAAGGAGAAAAAGUACAGAGAAAAUUCAAAAAAAUCCAAACAAUAACAGCCCAACAGCCCUCGCCACCGUCGUGCCACUACCCUCCACCGCAGCCACCGUACCACCACCUAGAAGCCAAGAGAAAGUGAAACAAAAAGAGAAGCAAAACAAAAACGCAGCAGCAAAAAACAAGAAAAAAAGCAAAAAGAAAGGUCCAAAAAGAAAGCCCAGUCAUCCCUUCAUCACCACCGUGCCACCACCGGCCGUCGUACCAGGUGGAGGAAACGCCCUCAAAGGCGCACGUGGGGUUAAGGUGCUGCCCGAAGAAGAAGAAAAAAGAAAGAAAAAAGAAGAAGAAAAAGGGAGAAGAAAAAGAAAAAGAAAAAGAGAAAGAAAAAGAAAAAGAAAAAAGAAAAAAAUUUAAAAGUCAGUCGGGUUAACCCGACCCGACCACCUGACCCUCGGAGCCAUCCUGACCCGACCCGCGCUCCAACAGCCCUCUCCAAACAGCAGGAUCCAACAGCAAAACACCCAGGUCUGUCCAAAAAAAAAACAGCAGAAAAAAUGAUGAAAGCAGACCAUCUUUAGCAGGCCAGCCAACAGGCCAGCACUAAGCCAGCAGGCCCAGCAGCUGGUUUACUCCAGUCCAGGCCCAACAGCACCUAGCAGGCCAGCCCAGCAGCAGCAGCAGGCCCAGUACCGCCCAGCCCAGUAGCUCCAACGCAGCCCAAUCCAGCAGCAGCAGAUUCGGCCCAGCAGACUUCCAGCAGGCCCAGGCCCAACGUCCAGCAGGCCCAAAAAAAAAAGAAAAAAAAGGAAGAAAAAAAAGAAAAAAGGAAAAGGGCCCACAACUUUGGGCUUUUGGUAAUUUCCUUAAAUCCAUUUUAAUUUAGUCUAUUUGUUUAAAUAUUGCUCCAUUUUAAUUAAACUAACAUUUUAAAUUUUUUUAAAAUAUUAUUAUAUUCAUUUUAUUUGCAUGUAUAAAAUAAAAAAAUAAAAAAAUUAUUUUAACGCAUAAGGCAACGAACCGGUUUAGCACGAAGCCGUUGAUUUCAUCGCUAUGUUGGGUGAAUAUCAAUGGCUCGCGUUAAAUACGGGACGCCCUUCUAAAAAUCGAGAAUAUUCAAAAUUCCUCGUAUUUUAAUAAAAAUUCUCGUGUUUUAUUAGAAUCCCGAUUAAAUAUUAAAUUGAAUCGGUUUGACACUAAUUCGACGAUUUCAUCGCCAUGUCGGGGUGAAUAUCAUCGAUUCGUGUUAAAUACGGUAUUUUUUUAAAAAAAAUCGUGUUUCACAAAUUUUUACGUCUUCAAAAUUUCUCGUGUUUCAAAAUAAUAAUAAUAAAAUUUCCCGUGUUUCAAAAAUAUAUAUUCGUGUUUCUUUUCAAAAAAAAAAUUUCCGUGUUUUCAAAAAUUCUCUUGUUUAAAAAAUGUUCGUGUUUUCGUGUUUUCAAAAAAUAAUUUCUCGUGUUUCAAAAAAAAAAACUUUUGCGAAUAUUUUUUGAUGUUAUCGUGUUUUCAAAAAAAAUCCCAUGUUCGACAAAUUUUCAUGUUUCCGUGUUUAAAAAAAAUUUCGCAUUUCAAAAAUCUUCGUAUUUUCAAAAUUCCAAUGUUUCAAAAAUUGUCGUGUUUUCAAAAAAAAAAAUUUUCUUGUUUUCAAAAGUCCCGUAUUUCGAAAGUUUUCUUGUCUUCAAAAAAAUUCCGUGUUUCAUAAAUUUCCGUGUUUUCAAAAAAAAUUCGUCUUUCAAAAAUUUUCGUGUUUUCAAAAAAAUUGACCGUGUUUCAUAAAUUUUCGUGUUUCAAAAGAAAAUCCUCGUGUUUCGUAUUUUAUCAAAAAUAUUAUGUUUUCAAAAAAAAUUUGUGUUUUAAAAAAUUUUUGUGUUUCAAAAAGAAAAUUCGUGUUUCCUAAAAAAUCUCGUGUUUCAAAAUUUUCGUUUUUUAAAAGAGUUCUGUGUUUCUAAAAUGCUUGUAUUUAAAUAAAAUUUUGUGUUUUCAAAAAAAAAAAGAAAAAGUUGUUGUGCUUUAAAAUUCUCGUGCUUUAAUCGGAUCACGGNNNNNNNNNNNNNNNNNNNNNNNNNNNNNNNNNNNNNNNNNNNNNNNNNNNNNNNNNNNNNNNNNNNNNNNNNNNNNNNNNNNNNNNNNNNNNNNNNNNNUAUUUUUGAAAAUGAAGAUAACGCACGUUUAACGAGAUACCAAUUUUGGGCGUCCGAGGGUGCUAAUACCUUCCUCGCGCGUAACCGACUCCCGAACCCUAAUUUUCUCUGGAUUUCAACGUAGACCUAAAAUUGCCUCUUUUUUAGAAAAGUUUAAAAUUAAAUUUUUUCUUAUAAAAAGAGAGUUUUGAAGGUGUCCGAUCACACCUAGAAAAAGAUCGAUGGCGACUCCUUUUUUUCAAAUAAAAUCGAAACUCCGUUUUCAAAUUUUCAAUAAUCACUUCAAUUAGUGCCCACACCAAAUUUUUAGGUCGCUACAGCUGGCGACUCCGCUGGGGACUUUUGAGAGUCGAGUCUGACGUUAAACGCGCGUUAUCAAAUUUUCAAAAAUUCUUGUUCAAAUUAAUUUUUAAUCGUGAUCCUUGAAUUUUAUCUUCUUCUUUUUUUCAAAAAAAAUCAUACAUCCGCAUCCGGUUUUGAAAUUAAUAUUUUUCUAACCUGUUUUACUUUCGUGUUUUUUUUCAGCUUUAAGUUUUGUGGUUUUAGUUUGUUUUUUUUAGUAAAAAUAAAAAUAAAAAGGUUUGUGAGUUUCUCCCCACACACCGUGCACCUACAUUCUUGCAUAACUUGAGCUCUCUACCCGGGCUCCGUCCGUUUAAGUGGAAGUAAACGCUACGCCUUCGUGAGUUAACUCGUCCCUCCGCACAGGCUAGUGAAAUACUUCCGGGUUACAUAUGACUUAUGCUUUCGUGAGUUAACUCGUCCCUCCGCACAGGCAUAAGUAAAUGUAAUCCCUCGAAUUGAGCUCGCGAGCCCUGACGGGCGAUAACCGAGGCUCCGUACUAGCCUUAGUAGGUGACAGUAUGGACAAUUCGAGUACCUUUCUAGAACCGAAACUACAUAUAGUGAACCUUAUGAGCCACCCGAGUAGAGCCAUGCCGAACCUCCGUCUAUCGAAUAGUCACCAAAAUAAGUACACGGGAGAAACGCCUCUUACCUUUUAUUUCUUUUGCAUUUACACUUAUUUAAUGAAUUAAGUCUGUUUAAUAAAUUGGGCCGGAUAGAUUGUCUGAUGGUAUGUGGGGUAGGUUUCUUGUAAAGCAUAUUGGGGCAAGAAAAAAGAAAAAAUGUGGGUCUUUUCCACCAAAUUGCAUGAUUGAAUAGCUUAAUUCGUUAAAUUUUCCAUAGUCUUUAUUUUUCUUCUUUCUUCUUUUUAUAUCUGUUGUGAUCUCUGACCAGGGUUAUUUGUUUUUUAUUUUAUUUUUCAUCAUGCAUCGUAGACAUCUCAUUAGGAAGGUGUUGGUUAAAGAUUGGUUGCCAAAAACGGGUUUCUGAUGGAGGAGUCAAUUACACAAGUAACUGAGAAAAAUGCCGUAGUUCGAGAUUGGUCUUUGAGGACUCAGAAAGCGAAAGGGGAUAGUUUAAAAGAAGGAUACAUCUCUGAUCUUCCUGAGCAUGUGACUUUGAAUGCUCAUUAGAAUGAUCUCAAAGACUUGACUAGGAUUUGGAAACAGUGGGACUCAGACUGACUGUUAAGUACGAGAUCUAACAUAUGGGGANNNNNNNNNNNNNNNNNNNNNNNNNNNNNNNNNNNNNNNNNNNNNNNNNNNNNNNNNNNNNNNNNNNNNNNNNNNNNNNNNNNNNNNNNNNNNNNNNNNNUAGCAAUUGAUGUGAACGAGCAGUUGAUCCAAGCCAUGGUUCGAUUCUGGGACCCAGCCUAUCAAUGUUUCACUUUCAAUCAGGAAGAUAUGACUCCGACCAUAGAAUAGUAUGCCGCUUUGCUUCGCAUCGAUAAUGUGCAACUCAACAAGAUAUAUGUGAAGGAGCCUAAACCAAUGACCUUCAAGAAAAAGCUAAUGAAGUUGACGGGGAUGACUGAUACAUGGGCUGAAAAACAGAUAAAGAAGAAGAAUGAAGUCAGUUGUGUUCCGUGGUUUUCUCUUCGGGAGUUAGUUCAGAAUCAUCCAGAUGUUUUGAAAAGAGUAGAUUUAUUUGCCUUGGCCAUUUACGGACUGGUCGUCUUCCCGAAGGUUCUUGGGCAUAUUGAAGUUGCGGUUGUGGAUUUCUUCGAAAAGUUGAAGCAAAGAGUCAACCCGGUCCCAACCAUCUUGGCUGAGACUUUUAGAUCUCUAAAUGCUUGUAGGAGAAAAGGGGAAGGACGUUUUAUUGGAUGCGCUCAGUUACUGAAUGUUUGGAUCUUUAGCCAUUUUUGGAAGGUGGAGCUCACGCCUUUCCACAUGUUUUCAAAGACAUUCGCCCCGUUGGAAGCACACCUUGAAAAAGAUUGGCCGAAGGAUGUCACUGAACAGCACUGGGUCUCAGUUUUUCAGAACCUCCGUGCCAAAGAUAUAACUUGGAGAGCACCUUGGAUUCGUCCCUCUGUCUUAUUAUACAAGUGUGGAAACCAAGACUGGAUGCCUUUACUAGGAUUAUGGGGAGGAGUUAGAUAUGCUCCAUUUUUGGUUCAAAGACAAUUCGCUUCGCGACAGUUUGUACCAGUUACCAAUGGAUUGGCACAAUCGGAGUUUGCCUUUAUGGGUGAGGGUUACAUGAAAAAGGUUCGAGAUACUGCGAAUUCUUGGAGGCAAAUCUACCUAAUGGAAUUAGCUCUCUAUGUUGAUACUAUCACUGUAGACUAUGACCUAUGGAGGCAACGACGAGUGAAGAGUCAAGUAACCCCAUCGAUUGAUGAAGCUUGCCAGAAUCCGUUCUUAGAGAAAAUUCCAUCCGAGCUAGAAAUUGCAAGACAUGAAUUUGAACGUGAAAAAGCCAAACUAUUGCGAGAUAUUAGUUCUCUCCAGGAGGAGAACUACCAGUUGAAGAUUGAUGUCAAAAUUGAAAAAUCCAGAACCGAAAAAGUCUAAAAAGAUGUUGAAGUUACGAGAAAGGAUUUAAGGGANNNNNNNNNNNNNNNNNNNNNNNNNNNNNNNNNNNNNNNNNNNNNNNNNNNNNNNNNNNNNNNNNNNNNNNNNNNNNNNNNNNNNNNNNNNNNNNNNNNNNNNNNNNNNNNNNNNNNNNNNNNNNNNNNNNNNNNNNNNNNNNNNNNNNNNNNNNNNNNNNNNNNNNNNNNNNNNNNNNNNNNNNNNNNNNNNNNNNNNNNNNNNNNNNNNNNNNNNNNNNNNNNNNNNNNNNNNNNNNNNNNNNNNNNNNNNNNNNNNNNNNNNNNNNNNNNNNNNNNNNNNNNNNNNNNNNNNNNNNNNNNNNNNNNNNNNNNNNNNNNNNNNNNNNNNNNNNNNNNNNNNNNNNNNNNNNNNNNNNNNNNNNNNNNNNNNNNNNNNNNNNNGCAUCUCGGCAGUUUAUCAAUGAAAUUCGUAGGGCGGCUGCGCAUGUAGUACAAUUGUCAGAUGAAGCGGAAGUUCUCAGUUGCCAAUACCCUCCAAGCCAAAGAUCAAGCAUAUCGGAGUUCCUGGAACGUGUAAAGAAGCAAGGCGACGUGGCUAAGAAGUUUGUGUAACUGUAAAACUAAUAUGGCAAAACUUUUUGUAAUGGACUCUUUUGAUAAAUGAAACGCCCAAGUAUGGGGCCAUUUUGGAAUCAACACCUAUUUUUGCAUAUUUACGCAUGAUUAACAUUCAUUAAUUAUUCAUUCAUUCAUUACAUGCUCAUAUCUCCCUAAUCAUUCGCUAAGGUUAAAACCAUCUAAUCCACAGUUACCACACUACAAGUCUGGAAUCACGUCACUCCUAUAGGACGCGCUUAAGAGCUAGAACUAUGGAUGCCGAACUCAAUGAAAGGAUGGAAAGGAUGGAAAGAACCCAAAGAGAAUUGCAGGAGCAACUGGCCAAGUCGCAGCAAGAGGCAAGAGAUUUGAUGGUGAGAUCUCGAGAGGAAUCGCUCGAGCAAAGAGAUCAAAUGACCAAAAUGAUGGAAAUGAUGAUGGCCUUGGUCAAAGGAAAGGGACCUAUGCAGAGCCCCGAUAUCGUAGAACCGCCUCAGUCAAGAGCUAAUCAAGAUCCACUUUAUCCCCCGGGAUUUACUCCACCUCAUGUCCAUACAAUGCAAAGAGGAUACCCCCAAAGAAAACCUACAAGUCAGGAACAACAUCCUACUCCAUCUGCUCAUUUAGGACAGGGAUGUUUGUAUCGAACCCUGGGGCUAAUCCUUCAGAUCCAAUUGUUCCAUGACCUAGAUGAUGCUGUAGAAGUAGCAGCUGAGAUGAUGACAUACGCUCAGGAUAAGUACAGAUCCUNNNNNNNNNNNNNNNNNNNNNNNNNNNNNNNNNNNNNNNNNNNNNNNNNNNNNNNNNNNNNNNNNNNNNNNNNNNNNNNNNNNNNNNNNNNNNNNNNNNNUAGAAGGCGCUGAAGUUUUCUCUACUUUGAGUGCCAAAGAGCUCAGUUUGGUACCUGAUUUGGUCUUACCCCCAAAAUUUAAGGCACCUGAUUUCGAGAAGUAUGACGGAACAAGAUGUCCAAAGGCGCAUUUGAUCAUGUUUUGCCGAAAGAUGACUGGUUAUGUAAACGAUGAUAAAUUGUUGGUGCAUUGCUUUCAAGAUAGUUUGGUUGGCUCAGCCCUUCGAUGGUAUAAUCAACUCAGUAGAGAGAGAAUCCGAUCAUGGAAGGAUUUGGCUUCAGCAUUCUGUGAGCAAUAUAGGCAUGUACCGGAUAUGAUGCCUGAUUGACUAACCUUACAAAUGAUGGAAAAGAAGCCGACAGAGACUUUUCGGCAGUAUGCACAAAGAUGGAGGGAUAUCUCGGCUCAGGUGGAGCCUCCGUUAACUAAGACAGAGAUAACGGUCCUCUUCAUUAAUACUCUCAAAGCGNNNNNNNNNNNNNNNNNNNNNNNNNNNNNNNNNNNNNNNNNNNNNNNNNNNNNNNNNNNNNNNNNNNNNNNNNNNNNNNNNNNNNNNNNNNNNNNNNNNNACGAUAAAUUGGUAGGAAGUGCCACAAAGGACUUCGCGGAUAUUGUAAUAUCCAGGGAGCUUAUUGAAAACGCCGUCAAGAGUGGGAGAAUGGAAGGCCCCGAGAGUUCGAAGAGGGUAGUACCCGCAAAGAAAAAGGAGGCAGAGGCUCAUAUGGUUGGAAUCGAGAGUCACUGUGCCCCCAAUUCGUACCCUGCCUAAUCACGACCUCAUUAUCGCCCACCUUCAAACUUCUACUUUCCUCCUCAAGGUCCUUACCAUCAAGCACCUCCGUCUUACCCCGUUUAUGCUAUGAAUAACCAAAGACCAUUCACCUUGUUCCCACCAAACACCAUGCCUACACAAAGUCAACCUAAAAAUGAUCAAAGACCAGCAAGACCCAUUCCUGAAAAACCUCAAUUCACCCCAAUUCCUGUGCCAUACGGAGAAUUAUACCCGAAACUGUUGGAGAAGCAAUUGAUAUCCCCACAUUACAUGGCACCCAUGAAGCCCCCUUACCCGAGGUGGUAUGAUCCUAAUGCUAGUUGUGUGUAUCACGCUGGGAAUCAGGGACACUCUACAGAAAAUUGUGUGGCCUUUAAAAAGAGGGUUCAAGGUCUCAUCGAUGCUGCCAUUUUACGAUUUGAUGGUGUUAGCAAUGUGACGGGAAAUCCUCUUCCUAACCAUACUGGCGGGAAUGUAAAUGCGGUGAUAGAUGAAGACAAUUGGCAAGCCAAAUGUGAUGUUAAUAAAGUAAGAACACCUUUGAAGAAGGUAUGGGAGAUGAUGAUUGAAAAUGGCAUGCUAUGUCCGUCUAGUAAGAUCCUUAAAGAAGAAAAUACAAAAGACCAGAUUUUCUGUGAUUUUCAUGGCAUUGAAGGGCAUGACAUCCAAUCUUGCAGGGAAUUUAGAAAAUUACUUCCGGACAUGAUAGAUAACAAGGAGGUCAAAGUCUUUGAUAGUGUGGAAGGGGCCGAUGAGGGAGAAAUAUGUGCCUCUGAUGAUCAAUUGAUGGCUUUCCCUUAUAGUGUCGAUAGACCCUUGGUGAUUUAUUACGAGGUAAAGAAGGAAGAAGUUAGUCGAGAAGUUAAACCAAGUUUGAUAAUUGAAGUACCUGCUCCUUUCCCUUAUAAGGACAACAAGGCAGUGCCUUGGAAUUAUGAUGUCAAUAUUAUUGUACCUGAGGGUGAAAAGUCCAAGGUUGUGAGUGAAGGUGUUAGCGGAGUAGGGCAUUUUACUCGUAGCGGAAGAUGUUAUUCUCCCGAGACGGUUGAGCCAAAGAAGAAGGUUGCUGGUCCGAGCCAAAAAGGAAAAGCACCAAUGUAUGAGGUUGAGGAUGAUGUUGAAACACAACUUGAGCAGGAAGUUAAAAAGGCUGUGAAUGAGAAGGAAGCACAUGAGUUCUUAAAGUUUAUUAAGUACAGUGAAUAUAGCGUCGUAGAACAAUUAAACAAACAGCCGGCCCGAAUCUCGGUAUUGUCUCUAUUGUUGAACUCGGAGCCACAUCGAAAUGCCUUGUUAAAAGUGUUAAAUCAAGCUUAUGUGGCGAACAAUGUAUCCGUGGAAAAGCUUGAUAGGUGGGCAAAUAAUAUAAAUGCAGAUAAUUUCAUCUCUUUUAGUGAUGACGAAAUACCGCCAAAUGGUAGGGGCUCCGUAAAAGCAUUGCACAUCACAACCAAUUGCAAAGGUUACAUAUUACCAAAUGUGCUCAUCGACAAUGGAUCUGCACUCAAUGUUAUGCCUUUGGCCACGCUUUCUAGGAUGCCGGUUGAUAUGUCUUAUCUGAGGCCUUGUUAUUCUACAGUAAGGGCAUUUGAUGGGACACGGCGAGAAGUCAUGGGAAAGAUCGAAAUUCCUUUAAAAGUGGGGCCAUGUGUAUAUGAUAUCGAGUUUCAGGUCAUGGACAUCACGCCUUCAUAUAAUUGCCUCUUAGGAAGACCUUGGAUCCAUUCUGCUGGGGCAGUUCCUUCAUCUCUCCAUNNNNNNNNNNNNNNNNNNNNNNNNNNNNNNNNNNNNNNNNNNNNNNNNNNNNNNNNNNNNNNNNNNNNNNNNNNNNNNNNNNNNNNNNNNNNNNNNNNNNNNNNNNNNNNNNNNNNNNNNNNNNNNNNNNNNNNNNNNNNNNNNNNNNNNNNNNNNNNNNNNNNNNNNNNNNNNNNNNNNNNNNNNNNNNNNNNNNNNNNNNNNNNNNNNNNNNNNNNNNNNNNNNNNNNNNNNNNNNNNNNNNNNNNNNNNNNNNNNNNNNNNNNNNNNNNNNNNNNNNNNNNNNNNNNNNNNNNNNNNNNNNNNNNNNNNNNNNNNNNNNNNNNNNNNNNNNNNNNNNNNNNNNNNNNNNNNNNNNNNNNNNNNNNNNNNNNNNNNNNNNNNNNNNNNNNNNNNNNNNNNNNNNNNNNNNNNNNNNNNNNNNNNNNNNNNNNNNNNNNNNNNNNNNNNNNNNNNNNNNNNNNNNNNNNNNNNNNNNNNNNNNNNNNNNNNNNNNNNNNNNNNNNNNNNNNNNNNNNNNNNNNNNNNNNNNNNNNNNNNNNNNNNNNNNNNNNNNNNNNNNNNNNNNNNNNNNNNNNNNNNNNNNNNNNNNNNNNNNNNNNNNNNNNNNNNNNNNNNNNNNNNNNNNNNNNNNNNNNNNNNNNNNNNNNNNNNNNNNNNNNNNNNNNNNNNNNNNNNNNNNNNNNNNNNNNNNNNNNNNNNNNNNNNNNNNNNNNNNNNNNNNNNNNNNNNNNNNNNNNNNNNNNNNNNNNNNNNNNNNNNNNNNNNNNNNNNNNNNNNNNNNNNNNNNNNNNNNNNNNNNNNNNNNNNNNNNNNNNNNNNNNNNNNNNNNNNNNNNNNNNNNNNNNNNNNNNNNNNNNNNNNNNNNNNNNNNNNNNNNNNNNNNNNNNNNNNNNNNNNNNNNCCAUCCACCUUUCAGGUGCUCAGAUAUCAAUGGCAUGAAUAAUCCCGUUAUGAAUCCUGAAAUCAAUUUUGAGAAGGUUGUUUGUUUAGGAGAAUUCGAAGCUGACGAAAAUGUUGAAGAUUGUGUCUCGUCUCCUGACUUACUGAGAAUGGUGGAACAAGAAGAGAAACAAAUCCUACCCCAUCAAGAAUCUGUUGAGGUAGUUAACUUGGGGAACGAAGAAGAGAAACAAGAAGUGAAGAUUGGGACUUCCAUUUCAGAAAACACAAGGCAAGAUUUGAUCGCCUUGCUCCAUGAAUACAAGGAUGUGUUUGCCUGGUCUUAUCAGGAUAUGCCAGGAUUGAACACGGAUAUUGUGGUCCACAAGCUCCCACUAAAACCAGAAUGCAAGCCCGUUCAGCAGAAAUUAAGAAGGAUGAGACCCGAAAUGCUGUUAAAGAUAAAAGAGAAAGUCAAGAAACAAUUUGACGCUGGCUUCCUACAAGUCUCAAAGUAUCCAGAAUGGGUAGCUAAUAUAGNNNNNNNNNNNNNNNNNNNNNNNNNNNNNNNNNNNNNNNNNNNNNNNNNNNNNNNNNNNNNNNNNNNNNNNNNNNNNNNNNNNNNNNNNNNNNNNNNNNNNNNNNNNNNNNNNNNNNNNNNNNNNNNNNNNNNNNNNNNNNNNNNNNNNNNNNNNNNNNNNNNNNNNNNNNNNNNNNNNNNNNNNNNNNNNNNNNNNNNNNNNNNNNNNNNNNNNNNNNNNNNNNNNNNNNNNNNNNNNNNNNNNNNNNNNNNNNNNNNNNNNNNNNNNNNNNNNNNNNNNNNNNNNNNNNNNNNNNNNNNNNNNNNNNNNNNNNNNNNNNNNNNNNNNNNNNNNNNNNNNNNNNNNNNNNNNNNNNNNNNNNNNNNNNNNNNNNNNNNNNNNNNNNNNNNNNNNNNNNNNNNNNNNNNNNNNNNNNNNNNNNNNNNNNNNNNNNNNNNNNNNNNNNNNNNNNNNNNNNNNNNNNNNNNNNNNNNNNNNNNNNNNNNNNNNNNNNNNNNNNNNNNNNNNNNNNNNNNNNNNNNNNNNNNNNNNNNNNNNNNNNNNNNNNNNNNNNNNNNNNNNNNNNNNNNNNNNNNNNNNNNNNNNNNNNNNNNNNNNNNNNNNNNNNNNNNNNNNNNNNNNNNNNNNNNNNNNNNNNNNNNNNNNNNNNNNNNNNNNNNNNNNNNNNNNNNNNNNNNNNNNNNNNNNNNNNNNNNNNNNNNNNNNNNNNNNNNNNNNNNNNNNNNNNNNNNNNNNNNNNNNNNNNNNNNNNNNNNNNNNNNNNNNNNNNNNNNNNNNNNNNNNNNNNNNNNNNNNNNNNNNNNNNNNNNNNNNNNNNNNNNNNNNNNNNNNNNNNNNNNNNNNNNNNNNNNNNNNNNNNNNNNNNNNNNNNNNNNNNNNNNNNNNNNNNNNNNNNNNNNNNNNNNNNNNNNNNNNNNNNNNNNNNNNNNNNNNNNNNNNNNNNNNNNNNNNNNNNNNNNNNNNNNNNNNNNNNNNNNNNNNNNNNNNNNNNNNNNNNNNNNNNNNNNNNNNNNNNNNNNNNNNNNNNNNNNNNNNNAAAUCAUGCAGCUCCGUCGCCCUUCAUGUCAUGACUUCUCCGUGGCCUUUUCUAUGUGGGGCAUGGAUGUUAUAGGGCCAAUUUCCCCGAAAGCUUCCAAUGGGCAUCGAUUCAUCUUUGUGGUUAUAGACUACUUCACAAAAUGGGUAGAAGCCACUUCAUUUGCUAAUGUGACAAAGGCUGCAGUCUGUAGGUUCUUAAAAAAGGAGAUUAUAUGUCGAUAUGGUCUGCCUGAAAGAAUCAUUUCAGAUAAUGCUUUAAAUUUGAACAACAAGAUGAUGAAAGAAGUAUGUGAGCAAUUCCAGAUAAAACAUCAUAAUUCUUCGCCCUAUCGCCCAAAGAUGAACGGAGCAGUAGAAGCGGCUAAUAAGAACAUUAAGAGGAUUAUUGGGAAGAUGACUGAGACAUAUAAAGACUGGCACGAAAAGCUACCAUUCGCCUUGUACGCAUAUCGCACCUCGGUACGGACGUCUACGGGGGCAACUCUUUUUUCUCUGGUCUACGGGAUGGAAGCCGUUCUGCCUAUCGAAGUAGAGAUCCCAUCCCUGCGCGUCUUAAUGGAGACAAGAUUAGAAGAAUCAGAGUGGGUUUGAGCUCGAUAUGAUCAGCUAAACCUUAUUGAAGGGAAAUGCUUGAAGGCAAUUUGUCAUGGACAGAUGUAUCAGAAAAGAAUGAUCACGACUCAUGAUAAAAAGAUGCGGCCAAGAGAAUUUCGUGAAGGGGAGCUUGUUUUAAGAAAGAUCCUCCCGAUACAAAAGGACUUUCGAGGAAAAUGGUCACCAAAUUGGGAAGGGCCAUACGUUGUAAAAAAGGCAUUCUCAAGAGGGGCUCUGAUUCUCACUGAGAUGGACGGGAAAGAAUUACCUAAUCCAGUGAACUCAGAUGCUGUGAAGAAAUAUUAUGCUUAAAAAAAAACAAACAAAAAAAAUAGAAAAAAAACAAAAAACAGAAAAAAACAGACAAAACAAAAAACAAAAAAAAAGAGAAAAAAAUCAAGAUGAAAACCCGAAAAGGGCGUCUUGAUAAACAAAAAAGAUUAGGAUGAAAACCCGAAAGGGCGUCCUAAUGAAGUGGGCUCGGGCUUGAAGAAGCCAAUUGGCUUGAACGGGGAGUCGAAUGGCGGGGUUACAAUAUUUGAAGCAUUCUCAGAAGCUCAAAAUCUUCUACACAAGAAGCCGUGCUCGAAAAGAUCCAGGAUGAAGAAACGUGGAAAGUUUAUGCAUUGGAUAUCUAGAGCAUUUCUGGCCAUUGAACUCGCUUUCUUUUCUUUAUGACAAUUUAUUUGUUAAACUUUCCUUGUCAAUUUUUUGUUUGUUGCUUUUGAAAAAAAAUGAAAUGAAUGUGAGAUAUUUCUUUCAUGCCUACUUUGCCUUUUUAUGCAUCUCAUGAUUUAUUCAUUUAAAUGAUAAAUAGUAAGAUGACAUACUCUAAACAAAAGGAAUGUUGAGCAUUACCUGGAUGAGAAUUUGAUAAAUACAAGGGCCCCAAAGAAGGAACAAUGUUCAGCAGGGGGUAAGAGAGUGAUAUACGAAGAAAUGUGGAUUACUUGCAAACCUUGAAGAUGAGUACAAAACUUGAGAGAAAGUCGUGAAUGGAGGCAAUGAAUGCGGACCCUCACAAAAAUCAAAAGUGGGGCACGUGACAAACAGCCUACGGUGCAUUGCAUGAUUAUGUAGACACAAAAGCAUUUAGGACAAACAUGUGCAUAUCGUAAUAACAUCAUACAUGACAUAUACAGGUAUACCAGUAGAGCAAGGAAUACUAGGAGAAAGCUGUACAGAAUCAAUGAGGAAGAAGGCUUUUAGUUUCACCUGAUGUUUUUUUUGAAACCCUGUUCUUUCAAGAAAUAUUUAAAAAAAAAUUCUGUUUUUUUCAAAAAAUCAACUCAUAAUACAGAGGUGAGUUGAGCCUCGGGUCACGCUGAGGUAUUUUUUUUAAUUUCUGCUUUUUUCAAAAAUCAACUCAUAAUACAGAGGUGAGUUGAGCCUCGGGUCACGCUGAGGUAUUUUUAAAUUUCUGUUUUUUUUCAAAAAAUCAACUCAUAAUACAGAUGUGAGUUGAGCCUCGGGUCACGCUGAGGUAUUUUUAAAUUUCUGCUUUUUUCAAAAAAUCAACUCAUAAUACAGAGGUGAGUUGAGCCUCGGGUCACGCUGAGGUAUUUUUUUAAAUUUCUGCUUUUUUUCAAAAAAAUCAACUCAUAAUACAGAGGUGAGUUGAGCCUCGGGUCACGCUGAGGUAUUUUUUUUAUUUUCUGUUUUUUUCAAAAAAUCAACUCAUAAUACAGAGGUGAGUUGAGCCUCGGGUCAUGCCGAGGUAUUUCUUUUAAAUUUUCGUUUUUCAAAAAUCAACUCAUAAUACAGAGGUGAGUUGAGCCUCGGGUCAUGCCGAGGUAUUUCUUUUAAAUUUCUGUUUUUCAAAAAUCAACUCAUAAUACAGAGGUGAGUUGAGCCUAGGACCAUGCCGAGGUAUUUCUUUUAAAUUUAUGUUUUUCAAAAAUCAACUCAUAUACAGAGGUGAGUGAGCCUCGGGUCAUGCCGAGGUAUUUCUUUUAAAUUUCUGUUUUUCAAAAAUCAACUCAUAAUAUAGAGGUGAGUUGAGCCUAGGACCAUGCCGAGAUAUUUCUUUUAAAUUUAUGUUUUUGAAAAAUCAACUCAUAUUGCGAGAGGUGAGUUGAGCCUCGGGUCACGCUGAGGUAUUUUUUUUUAAAUUUCUGCUUUUUUCAAAAAAAAUCAACUCAUAAUACAGAGGUGAGUUGAGCCUCGGGUCACGCUGAGGUAUUUUUUUUAAUUUCUACUUUUUUCAAAAAAUCAACUCAUAAGACAGAGGUGAGUUGAGCCUCGGGUCAUGCCGAGGUAUUUCUUUUAAAUUUUCGUUUUUCAAAAAAAUCAACUCAUAAACAGAGGUGAGUUGAGCCUCGGGUCAUGCCGAGGUAUUUCUUUCAAAUUUUUGUUUUUCAAAAAUCAACUCAUAAUGCGAGAGAUGGUUUGAGCCUCGGGUCACGCUGAGAUAUUUUCAAUUUCUGUUUUUUUUCAAAAAAAAAAUCAACUCAUAAUGCUAGAAGUGAGUUGAGCCUCGGGUUACGCUGAGGUAUUUUCAAUAUCUAUUUUUCAAAGGUCAACUCACAAUCUGAGAAGUGAGUUGAACUUCGGAUCGCACACCAAGUUAUUUUCAAUUUCAGGCUUUUAAAAAGAAUNNNNNNNNNNNNNNNNNNNNNNNNNNNNNNNNNNNNNNNNNNNNNNNNNNNNNNNNNNNNNNNNNNNNNNNNNNNNNNNNNNNNNNNNNNNNNNNNNNNNAAAAAUUGGACAAUCGAGCAAAAUUCAGUGCUUUUAAAAUCUUUGCUCUACCCUUUUUCACAAGAGAUGAGCAAAGAGGGGCAGCUAUAAUCACUAAAUUUUGCCCGGGUUGAAUUUUGGGCCGGGUCGGUCUCGUAUGGGCCCAAUGAAUCGGGCCCAUUAGGAUUUAAUUUUUAGAAUUGUUUUUAGCCCCAUUUUUAAUGUUUGCUUUAAAUUAUUAAUAAAAAUAGUCAUAAUAAAAUAAAAAUACAAAAAAUAAAAAUUUUACAUUUUGACCCCAAACUUUGCUAAAAUUACAUUUUGGCCCCCAAACUUUCUCAAAAUUACACUUUGACCCCUAAACUUUUUGAAAAUUACAUUUUGGCCCCAUAUUUUCCUAAAAUUACAUUUUUACCCCAAAUAUUUUGCGUCUUCUACAUUUUGAUCCUUCUGGGCAUGUCAGACCCCCCAAUCAGCAGCCGAGCGUGCUUCCCCUCACCUCCAGCUACUUCAGCAGAUGACCUAGGCCAUGAUGCCCUCCUCUGCCACCUGAAGACAAGAAGAAAGAGGACAAAAAAUGAAGAGAUUAAAAAGAAGAAAAUGGAAGAGAAGAAAGGGGGAAUCGAAAAAAGAAAGGAGAAAAAGUACAGAGAAAAUUCAAAAAAAAUCCAAACAAUAACAGCCCAACAGCCCUCGCCACCGUCGUGCCACUACCCUCCACCGCAGCCACCGUACCACCACCUAGAAGCCAAGAGAAAGUGAAACAAAAAGAGAAGCAAAACAAAAACGCAGCAGCAAAAAACAAGAAAAAAAGCAAAAAGAAAGGUCCAAAAAGAAAGCCCAGUCAUCCCUUCAUCGCCACCGUGCCACCACCGGCCGUCGUACCAGGUGGAGGAAACGCCCUCAAAGGCGCACGUGGGGUUAAGGUGCUGCCCGAAGAAGAAGAAAGAAGAAAGAUAAAAGAAGAAGAAAAAGGGAGAAGAAAAAGAAAAAGAAAAAGAAAAAAGAAAAAAAAUUAAAAGUCAGUCGGGUUAACCCGACCCGACCACCUGACCCUCGGAGCCAUCCCGACCUGACCCGCGCUCCAACAGCCCUCUCCAAACAGCAGGAUCCAACAGCAAAACACCCAGGUCUGUCCAAAAAAAAACAGCAGAAAAAAUGAUGAAAGCAGACCAUCUUUAGCAGGCCAGCCAACAGGCCAGCACUAAGCCAGCAGGCCCAGCAGCUGGUUUACUCCAGUCCAGGCCCAACAGCACCUAGCAGGCCAGCCCAGCAGCAGCAGCAGGCCCAGUACCGCCCAGCCCAGCAGCUCCAACGCAGCCCAAUCAAGCAGCAGCAGAUUCGGCCCAGCAGACUUCCAGCAGGCCCAGGCCCAACGUCCAGCAGGCCCAAAAAAAAAAGAAAAAAAAGGAAGAAAAAAAAGAAAAAAGGAAAAGGGCCCACAACUUUGGGCUUUUGGUAAUUUCCUUAAAUCCAUUUUAAUUUAGUCUAUUUGUUUAAAUAUUGCUCCAUUUUAAUUAAACUAACAUUUUAAUUUUUUUUAAAAUAUUAUUAUAUUCAUUUUAUUUGCAUGUAUAAAAUAAAAAAAUAAAAAAAAUUAUUUUAACGCAUAAGGCAACGAACCGGUUUAGCACGGAGCCGUUGAUUUCAUCGCUAUGUUGGGUGAAUAUCAAUGGCUCGCGUUAAAUACGGGACGCCAUUCUAAAAAUCGAGAAUAUUCAAAAUUCCUCGUAUUUUAAUAAAAAUUCUCGUGUUUUAUUAGAAUCCCGAUUAAAUAUUAAAUUGAAUCGGUUUGACACUAAUUCGACGAUUUCAUCGCCAUGUCGGGGUGAAUAUCAUCGAUUCGUGUUAAAUACGGUAUUUUUUUAAAAAAAAUCGUGUUUCACAAAUUUUUACGUCUUCAAAAUUUCUCGUGUUUCAAAAUAAUAAUAAUAAAAUUUCCCGUGUUUCAAAAAUAUAUAUUGGUGUUUCUUUUCAAAAAAAAAUUUUCGUGUUUUCAAAAAUUCCCUUGUUUGAAAAAUGUUCGUGUUUUCGUGUUUUCAAAAAAAUAAUUUCUCGUGUUUCAAAAAAAAAACUUUCGCGAAUAUUUUUUGAUGUUAUCGUGUUUUCAAAAAAAAUCCCAUGUUCGACAAAUUUUCAUGUUUCCGUGUUUAAAAAAAAAAUUUCGCAUUUCAAAAAUCUUCGUAUUUUCAAAAUUCCAGUGUUUCAAAAAUUGUCGUGUUUUCAAAAAAAAAAAUUCUUGUUUUCAAAAGUCCCGUAUUUCGAAAGUUUUCUUGUCUUCAAAAAAAUUCCGUGUUUCAUAAAUUUCCGUGUUUUCAAAAAAAUUUCGUCUUUCAAAAAUUUUCGUGUUUUCAAAAAAAUUGACCGUGUUUCAUAAAUUUUCGUGUUUCAAAAGAAAAUCCUCGUGUUUCGUAUUUUAUCAAAAAUAUUAUGUUUUCAAAAAAAAAAUUGUGUUUUAAAAAUUUUUGUGUUUCAAAAAGAAAAUUCGUGUUUCCUAAAAAAUCUCGUGUUUCAAAAUUUUCGUUUUUUAAAAGAGUUCUGUGUUUCUAAAAUGCUUGUAUUUAAAAAAAAAUUUGUGUUUUCAAAAAAAAAAAAAGAAAAAGUUGUUGUGCUUUAAAAUUCUCGUGCUUUAAUCGGAUCACGGCUAAUAUUAAAUUGAACUCGUAUUUUUGAAAAUGAAGAUAACGCACGUUUAACGAGAUACCAAUUUUGGGCGUCGCGAGGGUGCUAAUACCUUCCUCGCGCGUAACCGACUCCCGAACCCUAAUUUUCUCUGGAUUUCAACGUAGACCUAAAAUUGCCUCUUUUUUAGAAAAGUUUAAAAUUAAAUUUUUUCUUAUAAAAAGAGAGUUUUGAAGGUGUCCGAUCACACCUAGAAAAAGAUCGGUGGCGACUCCUUUUUUUCAAAUAAAAUCGAAAGUCCGUUUUCAAAUUUUCAAUAAUCACUUCAAUUAGCGCCCACACCAAAUUUUUAGGUCGCUACAGUUUUCAUUAUUUCAGGUGUGGUCUAAGCUCGAGUAAUGUUUAUAUUUGAACUUUGUCAUGUUAUUGCAAUUCAGAAAAAAAUUUUAAUGAGUAAUUCUCUUUUAGUCCAUAACUUUUUGUUUUUUUUGGAAGAAAUUCUUAUAAUAUAAAUAAUAAUGAAUCGUUUUAUUAUGAUUAAUUUAAAAAUUACUCCCUUUUGUUAUUAUUUCUUUGAAUUUUGAAGCAAGCCGCCCGGAGCUUUUCAAGUUGCAUCUUUGGACUUAAUCCAUUGUUGGUCCCUGUACUAUAAGUAAAUUAUCACUUUGAUCCUUUUACUUUUUUUUUGGUCCCUGUACUUAAUCUAUUUUAUUCCAUCAUUUAAUUUAGCUCUUUGUUGAGAAGAUUUAAUAAUCUCAACACUUGCAAUUGCAGGUAGGAGCUACAGUUCAAAUGCAUCUUGGGCAAUCCUUGGGCACUCGUUCCGUCAAAUAUUUUUUAUAUUUUGGUGAUUUUAAAACUGAAGGUUGUUCAAGGUUGCACUUAUAGCUAAUCAAUCAUCAAAUAUUACUUAUAUUUUGGUCACAUGAGAAAUAUAUUUAUACUUUGAAAUAGUGAAUACUGUCUCGGAUUGAAUCAAUUAUAGUUGGCAUAUCAUAUGAUUAGUGUACGAUAUUUUUCUUCAGUUUAUACUGAUGAGGUGUGAAGCGCAAUAUUUCCGAACGUAUCAAUGAUACACUUGGUGCCAGUUAUACUGGUGUGAUGGUUGGAUGAUCUAUGUUUAUUUAUAUAAGUCUGAAUAUGUUAGUUAGUAGAUUAAACCUUAAUGCUUUUGAUACUAUAGUUUAAUGACAUUUGAUAGUGUUUACAUGUGUUAAAUUGGUGAUUUUGCAUUGGUGUAAUAUUUGGGUAUGUUUUAUGUACAAUUGGGUGAAGUUUGAAUGUUUGAAACUAUGCAUUUUAAACCAUUUACCAUUAAGUCUCGAAAGAGUGAGAGAAUGUCUUGAGACCGUUAGAAUAAAAAUUUACUAUAUUAUGCAUUCAUUUGCUUAAUGUCCUAAGAGAAGCUCAUCUAAGUCUCGAGACUAGUGGUCUAUGUCUCGAGAUAAGGGCACAUAGAAACUAAAUAACUUUUUCUCCGUUAUAGGUAUCGAAAAAUGAAAACAUCGAAGCUAAGAUAGGAAAAUAGGGGAGGUCUGUCUCGAGACCCAAUCUCUAGACUUGAGGAAUUUUUCCUUGAGACAUGAAUUUUAUUGUCUUGAGACAUAUAAACAUCAAAGCAAAAUUUUAAAAACUUAUGAUGAGGCUUGUUUCAAGAUAUAGAGUUCCUGUCUGAAGAAAUAAUGUUAAAAUUGGACAAGUUUUUAAAUUUGAUUCCUAUGCUCAUAUUAAACCACAUUUAGACUCGAAUAAUUAAAUUGUGAUUGAAAUGUGUUAAUGUGGUUUAAUAUUAUGAAAUGACAUGUAUGUUUGGUAUGAGUUGCUCCAGCUAACAAAUGUGACAACUCAUACUCGGAUCCGGUUAUCGGGUCGGAUAUGGGGUUUUACAAGUUUGACUUUUUAUUUUAUUUUUAAUUUUUUAGGGGUCAGGGAAACAUGUAGCAUUCAUUUGAGAAAAAUGGAGUAACAGCUCAAAGGAGUCAAAAAAAAAAAGGGAUAUAGAGGGGAGAAGAAGAAACCAUUAGAAGCAAAAGGAAACAUGUAGUAGGGUAGUUCUUACACUACCAUAAGUUUAUUGUACACCAUAUUAAAAUAUCAUAAAAUGAUUUGGCACACUAUACCAAAAACUAACAUUUUAUUCGCCCAGUUUGAAAAAUAAUUCUAAUGUUCUUAAUUAUUUAGGCAAAGAAAUUGGGUUAACGAAUAAUGAUAACACUCUAUCUUUGGUUUCUUUAUCUUCAAUAGCAUGACCAUCGCCAUUUUGGAACAUCAAUAAAUAUAUUCUUGCAAGGUUCAUAGCAACCUCAAUAAACGUGCGAGAGAAAGGAGAUUUAGCCAUUUGGUCUUCAUUCAUCUUCUUCCAUGUUGCAUCAAUUAAUUUCCUUAUGUGGUCACGAGCUUCUUCUUCUGAUGCUUCACUUUCGUUCAUAUAACAUUGAAUUGAUUUAGGAACAUCACCUCUUUGAAGCUCAUACUAAUCGAAAUUUUUUUAAAAAAAAAAGUCAAACAAGCAAAUCACUAUUAGACUAAUUAACGAAUGGAAAUUUUAAGUUGAUAACUAUAUAUAUUUAUUAAUAUAUAUUGCUUACCAAUGAUGUCCCUAAAUCAUCUACGAAUCGUACAAUUAUGGACGACCAAUAAAUUAUAUCGCAGUAAUAUUGCUGAAUGUGGUGCAAUCCCUCUUCUGUUAUAAGAUCAGUUGCCAAAUAGGAAUGACCAAGCAUUACAAAACCCGAUAUUGAAAUCCAAGCAUUAUCAAUGUACUCUCACAGAGUUGGCGUAUAUCCAAUGUAAUACCAUUUUACCUCCAACAAAUAUGAUUUACAAAGAUUCAUCCACUGAACAUUUAUGUUAAACCAUGAACAACACAAAUCAGACAGAGCUCAUAAGGAAAAGCAAAAAAGAAUCUUAGGAAUUGGUUUAAUACCAUUUUCUUGAGAAAGGGAAGGACAUCUAUCCCUUGUUCCUUACGGACAUCGAAAGCCAUUUCAUUUACGGAAUUGUAAAGCGCAUGGUAACAUAUUUUCAUAUAGUUUGGAAGCUUUUGUAUUUGAUUUAUAUCUCAUCUAAAAUUACACCAACACAUUAAAGAUUAUUAAACAUUUGUAAGAAAUAUCAAAAGCAGAUAAAAUCAUAUAGUAGUACAACUACAAACCUCUCAACAACAUCUGUAAAGAGUUCCAACUCAUCUAAGGUUCCAUAAACAUCAUAAACAUCAUCUAUAACUAUUAUUAGCGCAUUGACCUUUGUCUGAAUUCUUCUACCUUUUCUAUCGGAGUAUUUAUCAUUCCCACACUCUAUAAGAAGUUUUCCAUUAGCCUAUCUCUAGCAAAGCUCAAGGUCUUGCCAAGUCCAAGUUCUUUCCACCACCUAAAUAAUACAAGUGGAAAAAGAAAACAAAAUCAUACUUGCGUUGAAGCAUAUGCGAGUCAACUUUAAACUAGUAUGCAGUAGGAAUGCUUACGUUGAAGCAUAUCUAAGAUAAUCCUGGUGCAUAGAUUGCACUAUGUUGUAAUCCAAUAUAGCAAGCUCUAAAAUAAUGGGAUUUUUGUCCUUUUUUAUCUCAUACAUAUCUAUGAACCAUCUGGCUUCCAACCUUGGCAUCCUCCAAUGUAAAGGAAGCACCAAGGCACGUUCCACAAGCAUCUAAAGAUAUUGAUGAUCAUUGUUCUCCUUCAGACAUUGUUUGAGAAGUUUGGCUGCUAACUUUCUUGUAUUCUCCAGCAUUGUUUCACCUUCUAAUAAGUGGUAUGAAGCCUCAUACAAGUUGAUUAGUCCCUUGCAAUCUUGAUUUUGGCUUGCUUUAAUGUCUUCAACUUCAUCCAUGAAACAACCGAAAACAUCUAGUGUAUGAAAAUAAUUCAAUGUUAUGUGUUUUCAAAUUUGAUGUAAAUUAAAAUGUCCAAUUUUGAAUUGUUUCUUGUGUUGUACCUUGAUUCACUUUAUACCCGUGUUACCUUAGCAAUCUAAAUUCAAGAGCUAUAGCAUAUAAAUUGUCUUUGUUCGAUGCAACAGUACUGCUAUUUUUAAUCUACUCCGCUGCAACUUCAGGGAGAUAAGGCUUGAUAUGAUGACUUCAAUCCAUCCCACUGCAAUUUCAGGGGUAUGGGUAACUUCAUUGAUCUAUUCUCUGGGGAACAUGACCUGUAAAAUCCAUUUCAUGGACCUAUUUAUGCCUAGUGUUUAGGAUGUCAUGAUUAGAAUGAAUCAAAUGCUCCUAACUAGAUGUGUAUGUAUGAUAUUUGUAAAAUGUCAUGAGAAUGAUCCCGUUUUAAUGCUUAGGUUGUCAUUGCUCAAUGUUCAUCAAAGUUCUAUCACUGAUGCCUUCUUGUUUAGCCGGUAUCUUCAACAGAAAAACCAAAGAAAUGGUCGCACUUUAGACUAUUCUUUCUCAAAUGCUUCCAGCCCUUAAGUUGGUUAGUUCUAAAAAAUGGCCCUGUUUCAAGUCCUCACAUUAUUUAAAAACUUUCAGAGUAAUAUGCAGAACUCCUUUUGCUUGAAUAUUAUCAGUCCAUUAAUCGUUAUUUGAAUGAGAAAUGCCUGAAAAAGAUUAUCAAAAUGGACAAGAUGAAAUUUUGUUGAGAUCAAAGCUCGAAAUGAAUAGAUUAAUCGAGAUAGCAAAUUUUGCUAGAAUGAGAAUAAAUUAAUCAAGAUGGCACGUUUUUCCAAAAUACAAAAAUGAAUAUAAUAGAAAUAGGUGCCCCAGAUAUCGUAGCAUGAGCUUCUCUGCCCCAAGCUCAUUGAGGACCCUUUUGAACUUUAUACGUGUUUAGAAGUCCUAGAAGACUUUGAUGAUGUCCCAAGAUGUAGCACCUCUCAUUCUUGCUAAUUUGGAGAGGACAAGACUACUGCAUGCCCCACCUUCGAUCAAAACUUGAAUAGCCCAUUUCUGGGUUUUCAAUUCAAAACCUUUUUCGUCUCAAGGCGCCCUUUGCGGGUUUUCACCUUGGCCUCUCAUUUUUCUUUUUCUUUUUUCUUUUUUCUCUUUUUUUGAAACAUUUUUUGAUUGAAUUUGAACUCAUAGGAUUGGGUAAGUCCUUGUUAUCCCUUCCAGUCAAAAUCAACACUUUUCCAGAUAAGACCUUUCACAUAAGAUCCUUCCCAAUUUGGUAUCCACUUCCUUCUGAAGUCUUUUGUAAGGGGAGGAUCUUCUUCGAUACCAGGUCCUCCUAAGGGAAUUCUCUAGGGUGAACCUUCUUUGGUGAGCUCGCAUCAUUUAUUUUUUGGUGCAUUUGACUGUGACGGAUAACUUUGAAAGUUUCUCUUUAAUCAGGAUUGGAUCCAAAGACUCAAAGAGAAGGAAUCUCAGCUUCAAUGGGCAAAACCGCUAUAAGCCAAAGCGAAAGGUGUUGCCUCAGUAGAGUUUUUUUGGUUUUUUUAGUUUUUUCUCACCGCGUCGUUCAUCUUGGUGCGAUAUGGUGUUAAUCUUGAACAAACUGUAAACUUUUGAUAUCGUGCUGUUGUUCAAAUUCAAUGCAUUGUCUGAUAUGAUGCUUUUGGCAUUCCAUACUGACAGCUGACUAUCGACUUCGUGCCAUUUGCAUAUAAGGCAGCUUCCACCUACUUAGUGAAGUAAUCGACGACCACGAAGAUGAAUCAAUGACCACCAAAAACUUUUGGCGAGAUUGGCUUGAUGACAUCCAUACCCCACAUAGAGAAAGGUCAUGAUUUCUAUUGAUUCUUUGGAAGGUAGGAUCUUGUUUUCAUCUUGUUCUCUCAUUCUUAACAAACCAAGAGAUAAGCUACAGUCUCGGUCACCUUCAAAGUCCUAAUGUUCCUCUGGACACAUAUCUUGCUCAAAAGGAGGUUCUGAGUCAAUAGCAGUAUCGCUCAUAUCAUUGAUAUCUGGAGACCUGUUAUAGGAACGAAUGUACAUCUAAAGAAUAAAAGAACCCAAGAAUAUUCAUUUGUAUAGUAUGAUUAUGAAUGAAAUGGAAACAAUAAAAGAAUAUUUGGUCGAAGUGAGAAACGAAGAUGCAUUUUAUUAAAAUAAAGAUUUUGGACAUAAGCCUAUCUCACAAAAGGAUUCUUAUUGCUCCUAGGCUUAGAGCAAUAAGCAUGUUUUAGAUAUUACUCUGAAAUAGGUCUAAAAAGUUCAGGGAUCUUGUAAUACCCCGAAAAUUUUUACAGUAAGAUAUUAUCUUUGAUAUAGUAAGGAAAUAAAGUGACAAAAAGGAGAAUUUUGAGUUAUGACAACAUUGGGAAGUAUAUAAUGACAUAUUAAUUAAAGAAAAUAUUAAAUUGCAAAAGUGAGAAAAGUUUUGUUAUCAAAGAGUAAAUACUCAAAAUUUGAGGGGUUAAAGUGUAAAUAUGAAAAAGUUAAAGGACCAAUAGUGUAAACAUUUUAAGGGUGGAAUAAUCUAGAAACUAAGGAAAAUAGAUGAAUUGGGACCAAAUUGAAUAGAUGAAGAAUUAUGAGGGACUAAAUCGUAAUUUUACCAAAUUAAGUGAUGACUCAAUGGUGGAAUUUUAAAAUAUCUAAAGGGAAAAAUGGUCAAUUAGAAGAAAGAGAAAUCUAGAAAAUAAUGAUGAUGUUGGAGAUAUUUUAGAUCAAAUAAAUAAAUAAAUAUUAGUUUAUUAAUAUUUUAAUUUGAUUUUUAAAUUACAUUUUAUCAUUUUAUUAUUAUUUUAUUUAGUAUAUAUAUAUUUGUGGAAGAAAAGAUGAAGAAUCAUCUUCCUUUCCCAUGCAUUUCACGUUAGAAGAGAAGAGAAGAAAGAAAGUUUUGCUUUCUUUACAAUUUGGUCCUUCCACCAAAAAUUUACCAUUUUCACCUAGAAAUCAAAAGAAUUUUCAUAGCUACCAAGAGAGAAAAUUGUUAAGGAGAGAGAAAAUCAAGUUAAAGAUUGAAAUCAAUAUAGCAAGGUAAGAACAUCAAGAUUUCAAUAUAUUUUUAAGUUUAAUAUUGUUGAAAAAGUAUGAAAUUGAUGUUAAUGUAAGGUUUUAUUAUAUAAAGUUCUAUUUUCUUGAUAUGUUAGUGAAGGGAAACAAGAGGAAUUGAUAGAAAAUAUUGUAGAGAAAGGAAAUGAGGGUGUUAUAAAUUUGAUUAUCAACAUCUUGUACUAAAACAGUUUUGGACAGCAGUAGUAGGUUAACUUUGUAAAAUCACCAUAAAUCGUGGAAAUUGAAUUAGAGGAUGAAAAAAUAUUUAAUUAAAGCUUCUUGAGUCUAGUUUCUCAUAGAAGAAACUGUGUAAGUAAUGGAAUUGUAAAUCAUGAGAUAUAAUAAAUUUUGCUAGAUAAGGUCAGAAUGAAUUCGAGUUCCCCUGUUCUAACUUGGAAAAAUCAUUAAAAAUUGUAUAAAAAUAAUUAUGGGUUAUAAUUAUUUAAAAUCCUUAAUGAUUCUAUUUUAAAUAGAAAUAAACAGGGACAUCAUCCGAAUUCUAUACAAAGAGAUAAUUAAUUUUUAGUGAAGAGGGGUCGAAACUGUUGAACAAUGAAACAGGGAAAACUUUAAAGCAUAAACUGUACUUAUUGGCUAAACCAAAAAUUCUGAAAAUUUUAUGGUAAGAAGAUAUAUGAGUUUAGUUUCAGGGAAAAUUAACGGAUCUUAAUUUGGAACUCUGUAGCUCGAGAUAUAAAUAAAUUAGUGACUCUGACUCAGACCGACAACUUGAAUUUACAUACAGGAAAAUAGUGAUAGUAUGGAUAAUGUUGUUUAAAUGUGUUAUACACAUUAAGGAUAUGGAAUGGAGAGGAGGAAUAGGAAAAUUGUGAACUAUAUGAAUGAUUUGUGUAUAAUUGGUCAUAUGCUUGAUUAUAAUUGAUAAAUGAUGAAAUAGAAAUGAUGUUUAUAUUUGUGCAUUAUUGGUCAUGGUUUAAGCUCAUGUGUGAAAAUAAAGUUUCAUAGUAUGUGUGUAUGGUAUAUUCGAUAUAUGAUUUGGCAUGAAAUAAUGUCAUGAAUGGUUUAUGAAUUAACACAUGUUGGUAAGCAUGAUACAUGAAUAAAUGUUGUGCUCAUCCAUGUUUAUAAUGCUUAUGCUAUAUGUGUAUUUGGCUAACAUAUUUGGCGUACAUGCUUAGGCUUUGGCCAAGUAGUGGUUGGAUUAUGCCACGUUAAAUUUAUAAGUUAUGCAUUGAAAUGGUAAGUGCCUAAUUGGAAAUAUGCUUGUGAUCAUGAAAAGGGUGGUAAGGUUUAAAUUAUGUAAUCUCUAGUGAAAUGGUUUAUCAUGUGGUUAGUUCCAAAAAGAGUUAUGUUUAAAUACACUAGCUUGCGACUAUGGUUGAAUGAUAUGUUUAUAGCUUGUGUGAUGUGCAUAGGAAACGAGUGUAGAAAGAUAAUGAAAUAGUAAGUUCGUAUGGCUGAAAUUUAAUGAUUAAAUGUUAAUUUUAUGAAUUAUAUAAUGUAUGAUGAGAUAUAUUUGUUGAUGUUUUGAGAAUAAAAUAACAAUGAGAAAACCGAAUAAAUGAUCAAAUUGAGCGGAACGUCGGAUUUGAGUACUUCUUAAAUGACAAGUGAUAAGUGGUAGCUUUAGCUACACUUAUCUGAUCGGUGACAAGUGACAAGUGAUGAGUGGAAGCUUUAUCUACACUUAUCUAAUCAGUGACAAGUGAGAAGUGAUAGCUUUAACUACACUUAUCUGAUCAGUGACAAGUGACAAGUGAUGAGUAGUAGCUUUAGCUACACUUAUCUGAUCAGGGACAAGUGACAAGUGAUAAAUGUGAUCUGUGUAAGACCAUGUCAGGGCUAUGGCUUCGGAAAGUGCUAAGUGAUCAUACGCAAGACCAUAGUUAUACAAUGGCAAAGUGGAAGUGAAGUACUCAAUUUUCCAUAACCGUACCCUAAUUUGAUUAAGGAUGGUAAGUGACAAAAGAGCCCAAAAGAAUUAUAGUAAAUGGAUAAGUGGUAGUGAAUUUAUACCAGGAUGAUGAGUUGAGUUGAUGUUGUUAUUUAAGCUAAAGUGAUAUUUUCAUUGCAAAUUUGAGAAUUUCAUAAAUGUGUUAAUGAAUGGUAUAAUCAAUAAACAUUGAGAUAAAUGAUAAAUACGUAUUAGUAUUGAACUUAGUGAUCUGAAUUGUGAACAUGAGAAAUUUGUGAACUGAAUGAAAUGGAAAUAGAGCAUUGAAUUAUUAAGACUUGUGAAUUGCAUGAAUAUGUAUCGGGUCUCGUAGGUCCUAUUUAUUAUGAAUAUAAUAUUUUGAGGAUAUAUUAUGAAGAAUUAUAAAAUCAUGUUAAUAAUUUGAAAGUUCUAAUUUAGAUGAAGUUUUAUAACUCGGUUAAAUACGUUUACAAGAGUGUGUGUUCUGGUAAUGCCUCGUACCCUAUUCUGGUGUUGAAUACGGGUAAGGGCUGUUACAGAUCUCUUCAACUGUCCCAUUGUUCAAACCACUCUCAAGUGUGUAAGGGUAAACGUGAGAUAAUUCUCCUCCCCGGCUCCUUUGGAUAUGGCGUUCAAAUUUCCCAACAUUCCUCCCGGUCCUUUGACUUCUUCAAAGAAUUCCAACUCUUUAUUAUCCAUUAGUCUUUGUACUAAAGCUUUGAAUUUAACACACUCUUGGAUUUCAUGUCCUUCUUCAGUGUGGAACUCACAGUAGCUCCUCAUCCCUUUUGGUCUCUUCUCCUAAUUCUGAAUGAUUAAUAUCAUGUCUAUCAUUUGUUUCAAAACCCAUUUCAGUGGGGUUUUUACUUUUGCAACAUUGGUUUUGAUUCUCUUUCCUCCAUUCUCAAUUAUCGCAUUGACCCCUGGGUCUGAACGACUGGGUAACGGAUUUUCUACUACAUUAGGUCCUGAUGGAUCGUCAAACUUCACGAUGCCCAUCUUGAUGAAUCUUUCGAUUAACUUUUUAAAUGUAGUACAGUUUUCAAUGGAGUGUCCUGCUAUUCCCGCGUGAUAUUCCCAUUGGGCGUUUGCAUCAUGCCAUUUUGGGAACGGAGGUUGUACGGGUUCCAAGUAAAAUAGAGCUACCACAUGCGCAUCAAACAGAUUCUGAUACAGCUCUCUAUAUGUCAUUGGGAUAGGUGUAAACUGGAGUCUUUCUGUGCUUGGCCUCUAGUUGGAUUCUUGCCUUGAGGGGCCUUGGUAGCUAGCAGCUACCAUCCUUGGCUGGCCUACAGUGAUCGAUUUAGAAUACCCUUUAUUAUACAAGCUCAGUUGCUCACUUCAUUUUCUUUGUUCUUUGGGGUUAAUUUUUUAACGCUUUUUCCCGUAUCUAUCUUCUCACUUCUUAUGGCAUUUUCAAUCAUCUUUCCAGACAUUACCAUAUCUGAGAAGCUCAUGGUAGCGCUUCCCAACAUAUGGUUAAUGAAUGGGGCUUUCAGAGUGUUGAUGAAAAGCACCGUAGUUUCUUUCUCCAAAAGAGGUGGCUGGACUUGUGUUGCUACCUCUCUCCAUCUUUGGGCAUAUUGCCUAAAAUUCUCACUUUGCCUCUUUUCCAUAUUCUGCAGUGUGAUUCUGUCAGGUGCCAUAUCUGUCAUGUGGCCGUAUUGCUUCAUGAAAGCUUCUGCCAAGUCCUUCCAUGAGCUAACUUUAGCAUGACUCAACUGGUUAUACCACUUGGCUGCAGACCCGAUCAAACUGUCUUGGAAGCAGUGGAUUAACAGUUGAUGAUUGUUGACAUAUCCUGUCAUCCUUUGACAAAACAUAGUGAUAUGAGCUUCAGGACAGCUAGUCCCGUUGUACAUUUCGAAUUCUGGCAUCUAGAACUUAGGAGGGAGAACUAAGUCAAGGACCAAACUCAGGUCUUUAGCAUCGACCCUACAAUGAUAAUUAGCAUUCUCCAUUGCUUUAAACUUUUCCUCUAGCCACCUACACCGAUUCUCAAGUUGCUUCGGUAGAUCCACUCUUACUUUCUCCACUUCUGCCACGUCAUCAAGAUCAGGAACAACGGGGUUGAUUGGAUUAUCUCCUAGAUUAGAACCAGAGCCUGUUUGAAAGUUUAUUUGUACCGAGGCACCAGCCUAAUAUUGAGUCUAAUAGUGACAGGUACUCUUUAUGGGCACAUAUCUGGUUGUGCCUGGGUGCUCGUCGGGGUGAAACCUGGAGGAUAAAUAGGGUCCUUAUGAUCAACCCCAGAAUCAACUCCAGGACUUUUUCCUUUAUCAUUACCUCCAGCCAAUAACUACGCCAAUUGGCUCAUCAUAGUUCUUUUGGAUUCUUGCAUGUCUUGUUGGAUUUUAUCCAGUCGUUCUUGCAUCUGAUCUUGCAUCUCCUUUUGCAAUUGUUCCAAUCUUUCUAACAUUUGAUCCAUUGUUUUUGUUUUGCGACGAGUACCGUAGUGAUAUUUUGUUGGUGGAUUCUUGUUGGUUUCCAGAUUAACUGAAACAAUCUCAUUUAAUUAGGGUCGUUUCGUGAAACUUAAUGCAAAUGAUGCAAUAAAAUGUAAUGCAGAUGAAUGGAAUGAAUGCAAAAAGAGACGUUGAUUCCGAUUCAAUUCUAUUAGAACAACUUUACUAGAAAACAAAUCUCUUUAUAUAAAACAAAUAUUUACAUAUUCGGCCUUGCCCUAAAACUCAAAAUGAAGACAUCGACCCCUUUCCUCAUAUCCAAAUGCUAAGAUCGACCCUCGUAAUUCUCCAAAAAGGUGCCUCUUCGAUCUCCUUUUUGCAUGAUCCGAGCCGCGACCCAUUGUUCGCUCAUCCUCGUGAUGCUUGUUGGCUACUUUAAAAGAAAUAGAACGUUAGCGGCUCUCGAAUAAUCUUUAUCACCUUGAAUCCUCAGGCUACGAAGCAAAGCCGUGUACUCAUUCAUCAAACUAUCACAUUUAGCUCGUUACGUUUUCUCGUGCCAUAUUUAGAUGAACGCAUUGUCUUCCAUUUUAUCAAGAAACUCAUUUUCUUAUGACAAGCUUUCUAUUUAGAUACUGAACGUGAAUCAACACUUCUUUUAUGAUGAAAAUGCUAUGCGAUCACAGUCAAAGCAAAACAAAGCAAGUCAGUAUAACACAAAACUAAAAUUUAAAGCAUACAAGAAAUAAUAAUUAAAGCUACCAUUUAGGAAACCACUAGGGUUCGGUGUGGUACCUAGGGUAGGCUCCUAGGGCUUACUAUAUGUGGUUCGGUUCUAAAGUAAUGGUACCUGAACCGGCAGAUUCCUCGAUCUUCACCUAUUAUAAGCUCAUACGGACUGAGUUCAGUUCAGAGGAAUACAUUUCCCUAUGGCCAUGCAGAGAUGAAAAUCUCAUGAAAAUAUAGGUACGGAUGUAUCCCAAAAGCGAUUCACUAUCCCAUGCAGAGGUGAAAACCUCAUGAAGGCGUAGUUUCUCACACCCACUUAAAAGGGUAAAUCGAAUGAUUUAUGCAAAUGCAAUAUGCCAAAAGAUAUAUCAAGACUUGUACAGAUAAAGCAGACAUAACAAAAUGGUGCAAAAAAUGAAAUGCAACGAAAAGAUCGUAAAUUUAAACCAAAUUGUCAACUUUCGACAAAAAGAAAAGAAGUAAUCAACUCGUGGCUUGACUCUCUUAUUUUGGGUCCCCAGAGGAGUCGCCAAUCUGUUGACACCAUUUUUUUGUGAAAACAGGGUCGACUUGGAUUUUGAAAAUGAAAACGAAAAUGGGAGUCGCCACCAAUCCUUUUUUAUGAGGUGUGAUCGGGUCACCUCGAAAAGUGGUUGUUUUUAAUAAGCAAUUUGAUUUGAUUAAAACAACAAUUUUGGUCCACGAAAUUUAGAAAAACGGGUUCGAGAGUCGGUCACAUUCGAGGAAGGAUUAGCACCCUCGUAACGCCCAAAAUUGGUACUUAGUUGAUUAAUUAAUGUCUUAAUGUCAAGAAUUGAAAACUUUGAAGAUAUUCAAAAUACGAUCCUUUGUUAAAACGCUGAAAAUUUUCAUGGAAAGAGGGCAUAUUUCACGUUAAUCGAGAAAAAAAUUAUAUCCAGUAAGUUAGGACACAAUAUCUUUAAAUCCCCAAACGAGAAUAAACACCAAGAGUUUUAUUAUUGUUAAAAAAACAUUUGAUUAUCUCGAUUUUAGAAAAAUAAUCAUAUUCCGUAAGUUAGAACACAAUCUUUUCUUAAUUCCCGAGAUUAUUAAAAGUUUCGUUUUAAAACGUUCGUUUAUUCGAAUUUAUCGAGGAAAUCGAGACCCCGUAAGUUAAAGUAUGAUUUCUCGAAUCUCAAAAUACGAGCAAAGUUCAUUUUGACGAAACAAUUUUUAUACAUUAAGUGAAAUAUAAAACGGUUUCGCGAUGAAAUGUCAAAAAUUUGAGUGAUCGCGUUUGCGUUCAUAGCAGAAUAACAAGCAUGCUAAUAUAAGUAUCGAGUUAAGACCUAACAUUGCAUAAAUAAAUAUCGAAUAAAUGACAAUGAUGAUAUUGAUGAUAAUGAUAUUGGUAAUAAUAUACAAUUCCCAACUUAUACAAAAGGAUAUAAAUGCAUGAUAAGAUUAAAUAAAUGUAUACAUUUAUGUAUGUAUUAGGUACGUAAGCACGAAAAAUAUAAUACUAAUAGUAAUAAUAACGAUAAUAAUAAUAGUAAUAAUGAAUGUUAAUAUUAAUAAAUAAAAAACAUAAUAAUAAAGUUAAUAAUAAUAAUGAAUAAUCGAAAUUUGAAAGUGUGUAUAACAAAAUAUAAAUAUGUAAAUAAAUAAAUAAUGAAAUGACAAUAAUUAGUGUAAAAGAUAAAAUAAACAAAAAUAAAAAUAGGAAUAAUGAGAAUAAAAACAAAAAUAAGAUAAAUAAAUAAACAAACUAAUUAAAAAUAUGAGUAUGUAAAUAAAUGAAAAAUUUUAAAAAUUUAAUAGAGAACCAAUAAAUAAAUAAAUGAGUGAAUAUUAGGUAAAACAAAUUAAUAACAACAACAACAACAACAACAAUAAUAAUAAUAAUAAUAAUAAUAAUAAUAAUAAUAAUAAUAGUAAUAGUAAAAUAAAAUAUUAGUAUUUGUAAUAAUGGAAGUAAUAGUAACAGUAAUAAUAACAAUAAUAGUAGUAGUACUACUACUACUACUACUACUAAUAAUAAUAAUAAUAAUAAUAAAAGGACAAAAAUAAAAAAAAUAGGAUUUAGGGGAUAGAUUUUAAAAUGAAAUAGUAAAGGAUAAUAGAGGACUAAAGUAAAACGCGCACCAAGAAGGAAAGACCGAUUAGGAAAAUAUCCCCAACCUUAUGCGCAGCGUUUCAGCGCGAAUUAAAAUGAAAUAAAGAGAAAAAUAUCGGGCAAAAUUAAAAGAAAAGAAAUAAACGAAAAGGACUAAAUUGCAAUGCGCCGCAAAGGCGGAAGGACCGCGCGCAUAAAUAUACCAUUGGUUGAAAACAUGCAGAUCCUCCAGGCGAGUUGGGUUGAAAUUUAGGUAAGGGCAAAACGGCCUCGUUUUGGGGCUUCAAAAUCCUGCCCCAAACGACGUCGUUUUAGGGAUUUAUAAAUACAAAAAAACAAAGCAUUCAAACCCUACUUUAAAAAAAAAACAAAAGUCUUUCUUUUUUUCUCUGUUCUCUCGUUGGAAUAGACCCAGAAUCCGGCAGAGUGGGCCAUCGUGGCUCCGCCGCGGCGCUGCCAUAGACGAUGGCCGGACGCUGUCUCAGGUAAGUUUUCGCCUCAUUUUUCUUCCCUUUCUUAGAUAUUCUCUCUGUAUAUGUAGUUUUUAAGUCAAAAGGAAAUAAAUAAUAAUAAAAACCUUUGAAUAUAAAUAGUCCCAAAAUCGAAAAUAAAGAAAAUAAAAAGGACCUUUCGUAUUUUUGUUUUGUUUUUAAUCUGCUUUGCCUUUGUUGUUUUUGCCUGAAUCUUUGUUUUUUCUUUUGUAUUCAAAAAACAAAAAUCUCGGAGAGCUACAAUCGGUUCAAAAUAAUGGCUUUAUAGCCGAAAUUACAAUAUGUUUAUUUGGUUUUUUGCUUCUUGUUUUUUUUCUGUGCUGUCUGCUUCUGUUUGUUGGCUUCUUGCAAGUGGUGUUAGAGAAGCGUCAGGCGGUGGCGUGCAGGGAGGUGGCUUGCGGCAGCAGCAAGGCUUAGGGUUGGAGCAGCGGCUAGCUAGGGUUUCCCUUAGCUGAUAUUUUUUAGUUUUGUGGGUUGUUUGGGCUUUAGGUUUUUUAGUUUUUUUUUUGGGUUUUAAUUUGUAUUUGGGCUGAAGUCUGUUUUAGGUUGGUGAGAUAUUUGGGUUUUAUUUUGUCUGAUUUGAGUGUUUUGGGCCCAGGAAAAAUUUGGGCCUUACAGUUUAUAUGAGAUAUUAUUUUACGGUUUUAAUAAGUGACAUCGGAGUCUCGUCAUAUUAAACCAUUGAGAAAAAAAUUGAUUUUUUAUUAUUUUUGGAUUAAUUCGUUAUGAAUAAUUUAUGGAUUUGAUAUAUGAAUUAAAUGUUUUUAAUCAUACAUGUUAAAUAUUUUGAAUUUAUGUAAAGAAAAUUAAGGUUUUCAUUUUUUUUUCAAUUUUUAACUUUGGUCUUCGAUUAUUAAACCUCAAUUAUGAAUAUUUACAAUCGAAUUAUAAUUCAGGAUUCAACGUUUGAAUUAUAUUUGCAAUAGAACUCAAUGUAUGGUUGUAUUAUAUAAAAAUUGAGGAUGUUCUCGUACAAAUACUCCAGCAUAUAUAUUAAGUAUCAUAGAAUUGUUUGAAACCCAAAAUUGAUUGGAUCUAAUGUGCCGCUGAGUUAAGUUAGUAUUCUGCACUUAUUUGUCUAUGAUUUUAAAUUUUCAUUGAAUUCCGUUGUCUUUAACUUUUGAAUCUCAAAGCUUUCAUGUUUGAUUUAUGGUGAUUUUGUGGACUGAGAUGAAGCUUGUGUAACUGUAUUGAAGGCAUUAUUAUUUGUUUUCUUUUCAAAAGGUUAUAGUGUUUGUCUCUUUGAUUAACUUUUGUCUGCUCACGCGAAAGGCACGAGUUUCUAGUGACAUUUCCUUUUUUAAUAGAUUACAAGUAACAUUAAGUUUAUUAGAAAAUUUUAUAGGAACUUUUUUGGUGCUCGGUGAAAAUCUAUGUCAAUCAUAAUAGCUGUUUAAAGAUAUAAGUUUUGGCAUCUUAUGGUUCCAAAUAUUUAGUUAAAUUAUUAUGAUAUGAUUUAUUGUAUGAAUUGUGGGAUAUGCCAACUAUUAUGAUUUUGUUUUUUAGAUUUAUUAGCUUGAAUGGAUUUUUCAAGUAUUCAUGCAAAUCUCUGUUUAAUCAUUAAUACAAUUUUAGAUUUACAUGUUAUAUGCAGGGUAAGUUUCUCUAUUUGAUUUUGAAUACAUGUAUACGCGUGAAUUGCUUUGGUGUUUUUUUCUACGCCAAAAUUAUGAAUAUAUGUACUUGUUAAUUGUUAUGAAAUUUUUAAAUUUGAAUAUUGGAAUAUUUAUAUAUUUUAAAAUAACUUCAUCGAAGAAGUAAGUCGUCAAAGCGAUCUUUUUUGUGUAAAUUAUUUUGUUUUAAAAUAUAAAAGGUUGUGUGCAUGUAACUUAAGUUAUGUUAAUAUUGAUCGGCCCAAAUGAAGGUUAAUUAUAUUACAUGUGCAACUAUGGUAAUAAAAAUGUGACGAUUAUUCGGUUUUACAGGUGAGUAAUAAAUCAGCCCAAAGAAAGAUUUAUUUUUCGACAUAUUUUUUUUAUUGUUAGUGUUUGAUUACUACAUUAAGAUAUCACUUACAAGUUAAUAUUUUGUCCAAAUAUGAAAUAUUAAUGGAGUGUCCGAUAUCUUGAAAUGAUGUUUACCUUUAUUGAAAUUAUUUUAGUUUAAAUUUUAAAUAUUUUGAAAUAAAUAAAUUCAAAUUUUUGCUUUAGGGUUUAAUUGAUGAUGUCUAAUAUUUUAAAUAGAUUAGUUGAAACAAAAUAUCUCCAAAGUGACCUCUUUUGUGUAGAUUAAUUUAUUUAAAAUAUCAAGAUCAUUAUAUAUUUUAUUUCAUUUAUGUGUUUAUUAAUUGACCUAAAGGUAAGCUAAUAUUUAGCAUAAUUUCAAUAACAUCUAUGGUGAUAAAUGUGUGACAAUUAUAAGGUGCUUUAUAUGAGCAAUAAGUUAGUCCAAAGAUUGAUUCAUUUUUUGACGUAGUUUAUUGUCAAUAUUUGAUUGCUACAACAAGAGUGCCGUUUACUGUUAAUAUUACUAUUCAAAGACUUGAUAUUAAUGUUGUGUUUAGUAUCUUGAUAUGAGAUUAGCCACUAUUUUGAAUUUAUUGGUUACUUAUGAAUAUUCAUUUGAGCUUCUUUUUAUCUAUUUUGUUCUAUAUUCAGCUAAUUCAUCUUCUACUGCCACAAUAUUUGCUAAUAUAAAUUUUUAUACCCAUGCUUAAUGGGACUAAUUUCAAUGAAUGAGAAAGACAAUUACUUAUAGUGCUUGACUGUAUGGACAUAGACCUUAUACUAAGGGAAGAACAACUCGCACCUCUCAUUGCAAAAAAAAAACACCCUUAUGUUAAAAGGGUUUUUGAGAGGUGGGAUCGUUCAAAUUGCAUGAGUCUAAUGAUCAUGAAGCACAACAUUCCAAAAGCCUUUAGAGGCAUAGGAUCUAAAGAAAUUACUCAAGCCAAGGUUUCCUUAACGAAAUUAAGAAAUGUUUUUCCAAAAAUAAUAAGGUUGAGGUGACAUCACUUCUGACUUCUUUGAUGUGUAUGAAGUAUAAGGGUCAAUGAAAUGUAAGGGAGUACAUUAUGGAGAUGUUUCAUGUUGCUUCAAGACUUAAGGAACUUAAGAUUGAGCUUUCUGGUUAAUUGUUUAUUUUUAUGGUUUUGGUAUUGCUUCUUUGCACAGUUUAAACAAUUUAAAAUUAGUUACAACUGUCAAAAGAGGAAAUGGACUCCAAAUGAGCUCAUUUCUCAUUGUGUGCAAGAGGAAGAAAGGUUGAAACAUGAUAAGUCUGAAAGUGCUCAUUUGGUCAGUACCUUUAAAGAUAGCAACUUACAUUCUUAAUAGAAUAGCCACUAAAGUAGCUACAAAAACACCUUAUGAGCUUUGGAUAGGUCAAAAGCCUAGUCUAAAGCACUUUCACAUGUAGGGAUGUCCAGUUGAGGCAAAGCCUUAUAGGCCACAUGAAAAUAAAUUAGAUUCCAAAACAAUGAACAACUACUUUAUUGGUUAUUCUGAGAGAUCUAGAGGCUGAGUUUUGUGAUCCCACAAUUAGGAAUAUUUUUGAGACAAGAACUGCAAUAUUUUUUUAGGAUGUUGAGUUUGAAGGGAGAAAUAAGGUUAGAAACAUUGCUUUUGGGGAGGAAAUGGAUUCUAACUUAGUUCCUGCUAUCACUGUUGACGAUGAUCAAGUUCUCAUACCUACCAUUGAUCAAGAAAUGAAUCCAGAACUUUAACAAGACAAUGUUGAAGAGCUUUCUAUCCAAGAUAAGGUAAUUAUUUUACUCAACAACCUCAAGAAAAAAUGUCAUUAAGAAGAUCCACUAGAGAAAGGAUUAUAAUGGCUUUAGUAGAAAUAUUUUGACCUUAAACUGCAUUAGAUUAAUGUUAAGUUAAUGGUUUCUUGAUGGUAACAUUGAUCAUAUAUUUUAAUGGUUCCUCAAAUGGGUGUAAUCACGUUUAAGGAUAUUUGGUUUUAGUGGGAGUUUGUACUUUUAAAUGCUUUUACGUUAUAAACACAUUUUCAGUUAUUUUAGUUUAUGGAUAUUAAGUUUAUUUUGUAACGGCCCGUUUUCAGUGAAAUCGAAACAGUGGAUUUGAGACCACAAAUAUGAAGUCAAAAAAAUUAUUUUAAUAUUAUUGUAAUAUCUACAGCAUGAUAUUAUUAUAGUAUAAAAAUUUCUUUAAGAAAUUUUACCGUUUGUAUGCUCAAUUUGUGAAAAAAGACUAAAUCGCGUAAAGUGUGAAAGUUGUGUUCUAUAAGAUAAAGGUGUUAAAUAGCUAUAGAAAUUUAAAAUAGAGGUCCUUAUAUGGUAAUUAGACCAUUAAAGGUGAGAGUGGAUGUGCAUGGCUUGGCAAUUAUGAAAAUUUUAAAGUUAGGUAAGGGCAAUUUGGUAAAAAGGCAAUUAAGGAUAAAAUAAUCAAAAAUUUAAAGCUAUCAUCUUUCAUUCUCUUCUCCAACUGAUUUUUAUAGAAAAUAAUAACCAUGGAAGCUUGAAAAUUUUUCCUAAGAAAAUCCCUUGCAUGUAAGUGAUAUCUUGUCCCGUUUUUGUUGAUUUUUAUGUUUUCAGGAUCAUUAUAGCUUAACCUAGCUAACUAGGGGACUAAUUUGCGAAACUAUUGAAUAUUUUGAGACUUUCUAUUGAUGAAUAUGUUAGGGUUUUGAAUUUUAAUGGAAGAAAAUGAAUCUUUGUUUGGAAUUAAACAACUUUUGUUAAGUGAUUUUUAAUGAAAUUGUCAAUUAGGGGUUAAAUUGAGAAAUGUGUAAAUUAUGUGUUAAAUAAGUGAAAUUGUGAAAUGUAUGGGCUUUUAUAGACUUAAAAGAUAUUUGGCUAGGCUUGGGUGUGGUGAUAUUACAUGAAUUUCAUUUUUACGAGCCUAGGGACUAAAUUGUAAAGAAGUCAAAUGUUUAAGGGAAAAAUGGUAAUUUUUCCAUAACAAGAAAUUUGGAUUGAAUUGAUUAGAAAUAUGAUUAAAUGAAUUAAAUUUGAUUAUAUAGAUCAAGAAAAGAAACAUUCGGAACUAAAUCAGGGAAAAGAUAAAGUCAUGGACUAAACGAUCGUAUUCUCCGUUUGAGUUUGAGGUAAGUUCGUGUAAAUACAUUACCCUAAUUAUAUGUUUUGAUUGAAAUAUAUACGUGUAUGAUUAGUUUAGUUAGUAUUAUGCAUAAUUAUCGAGUACAUAAUCGACGAUGUACGAAGAAUACCAAGCCCCGCUUGAACCUUAGGAAUUCGUAGGAUACAAAUGACAUGUCAUUAGGGUUACUAUUUUGGUUGAGGUCCUGCAGGUGUUGCGGACUCCCCACAGCUCGUAUGAGUUUACAGAUUUGGAGCUCGUAGGAGCUUACAGAUAUUUAGCUCAUAAAUUCUUACCGUUUAUCGCUUGUAUGAGCUUACAUGUACAAGAACUGACAUAUUACAGUUUAGUACACCUCAUGUGUACUAUCUAACGAGAUUCUAAGUGGUUCAACUGGCAUAGCAUUAUUACGAGAUUAUAUAAGUUCGAUACGAACUAGUACAGAUAUUUACAUGGAGAUAGUUUUUAUAUAUAUGAUAUACGGAUAUACGGUAGAGAUGUUACAUGUACAUAGAAUUUUAAUAAUUUUUUAAUUCAUACAUGAUUCUCGAUUUUUUAUGUGUGUACAUGGCUAACUUGAUGAAUGGUUAUGUGAUAGGCUUUGGCCAAAUUGAAUUGAGUUAUGCUUUGAGUUAUUUACCUAAAUUUGUGGUUAUACGGUAAGUUUUAUUCUAUGUUUUACGAACUUACUAAGCUCAAUUGUUUACUCCAUUUAUUUUUCCGUGUUUUAUAGUACUUCGGAAGCUCGCUCAAUUUGGAAGUCAUCGGAGAUUGCGUCACACUAUCAAGCACUCAUUUUGGUAUUUUGGACUUUAUAUAUUUUGGUUAAAUGGCAUGUAUAGGUAUUUUGGGUAACGUGGGCUAUAUGUCUUGUUGUGUUUUGGCCAUUUGAAUUGGCUUGUAAGGUGGUCAUAUAUUUUGAUAUGUAUAUAUGUAUAAAUGCCCUUAUGAUAUGUGGUGUAUAGUUGUUAUAUGAAUGCCUUAUUUGUGAAAUUGAGUGUUGGCACUAAAUGGUUGGAAUUUAGAUAUGUAGGCAUGCUAAGUUUUAGGCACAAUGAGUCAUAUAUGUAAUUGACCAUUUAGGUUGACUUUAGAAGUAUACUUGAUAUGUUUAAAAUUGGUCAAAUGAAUGUGCUCAUGGAUAUCAUGUUGUUAGUGUGGAUAUUACAUGUUAUAAACUUGAUAUUGAUUAGUUUUGAGUGUCUAUUUAUUCCAUGGUUAUGUGAAAAUUGAUGUGUAUAGGUUGGUACAAAGGUGGGUGAAGAAUAUGGCUUGGAAAAUGGUCUAUUUUUGUCCACAAGGGUAGAGACACGGGCGUGUGUCUCAGCUAUGUGUGACACAUAGCCAGGUGACACAACCGUGUGUCCCCUGAUACUUCUCAGAAAUCAAGUCAGUAGCUUCACACGGCCUAGCACACGAGCGUGUGGCUUCGCUGUGUGGCUCAAGUCAGUAUACCACUAGUUUUCACAUGGCCUAGCACACAGCCCGGCACACAGGCGUGUGAAGCCAUUUUGAAGGGUACACAACCUGGCACACGAGCGUGUGGUUGGCCGUGUGACCCACGUCAAUGAGCUACAUGGAGUCGGACACGAGUUGAGACAUAGCCGUGUGUCCCCAUUUUGAAUACCCACAUGGCCUGAGACACGGGCGUGUCUCACAUGGCCUGGCCACACAGGCGUGUGUCCUCUACACUUUGAAAAUUUUCAAUAUUUUUCUAAAAAUUUCUUAAACACUCGAUUUAGUCUCGAACUAUUUUUAGUGUCUAUUUGGGGCCUCGAGGGCUCGUAUUAGGAAUCAUAUGAUUGUCUAUGAAAUGUUUUUCAAUUGAAUGAGAAAUGUACAUGAAAUGGUUGAUUGAUUGAACUGUCAUUCCGGUAAUACUCUAUAACCCUAUUCUGGCGUCGAAUAUGGGUUAGGGUGUUACAUUUAUUGGUAUCAAAGCUACGGUUUAGUCGAUUCUAGGACUAACGUAGUGUAUGUGAGUCUAGCUAUACAUGUCAUUUUAUAACAUGUGAUAGUGUGACAUCUCUUGAUAGUUUAAAAUCAUGUUUUUCAUAUAGUACUAGAUUCCAACCAAGCAGACUCCGAUGAUCUAGAAAGUAACGCGCCAAGCUUUGUUCGCGGAGCAUUAUCGUUUGGGUCUAAACCUAUGUCAGAGGGUCGUGGAGGAGAGACUAAGGAAACCCUCUUCCAGAUGAUGAACGAAUGGUUCACUGAGUUUGUCUGAACUAAUCCGGCUGCUUAGCAACCUCCACCCUCACCUUUCCCCAACCAGUUUCAGUAGCUCCUCAAGUUUUUGAACCUGUAUGUAUGAGUAAACCGCCUGUUGAUAAAAUCUAAAAAUAUGGGGCUGAAGAGUUUAGGGCCACUGUUGAUGACGAUCCAAAGAGAGUCGAGUUUUGGCUAGAGAAUACAGUCAGAGUUAUUGAUGAACUAUCUUGUAUGCCAAUGAAAUGUGUUAAAUGUGUCAUAUCUCUUUUGAAAGAUGUUGAAUACUAGUGGUGGAGCACUUUAAUUUCUGUAGUACCGAGGGAACGGGUUACAUGGGAAUUCUUUCAGACAGAAUUACGAAUAAAGUAUAUAAAUCAACAAUUUCUUGAUAAAAAAUGUAAAGAAUUUCUAGAGCUGAAACAAGGUCGUAUGACCAUAUCUAAAUAUGAAAGAGAGUUUUUUCAGAUUAAGCAAGUAUGCCCAAGGGUGCAUUCCAACUAAGGUGGUUAUGUGUAAAAGGUUUGAAAAUGGGUGAAAUGAGGAAAUUAAGCUUUUAGUUGGAAUACUUGAAUUGAAAGAAUUUGUUGUGUUAGUCAACAGAGCACACAAAGCCGAGGAGCUUAGUAAAGAAAAGAGAAAAGUUGAAUUUGAAACUAGAGAUUCGAGAAAGAGAUUUACAGGAAAGUCUCAUUAGUCAACAUUGAAGAAAUUUAAAGAACAUCACUACCAUCCUACUGUUUCUGCGGCGUAUUCAAAUAGAGAUAGAGAUGCGAGACACUCCAGUCCAAAACCCUAGGCUACAUCUGUAGCGAGUAUGGGUAGUGUUAGAAAUGUUAGACUCGAGUGCAAACACUGCAACAGGCCACAUUAUGACGAGUAUUGAGUUAAAAGCGGAGCAUGUUUCAGGUUUGGUUCAUUCGACCACUACCUUCGAGAAUUCCCUAAAAAGUCUGAGAAAGAAAAAACUCAAACCACGAGACCGAGCAAUACAAAUGCUAGAGGGAGACCACCCUGAAACACUGGAAAUGCGAGUGGUAGUAGAGGUGCAACGAGAGAUUCAGCAGUGAGAUCCGAGGCACAGGCGCCAGCUAGAGCUUACGCUAUUCACGCUCCCGAGGAUGCAUCGACACCAGAUAUUAUCACCGGUAGUUUUCCUCUUUAUAACACUGAUGUAACUGCUUUGAUUGAUCCCGGAUGAACUCAUUCUUAUGUAUGUACAAAUUUAGUGUCUAGUAAGAGUUUACCUAUUGAAUUCACUGAAUUUGUGGUUAAGGUAUCGAACCCUUCAGGUUAGUAUGUCCUAAUUGAUAAUGUUUGCAAGAAUUAUCCUUUGAUGACUCGGGGUUAUAGGUUUUUAGCCGAUUUGGUGCUUUUACCGUUUGAUGAAUUCGAUGUGAUCUUGGGUAUAGAUUGGUAGACCCAACAUGAUGCAGUUGUAAACUGUAGAUGAAAGCUUAUUGAAUUGAAAUGUCGGAACAGUGAGACUUUUCGUCUUGAAUCUGAUGAUUCGAGUGGGUUACUUAUUGUAAUAUCGGCUAUGUUAGCACAAAAGUAUGUAAGAAAGGGUAGCGAUGCUUACCUUGCAUAUUUACUGGAUACUAAAGUGUCUGAAUCAAAGAUUGAAUCAGUUCCAGUAGUUUGUGAAUAUCCAGAUGUAUUUCUGGAAGAAUUACCCAGUUUACCACCGAUGAGAGAGGUUGAGUUUCCUAUUGAGUUAGUAUCGGGAACAUCACCGAUAUUGAUAGCUCCGUACAGAAUAGCUCCGACAGAGUUGAAAGAGUUGAAGGCUCAGUUACAAGAGUUAAGGAUAGAUGUUUUGCACAGCUGAUUUUCUCGCCCUAGGGUGCACCAGUUUUAUUCGUUAAAAAGAAAAAUGGUUCAAUGAGAUUGUGUAUUGAUUAUUGUCAGCUCAACAAAGUAACGAUCAAGAAUAAGUACCCAUUGCCGCGAAUCGAUGAUUUAUUUGAUCAGUUGAAAGGUGCAACGGUAUUCUCAAAAAUUGAUUUAUGUUCAGGUUAAUAUCAAUUGCAGGUUAAAGAUUCGGAUGUACCGAAAACUAUGUUCCGGACUAGGUACGAACACUAUGAAUUUCUUGUUAUGCCAAUUAGGUUGACUAAUGCUCUUGUAGUGUUCAUGAAUUUUAUGAAUCGAAUCUUUAAACCAUAUUUAACCAGAUUUAUUAUUGUGUUCAUUGAUGAUAUCUUGAUAUACUCCUGAGAAGAAUCUGAGCAUGCCAACCAUUUGAGAAUUGUGUUGCAAGCUUUGAGAGAUAAACAACUAAUUGCUAAAUUCAGCAAAUGUGAGUUUUGGCUUCGAGAAGUUGGAUUCUUGGGACACAUUAUUUCGGCGAAAGGCAUCAAAGUUGAUCCGAGCAAGAUUUUAGUAGUUAUUGAUUGGAAACCACCCAGAAAAAUAUCCGAAGUCAGAAUUUUUCUAGGAUUAGCUGGCUAUUAUCGGUGAUUUGUAAAAGGGCUCUCGAUGAUAGCUACACCAUGACUUGGUUAUUAUAGAAAGAUGUAAAGUUUGAGUGGUCUGAGAAAUGCCAAUAGAGUUUUAAUCAGUUGAAAGUAAUGUUAAUCGAAGCGCCCGUUUUAGUUCUGCUUGAGUAGGGUAAAAAAUUUGUGAUUUUUAGUGAUGCGUCAUUAAACAGUUUGGGUUGUGCUUUAAUGCAAGAAGGCAAAGUGAUAGCUUAUGCUUCCACACAGUUAAAGUCGCAUGAAAAUAAUUAUCCGACACACGACUUGGAGUUGGCCGCAAUUGUGUUUGCAUUAAAGAUUUGGUGACACCAUUUGUUCGGUGAGAAAUGCCACAUAUUUACUGAUCACAAGAGUUUGAAGUAUCUGAUAUCACAAAAAGAUCUAAAUUUGAGACAGCGAAGGUGGCUCGAACUGUUGAAAGAUUAUGAACUAAUUAUUAAUUAUCAUCCGGGUAAAGCAAAUAUAGUUGCAGAUGCUUUCAGUAGAAAAUCCUUGUUUGCCUUAUAGGCGAUGAAUACGCGAUUGACUUUGUUUGAUGAUGGUUCGAUAUUAGCUGAAUUAAAAGCUAAACCAAUAUUUCUUCAGCAAAUCUGCGAAGCUCAGAACUGUGAUAAUGAAUUGCAAGCUAAAAGAGUACAGUGUGAGUUGGCUACUAAUUUAGAGUAUCAGAUAGGAUUUGAUGAUUUUUUGUUGUUUCGAGUAGAGUUUGUGUACCAAAAAAUACAUAACUUAUAUAGAAAAUUUUACAUGAAGCUCUACUGGGAGCUUGUCUGUUCAUCUAGGAGUACUAAGAUGUACGGUGAUUUGAGACAAAUUUACUGGUGGUCAGGUAUGAAACGUGACAUUUCAAAUUUUGUGUCGAGAUGCUUGAUUUGUCAGCAAGUUAAAGCCGAACAUCAAGUGCCUUCAAGACUAUUGUAGCCAGUGAUGAUACCAGAGUGGAAGUGGGAUAGAGUUACGAUAGAUUUCGUAUCGGGAUUACCCCUAUCUCCGAAAAAGAAAGAUGCUAUAUAGGUCAUUGUUGAUCGUUUGACGAAGUCUACACAUUUCAUUCUGGUACAUAUAGACUUCUCACUUGACAGAUUAGUCAAAUUGUAUAUUUUCGAGAUUGUGAGAUUGCACGGAGUACCAGUCUCCAUCAUCUCAGAUAGAGAUCCGUUAUUUACAUCACGAUUUUGGAAGAAGAUGUAAAAAGCUUUGGGUACACGGUUGCAUUUUAGCACUGCAUUUCAUCCUCAAACCGAUGGCAUUUUGGCUAAUGUGGCCUAUAUGUUUUGUUGUGUUUUGGCUAUUUGAAUUAGCUGGUAAUGUGGUCAUAUAUUUUGAUAGGUAUAUAUGUAUAAAUGGCCUUAUGAUAUGUGGUGUAUAGUUGCUAUAUGAAUGCCUUGCUUGUGAAAUUGAGUGUUGGCACUAACUGUGUAGGCAUGCUAAGUUUUAGGCACAACGUCUCACAUAUGUAAUUGACCAUUUAAGUAGACUUUAGAAGUAUAUUUGGUAUGUUUAAAAGUGUUCAAAUGAAUGUGCUCAUGGAUAUCAUGUUAUGUGUGCGGAUAGUAAAUGUUAUAAACUUGAUAUUUGUUAGUUUUAAGUGUCUAUUUAUGUCAUGGUUAUGUGCAAAUUGAUGUGUAUAGGUUGGUACCAAGGUGGGUGAGGAAUAUAUCUUGCAAAAUGGUCAAUUUUUGUCCACACGGGCAGAGACACAGGCAUGUGUCUCAGCCAUGUGUGAUACACGGCCAGGUGACACGGUCGUGUGUCCCCUGAUACUUUUUAGAAAUCAAGUCAGUAGCGUCACACGGCCUAGCUCACAAGCGUGUGGCUUCAUUGUGUGGCUCAAGUCAGUAUACCUCCAGUUUUCACACGGCCUAACACACGGCCCAGCACACGGGCGUGUGAGGCCAUUUUAAAGGGUACACGGCCUGGCACAUGGGCGUGUGGUUGGCCGUCUGACCCAAGUCAGUGAGUUACACGGGGUCCGACAUUGGCUGGGAUACAGCUGUGUGUACCCAUUUCGAAUGCCCACAUGGCCUGAGACACGGGCGUGUCUUUUGGCCGUGUGUCUGGCCACACGGGCAUGUGUCCCUUACACUUUGAAAAAUUUCAAUGUUUUUCUAAAAAUUUCUUGAGCACUAAGUUUAGUCCUGAACCACUUUUAAUGUCUAUUUAGGGCCUUGGGGGCUCGUGUUAGAGACCAUAUGAUUGUCUAUGAAUGGUUUUUGAAUUGAAUGAGAAAUGUACGUGAAAUGGUUGAUUGAUUGAACUGUAAGUCCGAUAAUACUCCAUAACCCUGUUUCGGUGUUGCAUACGGGUUAGGAGUGUUACAUAUUUUCUGCAGAAAUAAAGUUUAUUUGGUUUAUUCAUAUUUUGAUUUUGAUAAGGUUUGAUCUCACUAAGGUUUAAGGAGGACCAAUUGCAUGUGAAAGAUGGAAUUUCAAUCAAGGUACCCAAUAUGAUCGACUUGCCGUUUUUAUUUUAGUAUUAGUAUAUAUUUAUAGUUUAAGUUUUAAUUUUUAAGAAAUUAUAUAUUUUUUGUAUACUUAUAAAUAUACCUUAAUUAAAUAACUAUAAAUAUAUUUAUAUAUAAAUAUAAAUUUUAAAAUCUUUCAUCAAUUUCAAUAAUUAUUAAAUUUAAAUGUAAUUAUAAAAAAUUUAAAUACAUUAAAAGUUAAAUAAAAAUUUAAUUUAAAAUUUAAUUUAAAAUAUAAAAAUUUUGUAAGGCUCAGUAUGAACAAAUAUAAGUUGUUAUUAACUAAAACAAUUCAAAUACAUCGAAAUAGUUGAAACAUGUCAAAAUUUUAAUCAAAUUAAAACAUAUACUACUUUAAAAUCAUUUAAGAUUGAAAUGAUAUAUAUUAACCGAUACAACCCAUACCUAAGUACCACAAUUCCAACCUCCACUCCAACCCAUGUUUAUUUUAAUCUAAUAUUAAACAAUAAUCUCAAUUGUUCCAAAUGAUAUGGGAUCAAAACUUUCAUUCUCCUUCCUGGUAAGAAAAUUGCAUUAAAAAAGAAAAAGUAGAGCAAUAAGUUCCAGAUAAGUUAAUGAUGGGAUGAAUAGUAUCUCGUUGUCGGCAGAUUGCUAUUUCACUACUCUAUUGGUACAACGAUGCACUUAAUUUUUUUAGUUUACUCUCAUUAAUUGAGUAAUGAAGAGACUUGUUUAUACUUUUUUGCUAAUUUAGCGUUGAUUUUUUUUAAAUAUAUAAAAUUAAAAGAUAAAAAAGACUUAAAAAUUAUAAAAUUAAAAAAAUAAUAUGAGCGUAAAAAAUAUAUGAAAUCAUAUAAAUAAGUAAAAAAACACUUAAAUCAAGGAUAAAUCCAAAAUUAAACCUAACAAAAACGAAUCUAGAGACUAGAUUGAACAUAUUAAUAUAUCACAUUAGGAUUGAAUCAUGAACAUACUAAAUAUGUAAAUAAGGACUAAAAUGAAUCAAAUUGAAAAUCACAUGCAAAGAAACAAAAAUUUCAAAGGAAUUAAGUUCACAAUGACCCCUAAAACCAUUAAUGCACACUUAAAACUCGAAAGCUGGGUUUUUCUUGCUUUUUUUUUCUCUCUCCUUUUUCAUACGCCAUUCAGCCUCAUUUUUUUCACCUCUUCUAUCACCAUGAUUUAAAAUCCCUCAUAACCGGCUUUAUUAAAUAAAAAAAUAUAAUAGAUUAUAUUAAAAAUAUUUUAUAUUAUAUGAUAUUUGAAAUGUAAAAGAAUAAAUAUAUUAUAUAUUUUAUGUAUCCUGAAUUGAAAUAUUUAUAUACCUUAUACAGGAUAAAUUAAUAUAUAUUAGUUGCUAAUAUCUAAGAUAUUAAUAUUUUAAAUCAAGGAAAUCUAAUGUCAUGUCAUUUAAAUAGUUUGCCCACUUGUUAUUUGUUAUAAUAGAUUCACCAAGUGCUCUCUUUAUCAUCAACUUUUUAAACGUGAUUUAAUUUAGCUACAUAAUUACACUUCUUUUUAUUUUAAAUAUUAUAUAUCUUUAAUAAAAUAUAGAUAAAUCAAUCACAAUAUGUUUUGAUUUAAUAUACAUUUAAUCUUAAAAAAAUAAUAAAUUCCAAAUCAAGUUCAAAUAAUUGAUGUGUGAAAUGAAAAAGAAAUCAAUUUAAAAUGCUCAUAUCUAAAGCAAUAUCUAUAUGAUCCACCUAAUAAGUAAAAUUGUAGAUAUCACACCAAAAACGUGUUUUAAAUUGUAAGAAGUAAUGAGUUUCGUGUGAUGAUCUGAUAGUUAAGAGUGUUCAUUGUUUCAGGUGUGGUCUAAGCUCGAAUAAUGUUUAUAUUUAAACUUUGUCAUGUUAUUGCAAUUCAAAAAAAAAAUUGUAAGGAGUAAUUCUCUUUUAGUCCAUAACUUUUUGUUUUUUCUUGGAAGAAAUUCUUAUAAUAUAAAUAAUAAUGAAUCGUUUCAUUAUGAUUAAUUUAAAAAUUACUCCCUAUUUUUAUUAUUUCUUUGAAUUUUGAAGCAAGCUGCCCGGAGCUUUUGAAGUUGCAUCUUUGGACUUAAUCCAUUGUUGGUCCCUGUACUAUAAGUAAAUUAUCACUUUGAUCUUUUUAUUUUUUUUUUGGUCACUUUUUAUUCCAUCUAUUUUAUUCCGUCAUUUAAUUUAGCUCUUUGUUGAGAAGAUUUAAUAAUCUCAACACUUGCAAUUGCAGGUAGGACCUACAGUUCAAAUGCAUCUUGGGCAAUCCUUGGGCACUCGUUCCGUCAAAUAUUAUUUAUAUUUUGGUGAUUUUAAAACUUAAGGUUGUUAAAGGUUGCACUUAUAGUUAAUCAAUCAUCAAAUAUUAUUUAUAUUUUGGUCACAUGAGAAAUAUAUUUAUACUUUGAAAUAGUGAAUAUUGUCUCGGAUUGAAUCAGUUAUAGUUGGCAUGUCAUAUGAUUAGUGUACGAGAUUUUUCUUCGAUUUAUACUAAUGAGGUGUGAAGCGCAAUAUUUUUGAACGUAUCAAUGAUACACUUGGUGCUAGUUAUAUUGGUGUGAUGGUUGGAUGAUCUAUGUUUGUUUAUAUAAGUCUGAAUAUGCUAGUUAGUAGAUCAAACCUUAAUCCUUUUGAUACUAUAGUUUAAUGACAUUUGAUAGUGUUUACAUGUGUUAAAUUGGUGAUUUUGCAUUGGUGUAAUAUUUGGGUAUGUUUUAUGUACAAUUAGCUGAAGUUUGAAUGUUUGAAAAUGUGCAUUUUAAACCAUUUACCAUUAAGUCUCGAAAGAACGAGAGAAUGUCUUGAGACUGUUAGAAUAAAAAUUUACUAUAUUAUGUGUCGAAACCACUUUUUUUUUGAAAAUCGGGGAUUGAUUUUGAAAAUAAAAUGGGAGUCGCCACCGAUCUUUUGUUGAGGUGUGAUCGGAUCACUUUGAAAAUAAUUUUAGGUCUGCGAAGUUUGAGAAAACAAGUUCGGGAGCCGGUUACGCACGAGGAAGGGUUAGCACCCUCGUAACGCCCAAAAUUGGUACCAAAUUGGUUGUAUGUCUUAGGGUGGAAGUUUUUGAAAAGAUUUAAAAAAAAUACGAUCCUUUUAAAUUUUAAAUUUGGAUAAACCAAAUUGAAUAACAAGACGUACUUAUUUUGAAUAAACAAAUUGCUACACUCAGUAAGUUAGAGUGCAACAAUUCAAUCAUCAAAAUUAAGUACGUUUCCUUUUUUUUUUAAAGAAGGUUAUUUGAUUAUUUAAGUCAAUCGAGAAAUCAGAAUCCAGUGAGUUAGGGUUCAAUUUCUCGAAAUUCUUAAACCUCAAAUAUUGCCUUUUAUUUUUUAAAAUCGAGAUAACAAAAUGCCACAUCCAGUAAGUUAGGAUCCAACAUUUUGUAAUCUUAAGAGCUUUAUUUUAAUAAUGGUAUGGUUUUAAUAAAAUGGAAACUUGAUAAUAUAAAUCCAUUGAAGAGAAUUGAAGCCCAGUAAGUUAGGGCACAAUUUUCUCGAGAAUUAUUAAACACUAAGUCCUUUUUUGGAGUUUUGAAAUAGAACGAUUAUAAUGUUUUAAUGGAAUGCAAUUCUUACAAACAAUAUAAUUGAAUAACAAUAUACGAAGCGAAUGAUGAAUAGCAAGUUAAUUCUACAAUUUGGAGCAACCACAUAUAUAAUACAUCGACGUUAAUAAUUAAAUAAACUAGUAAACAAUCUUACAAAUAACAAAUGAGAAUAAUUAAUACAAAAAUAAUUUAAUCACAAGUAAACCAAUCAACAUAAUCGAAAUGAAUAACAAAUUUAAAGCGUAGAAUAAAAUUUUAGAAAUUACAAGUUACAAUUCAUUUUAUACACAUAUAUAUUAAAAUAAUUCCAUAUCAUGAAAAUCUAAAAAUGAUGCCAAUGAAUUUAGAACAUAUUAAUAAUAAUUUAAGAGGGUAAAGUAUUAUAUUUUAGAAAUCAUAUCAAUAAUAAUUUUGAAAAAUAUUAAGCCAAUAUUACAAUACUUUUAAAAACAAUGAAUUGGUAUAAAACUUGAUUUUUUUUAAACUUUUGAAAUCAAAAUUAAAUAUGCAAAACAUUUUUUUUUUUGAAAUUGAGAACAAUAAUCAACAAAUUUCAAAUCAAGACUUAAAUAAAAUUUGAAUGAUGAUAAAUUAGAACAAAAUUAAAAUGCAAUUGACUCAAAAUAUUGGUGUAUAAUGAAUAAAAAAUAAACAAAAAAGUAAUAAUUUAUUACAUUUUGAACUAUUAUAAUAAAUUUAAACACUAUUAAAAAUAAAUAUCACAAAUAAUAUUAAAUAUUACAAUAUACGAAAGUAGGAUUUAAUUAAUUAAAAAUAUUUUGGAAUUUAAAAAAAGAAAACUGAAUUUGUAUUAAAUCGAAAUCAGUUUCAACAUUGACGAACUAAACUAGCAAUUAAACGCAAGCAUUAAAAUAAUUACAAUCAACCACAUAAAACGAUACCGUUUCAAGUUGGACCUCAAUGAAAACAAGUUACAUGCACCAUACAAAUUACAAAAAAUUAAAGAAAUCAAAUCGUAAUCAUAGUAAACACACAGGGACCUAUUUAGCAAAUAGGCCAAUUAGUCCAGCAUGCGCGGAUCCUACCUCGGGUCGGGUCACCGCCUGGAUCUGGUCGUCAAACGACGCUGUUUUGAAGCUAUUAUGUUAGCAGCAAGCGGUGACGUUUUAGUCUCGUGUUUAAAAAACUGAAAAACCUAAACGUUUUCAUUUCAGAGAACCGAAAGAGAACUAAUGUUCUCUGCGCCGUUCUAAGCACUGAGGGGGCUCAAGUGAUCUCCGAUCCAGACCUGUUCCCCGAUGGCAACGGAGGAGGCCCGAAUCUCCUCACAAGGUACCUUUCUCCCUUUCUUACUGCUAUUUCUAUCUUUAAUGAAAAUUAGUAGAUGCCUAAACGAAAAAAGAAACGAAAUACAAAUGGAAAGAAGAAAAGAAAAUCGGAAAUCACCUUUUUCAUAUCUUUUGUAUUUUUUUGAAUGCGUAAUCUGUUUACUGUGUUUGAAUGGCUUUCUUAUAGCCCGAUUUUAUAGAAAAUAAAAUAAAAAAUAAAUACAAGGUUCCCCUAUUCUAUUGUUUUUCUAUUGGUUGCUGCCUCCAUGUGUUUUUGCAGGUAUUCAGCCAGCCUGGUGGUACGGAGGUGGCCGUACGGAUGCGUGCGUGGCUGGGAGGCAUGGUGGUGCACGCGUAAGAGGAGCCUGACCUGCCUGCGGCACAAAAUGUUCCAGAAACCCUAGGGUUUCUGGAUGUUUCAAGCAAAUGGGCUAGUUCGAGUUGGGCUAGGGUUUGGGUCUGGUGUUGGGUUACUCAGGUUUGGGUAUUAGGCCUGCUAUCGGGUUUGGAAAAUGUAUUUUGGGUUUGGAUAAUGGGUUAAUUAUUGUAACUGGACUGAUAUUAUUGGACUUUUAAUUUUUAUUUGGCUUUAUAUAUUUUUAAAUGUUUGUGGGCCGGGCAAAUUUGGGUUAUUACAGUUGCCCCUCUUUGCUCAUUGUCGUGUAACGGGAAUGAAGCAAAGACUUUGAUAAAGGCAAAUUUUCCUGGUCAUGCGGGAUUUGGUGUUCUUCUUCAAGUAGCCUCAUUCCAUCCUACUGCAUCUUCAGAGGUAUAGGAAUUGUUUCGAUCCACUCCGCCAAAACAUCGGGGAGAUAGGAUUCGCUGUCUUUGAGCUGCUCCACUACUGCUUAGGGAGAUAAGAUCUGAAAUUUUCAACCUACUCCACUACUGCUUAGGGAGAUAAGGCUGGUGACUUAAAUCUACUUAACUACAAUGUCAGAGAAGUAGGAUUCGCUGUUGUAGCUUCAAUUUAUUCCACUGCACCGCCUAGGAAGUAAGAUUUGAAAAUUCUUCGGUCUAUUCCCCUGUAAUCUCAGGGAGAUAAGACCUGAUGCGAUCUACUCUACUGUAAUUUUAGAGGGAUAAGAUUCUUUAUUUUAAUUCGCUCCACUGUAAUCUCAAGGAAAUAGGAUUACUGGCUUCAAUCUAGUCCGCUGUAAUCUCAGGGAGAUAAGAUUUCUGGCUUCAAUCUGCUCUACUGUAACCUCAGGAGAUAAGAUUUUUCGGUCUAUUCCACUGUAAUCUCAGGGAGAUAAGAUUCUUCAGUCUAUUCCAUUGUAAUCUCAGGGAGAUAAGACUUGAUGCGAUCUACUCUACUGUAAUUCUAGAGAGAUAAGAUCCUUUAUUUUAAUCCGCUCCACUGUAAUCUCAGGGAAAUAGGAUUACUGGCUUCAAUCUGCUCCACUGUAACCUCAGGGAGAUAAGAUUUGAAAUUCUUCGGUCUAUUCCACUGUAAUAUCAGGGAGAUAAGACCUAAUGCGAUCUACUCUACUGUGAUUUCAGAGAGAUAAGAUCCUUUAUUUUAAUCUGCUCCACUGUAAUCUCAGGGAAAUAGGAUUACUGGCUUCAAUCUGCUCCGCUGUAAUCUCAGGGAGGUAAAAUCCGCCAUCUUUGAUCUGCUCCACCGUCGAUGCAGGAAGGCAAGAUAUGCUAUAUUCAUUGAUCUAUUCUCUGGGGAACAUGCCUUGUAUAAUGAACCUAAAUAUGUCUAAUGAUUAGGAUGGCAUGAUCAAAAUGAAUCAAAUGCUCCUACCUAGACAUGUGUGAAUGGUGUUUGCAUAAAUGUAGAAUUUUAUUUUUCGAGAAUGAUCCCGCUUAGGUUGUCAUUACUUGAAAUUUAUUAAGGCUUUAACACCGACGUGCUCCAACGCCUUCUUGCUUGACCGGAUUUUCUAAAGAAACACUUAGUCAGAUUGCCCCCACUGUAAACCUCAAAGUUCUAUCCAUUAGGGCGCAAAAUUUUUACCAUCAUUCUCCCCUGUAAUCCAAGGGUAGAAAUAUGUGGCUUUUCCUCAAUCCUCUCCUAUCAUGAUUCAAGGAUCCCGGAUUUAAAUCUUCCUGGUCCCUUACAUCAUUCCCAGGGUGUCGUACCAAAAUCUUAUACUCAAAUGAAGGCUUUCUUCUUCGAGGAAACCUCUUCCUAUUGCCUAAUGAUCAUUGCUUGCUUGUUUAUUUAAGCUUUAUCAUCAACAUGAUCUUCUUGUCAUUUUGUUCAAUCACUGUUCUAUCAACAAAAUCUAAAAGGAUUGUCUUGAUUCGGACUUUUCCCUAUUAGAUUUCUGACCUUUAAACUUGGUUCGUUCUAAACAAAAGUCUUGUUUCAUGGUUACUGUAUUAUUUAGAAACUUUUUCUGAAUAAUAUGCAGAACUUCCACUGUGAAAGUUUUAUUAGUCCAUUAAUAUUUAUUCUAAUGCAACAUGCUUGCACAAAGAACAAAACAAUGGAUAGAAUAGACUUGAUUUGAGAGCAUAACUUGCAAUGAAUAAAUUAUCAAGAAUAUUGAGAAUAAAAGAGGAACUGACUUGUGUCUUGAAAAAGAAUGAAGUAUUCCAAGAAAGAAAAUAUGACUAGUAUAAAAAACUAGAUGCCCCAGAUAUCACAGCUUGAAUUUCUCUGUACAAACUUUCUGAAAACCUUUCUGAGUUUGACAUGUGUUUAUGGGAUCUACAGUACUCUGCAAAUGCUCCAAGAUGUCGCAUACCCUUUCCCAUUAAUUCAGGUAUAACAAGAUCGUUACAUGCCCCAAACUGAUCAAAAAAUGAACUGCUCUGAUCACCUCAUGCCCCAUUCUGAUCAAUAUUUGAGCCACCCCCUUGGGUUUUCAACUCAAAUCCCCUUUGGUCUCAAGGUGCCCUUUGCGGGUUUUCACCUUGGCCUCUCCAUUUUUUUUUUUAGGAAUCAAAGCGCCCUUUGUGGGUUUUCACUUUGGUCCCUUUCCUUCAAGUGAAGUAUUUCUUGACUGAGUCUGAGUUUACAGGAUUUGGCAAAUUUUUACCAUCUAUCUCAGUUAGAAUCAAAGCUCCACCAGAAAAGGCCUUCUUUACGACAUAAGGACCCUCCUAAUUUUGCAUCCAUUUUCCUCUAAAGUCUUUCUGUAUAGGAAGAAUUUUCUUCAACACUAGAUCUCCUUCGUGGAAUUCUCUGGGAUGAACCUUUUUGUUAUAGGCUCACAUCAUCCGUUUUUGGUACAUAUGACCAUACUGGAUGGCUUUUAACCUUUUCCCUUCUAUUAAGUUCAACUGGUCGUAUCGAGACUAAACCCAUUCUGCUUCAUCCAAUUUUAGUUCAGCUAAUACCCAAAGAGAAGGAAUCUCCACCUCAAUGGGUAAUACGACUUCCAUCCCAUAAACGAGAGCAAAGGGUGUUGCCCCAGUAGAGGUCCUAACAGAUGUUUGGUAAGCUAAGAGAGCAAAUGAUAGCUUCUCAUGCCAAUCCUUGUAGGUUUCAGUCAUUUUCCCUACAAUUCUCUUAAUAUUUUUAUUGGCCGCCUCCACUGCACCAUUCAUUUUUGGGCGAUAUGGCGACGAGUUAUGGUGAUUGAUCUUGAACUGACUGCAAACCUCCGCUAUUGUGCUAUUAUUCAAAUUCAACGCAUUGUCAGAUAUGAUUCUUUCAGGCAUUCCAUAUCGACAAAUGAUCUCCUUUUUUAAGAAUUUACUAACCGCUGAUUUCGUGACAUUUGCAUAUGAAGCAGCUUCCACCCAUUUGGUAAAGUAAUCAAUGACCACAAAGACGAAACGAUGCCCAUUUGAAGCCUUCGGCGAUAUUGGCCCAAUAACAUCCAUGCCCCACAUGGAGAAUGGCCACGGAGCAGUCAUGACGUGCAGAGAUGAGGGAGGUACACGUAUCUUAUCUCCAUAAAUUUGACAUUUAUGACUUUUCUUGGCAUAACUAAUGCAAUCCCCUUCCAUAGUAGACCAAUAGUAUCCAAAUCUCAUGAUCUGUCUGGCCAUUGUGAAACCAUUUGCACGAGUUUCGUAAAUGCCCUCAUGGACUUCUUCCAGGAUCUUUCUAGCCUUCACGGUAUCUAUACAUCUUAACAGCACUUGAUCUUUCCCUCUCUUGUACAACACUUCCCCAUCUAAGACAUAUUCAAUGGCUAUUCUUCUCAAUGUUCUCUUGUCGUUCUCUGUCGCUUGAUCAGGGUAUUUUCGAUUCUUCACAUAUUGUAGUAUGCUCUGAUGCCAAGGAUGAUCAUCUUUUCCCUCCUCUUCAAUAUUGUAGCAAUGAGCCGAAACCUCAUAUAUGCUCAUCUGAAUAGGCUUCAUGAUUUCCAACUUGUUCACCCUAAUCAUCGAGGCUAAAGUAGCCAAUGCGUCAACCAUCUGGUUUUCAUAUCGUGGGAGGUAACAGAAGGUGAUGUCAUCAAACUCAUCAAUCAAUUCAAGAACCAGAUCUUUAUAAUUGAUCAACUUAGGGUCCCUAGUUUCCCAUUCUCCAUUGAGUUGGUAUAUCACCAAUGCAGAAUCUCCAUACACUUUUAGCACUUUAAUUUUUCGUUCAAUGGUUGCACGAAUACCCAUAAUACAUGCUUCAUAUUCUGCCAUAUUAUUUGUGCAAUCGAAGUCCAACUUGCUAGUGACAGGGUAAUGAUCUCCACUUGGGGAUACCAAGAUUGCCCCGACUCCAUUACCUAUAGCAUUUGAAGCUCGAUCGAAAUUUAACUUCCAUAUGUGGUCUAUUUAAGGGUUUUCUUCAGUAUUUGCCACAUACAUUAAAUCCUCAUUUGGAAAAUCGAAGUUCAAAGACUCAUAGUCUUCCAAGGCUCUGCUAGCUAGAAAAUCAGCUAUUGCACUUCCUUUUAUAGCCUUCUGACUUAAAUAUACUAUGUUAAAUUCAGAGAGCAGGAUUUGCCAUCUAGCCAUUCUCCCAAUUAAAGCAGUUGAUUCCAUCAUGUACUUUAACGGAUCCAACUUUGAAAUUAGCCAAGUCGUAUGAUACAACAUGUAUUGCCUUAGUCUUUGAGUUGUCUAAAUUAAAGCACAACACAGUCUUUCAAUGAACGAGUACCUCAUUUCAGAAUCAGUGAAUUUCUUGCUAAGAAAGUAUAUUGCCCUUUCUUUCUUUCCCGUCUCGUCAUGUUGGCCCAAGACGCAUCCCAUGGAAUUGUCAAACACCGUUAGAUACAGUAUCAAUGACCUAUCUGGACUAGGCGGUGAUAGUACUGGAGCAUUGGCCAAGUAUUGCUUUAUCUUGUCGAAAGCUUUUUGACAUUACUCAUCCCAUUUUCUCGGAUUAUGUUUCUUCAGAAGACGAAAUACUGGAUCACAUUUCUCAGUCAAUUGUGAAAUGAACCGAGCAAUGUAGUUCAACCUUCCUAGGAAUCCUCGAACCUCUUUCUGAGUGCUUGGAGGAGGCAGAUCUCGUAUUGCUUUAACUUUAUCCGGGUCAAUCUCAAUCCCCUUCUUACUGACUAUGAAGCCCAACAACUUUAUUCGGGUUGAGCUUGAGCUGAAAUUUUCUCAAUCUUAAAAAUAAUUUCCUCAAGGCUCGAAGAUGUUCUUCUUCAGUUCUAGAUUUUGCAAUCAUAUCAUCAACAUAAAUCUCAAUUUCUUUAUGCAUCAUGUCAUGAAACAAUGUGAGCAUUGCCCUUUGAUACAUUGCUCCCGCAUUCUUCAAUCCAAAGGGCUUUACUUUGUAACAAAAUGUUCCCAAUAAUGUAAUGAAUGUGGUUUUCUCCAUAUCUUCAGGAUGCAUCUUUAUUUGAUUGUAUCCAGAAAAGCCAUCCAUGAAAGAAAAUAAUCAGUAGCCACAUGUGUUAUCUACUAAAGUAUCAAUGUGAGGCAACGAAAAAUUGUCUUUUGGACUAGCCUUGUUCAAGUCCCUAUAAUCCACGCACAUUCGUACGUUUCCAUCCUUUUUGGGAACAGGGACGAUGUUUGCUACCCAUUCUGAAUACUUGACCUCUUGUAAGAAACCAGCGUCGAGCUGCCUUUUGACUUCUUCUUUUAUUUUCAGCACAAUAUCGGGUCUCAUUUUUCUGAGCUUCUGCUGAACUAGUUUACAAUCUUCUUUUAUAGGUAAACGAUGUACCACAAUGCUAGGGUUUAGCCCUGGAAUAUCCUGGUAUGACCAUACGAAAACAUCUUUGAACUCUCGGAGUAACUCAACGAGGUCAUGUUUUGUCUUUGCGGUGAUAUCAGUUCCAAUUUUCACAUUUUUUCCUUCCUCUAGGCUCACAAUUUCUAAUGAUUCCUUAUGAGGUAGGAUUUGCUUAUCCUUUUGUUCCACCAUUCUCAACAAGUCCGGAGAUACACCACAGUCUUCGUCAUUUUCAAAGUCCUGAGAUCCCUCCAAACACAUGUCUUGCUCAAAAAGAGACUCCGCGUUUGAAACAACAUCACUCAUGUCAUUGAUAUCUGAGGACCUAUGGGGAUACAUCAAAGAAUAUACAAAAUAUAUAAAUUUAUGAAUAAUUAUUUGUACAAUAAGGUUAUAAAUAUAAUGAAAGAAUCAUUUAGAAGAAAUUCAAUCAAAUGGAAAAAUAUUUACUUGCCUAGAAAGAAUAAAAGAAUAAUUGCUCGAAAUGAAUACAAAGAUGUAUUUUAUUAGAAUAAUGAUAUUCAGACUUAAGCCUAUUUCACAAAUGAUUUCCUAUCAUUCUUAGGCUAGAAACAACAAGAAUGUUUUGAACAUUACUCUGAAUAACCUCUAAAGACUACAGGUAUUUCUUCCGUAGUCCAAUUGUUUAGCUCACUCCCCGGUUCGUAAGGGCAAACCUCUAACAAGGUCCUUCUUUCAAUUGUCUCUAUAGCAUUGAUGUGAACAUUUUCCAACAUUUCUUCAAUGCUUUCCUUUCUGGACACCCCUUGCUUAGGGUAAAUAAACCCACCCGACACAAAGGAUUUAGAUACGUGGGGGAAGGUCAAAGGCUCCCACUUGACUUCCUCUCCGCUCAAACAUGCCCUUCUUCUCUCUUGUCUUUUCUCCGCUUCUUUCUUCUUCUGCUUCAUGUCUAGCUUGUAUUCUAAGCCAAAACUAUCAAACUUUUCCUUCAGCAUCGGUGCUUCAAUCUUUCCUUGAAGAUAUUUUCCCAAUCCUUUCGCGGGUGAAGCUCCUCUUCCAAUCAUCAAUCGUAACCCCAUCUCUGUGGUCCUGGAUAUUUUCGGUACUGGAAUUCUACUUCCUCCAGUAAUAAACAUCGUGUUCACAAAUUCUAAUGACCGAAAAGAACAUUCCUAUGCCUCAUCAUUAAUUUCCAUAUAAGGUGCAUUACCAGUUACUGUUGCAAUGAUAUCUUCCUCCACAUUUAUUGUUAUCAACCGUCCCUCUGAUACUAACUUCACCUUCUGAUGUAGCGAUGAAGGUACUACCCCAGCUAAAUGUAUCCAUGGUCUCCCCAAUAAAUAGUUGUAGGAAGGCUUAAUAUCCAUUAUCAGGAAGUCCACCUCAUAAGUGGUUAGGCCAAUCAUUAACGGUACUUCAAUUCUCCCGAUAACCCUCAUUUCUAUUCCAUCAAAUGCCCUGACUAUGCUCUGGCAUGCUUUCAUGUGUGAACUGUCCACUGGUAACUGAUUGAGAGUAGAUAAAGGUAAUACGUUUAGUGCAGAUCCAUUAUCGACCAAGACCCCUGACAGUGUGUACCCCUUGCAUCGGGUAGUACUGUGCAAAGCCUUAGUAGAACCUCUACCGCCAGACGGUAUUUCGUCAUCAUUGAAGAAGAUAAAAUUGUCAGCACUUAUUGUUGACCAACCGAUCUAGCUUUCUUAUUGAGAUAUCAUCAGUCACAUAUGUUUCAUUUAGAACUUUCAUCAGUGCACUUCGAUGUACUUCUAAACUUAGGAGCAAAGCUAAUAUCGAAAUGUGGCCGGCUAUUUGUGCAAUUGCUCCACAACACUGUAUUUGCUGUGUUUCAAAAACUUCAAAAACUCCUUUACCUCCUCUUCUUUUAUUGGUUAAUUAACCAAUGACUCAAUUUCCACUACCUUCCAUUUCCUCUGUUCUUUCCUCCAAUUCUCUUCUUUUGCCGAUUCUGCUUGAGCGUCAUAUCGCUUCCCAUUGCGCGUAUAAUAACCCCUUUCCUGAUAUUCUUUUACCAUAUUGCCCUCAACUUCUUUUCCUGGGAUUGUCACAUUGUAUCCGUAAUUCCAGGGAACCAUUUUAUCAUCCUUAUAUGUGAAACUUUACGGUUUCAUGAUUACAAUUUUUGGUGUUACCUGAACCCUGGCCUCAUUACUCUUAGGGCGUGAGAUAAUGACCACAGGAUGAUUUAUUUUCAGAGUCCCUGUUCCUGACUCCGCCGCGCAUAUGCUCCUCCUUUCUUUCACAUCUUCAUAGAACCUCAUCUCUUUGUUAUCCAUCAUGCUUUGAACCAAAGCCCUGAAUCCUUCACAUUAUUGGAUUUCGUGCCCUGUUUUAUGGUGGAAUUCACAAUAAUUUCUCAUCUUAUACCCUUCCUCAAAAUCUAAAAUAACUAACCCUCUUUUUGCCAUCUCUUUCCAGACCCAUUUCAAUGGAGUUUUUACUUCAGCAAUGUCAGUCUUAACUCUUUCCCCCGUAGAACAUACUCACUCCCUUAUCAUCAUGAUUGGGCAACGGACUUUCUGUGCUGGGUGAAUCAUCAAAUUUGACAACACCCAAUUUGAUAAGUCUUUCUACUACCUUCUUGAAAGCGGUACAAUUUUCUAUUGAGUGCCCUGAAAUUCCCGUAUGAUAGUCACAUUGGGCGUUCGUGUCAUACCAUUUUGGAUACGGGGGUUGUAGAGGAUUCAAGUAACGAGGACCAACAACAUGUGCAUUAAAUAAAUUUUGAUACAGCUCUUUAUAUGUCAUUGGAAUGGGCGUGAACUGGGGCUUCUCAGUAUUUUGCCUCAUUCCUGAUUCUUGUUUCGAUGAGCCUUGUUGAUUAGCAACCAUCUUCCUUGGUUGAUUCACUGUAAUUGAUUUACUGUAUGCGUUCACAUUGUUUACUUUAGUUUCUCUUUUAUUUGGAGCUAACCUUCGAUUAUUCUCUCCACCGUCUAUUUUUUCGUUUUUAAUAGCAUGUUCAAUCAUUUCGCCAUUCAUGAUUAUAUCCGAGAAACUCUUUGAGGCAAUUCCUAACAUGUGCGUGAUAAACGACGCCUUCAAUGUGUUGAUGAAAAGCAUCGUCAUUUCUUUUUCCAAAAGUGGUGGUUGAACUUGAACAGCAAUCUCUCUCCACCUCUGUGCAUAUUGUCUGAAACUUUCGUUUGAUUUCUUUUCCAAGUUCGGCAAAGUGAUUCUAUCAGGCAUUAUUUCGGAUACAUGACUGUACUGUCUCAUCAAAGCCUGCGCCAAAUCCCUCCAAGUGCCAAUUUUUGUUCGGCUCAACUAGUUAUACCAUUUAGAUGCUGCCCCAAUGAGACUAUCCUAAAAACAAUGUAUUAAUAGCUGAUCAUUAUUAAUGUACCCAGUCAUUCUCCUACAAAACACUGUAAUAUGGGCUUCAGGGCAACUAGUCCCACUAUAUUUCUCAAAUUCUGGCAUCUUGAACUUAUAAUGGAGCACUAAAUCUGGGACCAGACUCAAAUCUUUUGCAUCUAUUCCACAAUAACUUUCAAUGUUUUCUAUUUCCUUAAACUUCUCUUCAAACCAUUUCCAUUUCUUCUCAAACUGUUUCGGCUAUUCUUCCUUUACUUUAUCUUUCUCAGCUAUUUCAUCAAAAUUUGGGAUAGCAAGAUUUACCGGGUUCUCACCAGGGUUAGAGCCUGAUCCCGCUUAGAAGUUCGUCGGUAUUGGAAUAUCGAUUUGAAACCGCUGAGGCUUUAUUGAAACCGAGGAUCUACGCGGAUGCACCUGAGUCUGAACCUGCACAUGCGAAGGCGUAAAGCUUGGAGGAUAGAUGGGUCCAUCCUUGUCUUCUUCUUCAUCAUUAAUCAUAGGACCUUUCCCUUUAUUUACUCCUUCAGUCAGUAAUUACGUCAACUCAGCCAUCAUGUCCUUUUGAGACUCUAGCAUCCUUUUUGUCAUGUCAUGUUGAAUUUUUUCAAAUUGCUCCUUCAUUUGCAUCUGUAACUAAUCCUGAAUUUCCUUUUGAAGUCGCUCCAACUUUUCUAAUCUUUGAUCCAUAAUUUUUGACUUUGCACGGGUACCGUAGCGGUGCUUGGUUGAUGAGUUUUUGUUGGUGUCCAGGUUAACUGAGGCAUAAUUUUAACCAAUUAAAACCCUUUUUAAUAAUCUUGAAUGCAUAUGAUGUCAUGUAAUGCAAAUGUAUGGAACGAAUGCAAAAAGGUGUCGAUUCUAAUCCAAUUUCUUUUAGAAAACUUUACUGAUAAACAAAAUUCUUUACAUAAAAUGGAUUACAAAUAUGAAUUUGCCUUAAUGCUCAAAGUUUUAACUUCCUUUAACAAUGAAGCUAACUCUUGACCCUGAUCUGAUUCCAGCUCAUACUUUGUGCUUAAAACGUCAACUUGAAUUGCCAUUGUUUGUAAAUGAUUUGCUACUUCACGAAUCUAUGACACGGUCUUGCCCAUAAUGUAAUCUCUGUUCUGAAUUUGAUUCUGCAAGUGAUAAAGUUGUUCCUUCCAAUGAUCUUCAUUUCCCUCCAAGAAUUCAAUCCGUUGUCCACAGCCUUGUAAUGUGUACUCCAAUUCUUCCAUCCUCUUUUUCAUUUCUUCAAUCUUGCACAAACUUGCCUUUAAUUCUACCACAGAAUUAUGACUUCUAUACAACGCAAACGACCUCUCGAGUUCUGCUAUUCUAUUUUUUAGUUCUGCUUGAUGGUUUUGAGUUUCUAACAUCUGUCGUGCUAGAGUCUCUUUCUGUACUUGUGUUUCUUGAAACUUUUUUUCCCACUGAUCGGCUUUGCUUCUUUCUUCCUAGAUCUCCUGUCGCCACUGCUCUGUAGUCUUUCCCAGCCCAGUAGUUCUCCUCGAUAGUCGUAACUUCUUGUAAUCCGUCUUUAGACUAUCUAGGUCCUCCUCUGCUUUAUUCUUCCCAUUUCCUAAUUUUUUAGCCUCUAAUUUUUGAACGUCAGCAUCUAACCUUAAAUGCAUCUUUUCCUCUUCCAACCGUUUUAUCUUCUUUUCAAGCUCUAAAUUCUAUUUUUUCGAAAUCUUGCUUUAUAAUUUCCAACUCCGAUGGGAUCACUUCUAAGUAAUCUUCCAUUGGUCGAACACCCUCUGAGUUUAACUCCAGAAUAUUAUCAUUAACUCUCUUGCUUCGCCACUCACUAUACUCAGGAAUCGUCAUUGAGCCCACAGAUAACCUUUUCAUCUUAUGAGCCUGAUUCCAUGCUUGAGAAAUUUCUUUUACUUCUUCUUGUAAUUAUCUCCUCGAUGCGAGAACUCACACUGAGCUAAACCAUGCGUUGCCGGCACAAACUGUCUUGAACCAUAUUGCCUCAGUAUAAGCAAAUGUGCAUAUCCAACAGCUCCCCAAAUUCCAUGCAACGGAACCCAAUGAAAGCUCUCGCAUCUGUACAGAAUUCUAUCAGGAAUCAGCUAAGGAGCUUUCCACUCAACAGCUUCCUCUUGAAGAUUUUGGAGAAUUGCAGUCCAAUUCUCUUACGAUAUGUCGUCCCUUCUUGGCGUAGCCACUAUCUCUUUUAAUGGAGGGUAAUGUUCGGAGAAAACCCGGUACGAAAUCCUGUUGACCUUCUAGAAAUGACUAUGAAACCAAGUUAGUAGCAACUGCGCACAACCUAUAAAUAUGCCCUCGCCAGCUCGCCUGCAUGCGUUCAAAGAUCUAAAUGUUUCAGCCAAAAUUGCAGGAACAGGCGUAACCCCUUUAUCCAGUCGGUCAAAAAGAUCAGCAACCGCCUCAUCAACAUGCCUCAGUGCUCUAGGGAAGAUCACCAACCAGUAAUUACUCAAAGCAAACACAUCUACUUUUUUUUUCAUAUCUGGAUGUGCUAGAAUCAAAUCUUGCAAAUUCCUUCAUGGGAUACAUUUACACUCACGCUUCUGCUUGAUCCUGGCCGUGAUUCAUUGCUCACUCAUUCCCGUAAUAUUCAAUAAUUUCUUCCAAAGUGCUGGGACAUAUGCGGCUCUGGAAUACGCUUUAUCGACCUGAAGCCUUGGGCAAUGCAGUAAAGCUGUAUAUUCCUCCACUGUAGGCACCAAAUCUACGUUCCCAAAAGUAAAACAGCUAUAUGCAGGAUUCCAAUAUUGAGUAAAGGCUCAAAAAAAAUGUUCAUCUACCUUGAUGUCAAAUAGGUACGGCAAGUCCCCAUAAUUAGAGUAGAACAACUGCUUGGUCUCAUCAUUCCACCGAUCCCAUAUUUCCCUUAACUCUUGAAGGUUAUUCUACGUCACACUAAUACGAGUGUAGUCCCACAGCUCUGACACAUAUCCCUUAGCUAAACUGUCUCCUUUCUCCGAUUGCCUUUUGUCUGACCAUAUACGAACAAUGGCAUUGUCUUCCACUUUAUCAAGAAAUUUGUUUGCCAUGAAAAUUUUCUAAUUUAGUAACUGAACUUGAAUCGACACUCUUUGAAAUAUGCAGUGACAUGCAAAAACAAAAUACAAGUCAGUACAACAAAAACAAAAUUCAAAGCAGGUAUAAGAAACACAAACACUUAUCUGGGCAAUCACUAGAGGUUGGAAUAAUUCUAACUAGGUCGAGCUCCUAAGUCCACUAUAUGGAGUUUGGUUUUAAAGUUAAGGUACCUGAACCAGCAGAUUCAUCUAUCUUCACCCAUUAUAGGCUCAUACAGACCGAGUUCGGUUCAGGGGAAUACAUUUCCCUAUGGCUGCACGGAGAUGAAAAUCUCACAAAGACAUAGGUACGGAUGUUUUCCGAAAGUGAUCCACUAUCCUGCACAGAGGCGAAAACCUCAUGAAGGAGUAGUUUCUCCCUCCCACUUAAAAGGGUAAGACUAAACAGUCUUUAUGCAAUAUGAUGCCAAUGUAUAAAAGCGCAAUGUACAAUGAUCAUACUAAUAAAUGCAAAGAGAAGAUCGUAAAAUUUUUUUAAAACACAAUUUUAAUUUUCGACAAUAAGACAAAACAAUCAAUUUUACGGCCUGACUCUCUGGUAUCCUCAGUGGAGUCGCCAAGCUGUCGAAACCAAUUGUUUUUUGAAAAUCGGGGAUUGAUUUUGAAAAUAAAAUGGGAGUCGCCACUGAUCUUUUGUUGAGGUGUGAUCGGAUCACUUUGAAAAUAAUUUUAGGUCUGCGAAUUUUGAGAAAGCAAGUUCAGGAGUCGGCUAUUCACGAGGAAGGGUUAGCACCCUAGUAAUGCCGAAAAUUGGUACCAAAUUGAUUGUUUUAUGUCUUAGGGUGGAAGUUUUUGAAAAGAUUUUUUUUUAAAAUACGAUCCUUUUAAAGUUUAAAUUUGGAUAAACCAAAUUGAAUAACAAGACGUACUUAUUUUGAAUAAACAAAUUGCCAUACUCAGUAAGUUAGAGUGCAACAAUUCAAUCAUCAAAAUUAAGUACGUUCCCUUUUUUUUAAACGAGUUUAAAGAAGGUUAUUUCAUUAUUUAAGUCAAUCGAGAAAUCAGAAUCCAGUGAGUUAGGGUUCAAUUUCUCGAAAUUCUUAAACCUCAAAUAUUGCCUUUUAUUUUUUAAAAUCGAGAUAACAAAAUGCCACAUCCAAUAAGUUAGGAUCCAACAUUUUGUAAUCUUAAGAGCUUUAUUUUAAUAACGGUAUGGUUUUAAUAAAAUGGAAACUUGAUAAUAUAAAUCCAUCGAAGAGAAUUGAAGCCCAGUAAGUUAGGGCACAAUUCUCUCUAGAAUUAUUAAGCACCAAGCCCUUUUUUGGAAUUUUGAAAUAAAAUGAUUAUAACGUUUUAAUGGAAUGCAAUUCUUACAAACAAUAUAAUUGAAUAGCAAUAUACGAAGCGAAUGAUGAAUAGCAAGUUAAUUCUACAAUUUGGAGCAACCACAUAUAUAAUACAUCGACGUUAAUAAUCAAAUAACCUAGUAAACAAUCUUACAAAUAACAAAAUGAGAAUAAUUAAUACAAAAAUAAUUUAAUCACAAGUAAACCAAUCAACAUAAUUGAAAUGAAUAACAAUUUUAAAGCGUAGAAUAAAAUUUUAGAAAUUACAAGUUACAAUUCAUUUUAUACACAUAUAUAUUAAAAUAAUUCCAUAUCAUGAAAAUCUAAAAAUGAUGCCAAUGAAUUUAGAACAUAUUAAUAAUAAUUUAAGAGGGUAAAGUAUUAUAUUUUAGAAAUCAUAUCAAUAAUAAUUUUGAAAAAUAUUAAGCCAAUAUUACAAUACUUUUAAAAACAAUGAAUUGGUAUAAAACUUGAUUUUUUAAAACUUUUGAAAUCAAAAUUAAAUAUGCAAAACAUUUUUUUUUGAAAUUGAGAACAAUAAUCAACAAAUUUCAAAUCGACACUUAAAUAAAAUUUGAAUGAUGAUAAAUUAGAACAAAAUUAAAAUGCAAUUGACUCAAAAUAUUGGUGUAUAAUGAAUAAAAAAAUAAACAAAAAAAGUAAUAAUUUAUUACAUUUUGAACUAUUAUAAUAAAUUUAAACACUAUUAAAAAUAAAUAUUACAAAUAAUAUUAAAUAUUACACUAUACGAAAGUAGGAUUUAAUUAAUUAAAAAUAUUGUGGAAUUUAAAAGGAAAACUGAAUUUGUAUUAAAUCGAAUCGGUUUCAACAUUGAAGGACUAAACUAGCAAUUAAACGCAAGCAUUAAAAUAAUUACAAUCAACCACAUAAAACGGUACCGUUUCAAGUUGGACCUGAAUGAAAACAAGUUAAAUGCACCGUACAAAUUACAAACAAUUAAAGAAAUCAAAUCGUAAUCAUAGUAAACACACAGGGACCUAUUUAACAAAUAGACCAAUUAGUCCAGCCUGCGCGGAUUCUACGCAGGGUCGGGUCACCGCCUGGAUCUGGUCAUCAAACGAUACCGUUUUGAAGCUAUUAUGUUAGCAGCAAACGGCGACGUUUUAGUCCCGUGUUUUAAAAACUAAAAACCCUAAACGUUUCCAUUUCAGAAAACCGAAAGAGAACUAAUGUUCUCUGCGCCGUUUUGCGCACUGAGGGGGCUCAAGUGAUCUCCGAUCCAGACCUGUUCCCCAAUGGCAACGGAGGAGGCCCGAAUCUCGGCACAAGGUACCUUUCUCCCCUUCUUACUACUAUUUCUAUCUUUAAUGAAAAUCAGUAGAUGCCUAAACGAAAAAAGAAACGAAAUACGAAUGGAAAGAAGAAAAGAAAAUCAAAAAUCACCUUUUUGAUAUCUUUUGUAUUUUUUUGAAUGCGUAAUCUAUUUACAGUGUUUGAAUGGCUUUCUUAUAACCCGAUUUUGCAGAAAAUAAAAUAAAAAAUAAAUACAAGGUUCCCCUAUUCUGUUUUUUUUCUAUUGGCUGCUACCUCCGUGUGUUUUUGCAGGUAUUCGGCCAGCCUGGUGGUACGGAGGUGGCCGUACGGAUGCGUGCGUGGCUGGGAAGCGUGGUGGUGCACGCGCGAGAGGAGCCUGACCUGCCUGCGGCGCAAAAUGUUCCAGAAACCCUAGGGUUUCUGGAUGUUUCAAGCAAAUGGGCCACUUCGAGUUGGGCUAGGGUUUGGGUCUGGUGUUGGGUUACUCAGGUUUGGGUAUUAGGCCUGCUAUCGGGUUUGGAAAAUGUAUUUUGGGUUUGGAUAAUCGGUUAAUUAUUGUAGCUGGACUGAUAUUAUUGGACUUUUAAUUUUUAUUUGGCUUUAUAUAUAUUUUAAAUAUUUGUGGGCCGGGAAAAUUUGGGUUAUUACAUUAUACAUUCAUUUGCUUAAUGUCGUGAGACAAACUCAUCUAGGUCUCGAGACUAGUGGUCUAUGUCUCGAGAUAAGGGCACGUAGAAACUAAAUAACUUUUGCUCCGCUUUAGGUAUCGAGAAAUGAAAACAUCGAAGCUAAGAUAGGAAAAUAGGGGAGGUCUGUCUCGAGACCUAGUCUCGAGGCUUGAGGAAUUUUUCCUUGAGACAUGAAUUUCAUUGUCUCGAGACAUAUAAACAUCAAAGCAAAAUUUUAAAAACUUAUGAUGAGGCUUGUUUCAAGAUAUAGAGUUCCUGUCUCAAGAAAUAAUGUUAAAAUUUGACAAGUUGUUGAAUUUGAUUCCUAUGCUCAUAUUAAACCACAUUUAGACUCGAAUGAUUAAAUUGUGAUUGAAAUGUGUUAAUGUGGUUUAAUUUUAUGAAAUGACAUGUAUGUUUAGUAUGAGUUGCUCCAACUAACAAAUGUGACAUCUCAUACUGGGAUCCGAUUAUCGGGUUGGAUGUGGGGUGUUACAAGUUUGACCUUUUAUUUUAUUUUUAAUUUUUUAAGGGUGGGGGAAACAUGUAGCAUUCAUUUGAUAAAAAUGGAGUAACAGCUCAAAGGAGUGAAAAACAAAAUGGGAUAUAGAGGGGAGAAGCAGAAACCAUUUAAAGCAAAAGGAAACAUGUAGUAGGGUAGUCCUUACACUACCAUAAGUUUAUUGUACACCAUAUUAAAAUAUCAUAAAAUGAUUUGGCACACUAUACCAAAAACUAACAUUUUAUUCGCCCAGUUUGAAAAAUAAUUCCAAUGUUCUUAAUUAUUUAGGCAAAGCAAUUGGGUUAACGAAUAAUGAUAACACUCUAUCUUUGGUUUCUUUAUCUUCAAUAGCAUGACCAUCGCCAUUUUGGUACAUCAAUAAAGAUAUUCUUGCAAGGUUCAUAGCAACCUCAAUAAACGUACGAGAGAAAGGAGAUUUAGCCAUUUGGUCUUCAUUCAUCUUCUUCCAUGUUGCAUCAAUUAAUUUUCUUAUGUGGUCACGAGCUUCUUCUUCAGAUGCUCCACUUUCGUUCAUGUAACAUUGA
rnacentral:lncRNA from 1 species